UUUUUUUUGUUUCCUUACACUGGUCCAAUCCAAGCAAGAAUUUCAGCACAAGCCAAUAUUUUUGCGACAAGGAUAGGAACAAAACUAGAUUACCCUCGAUAGGCAUGCAAAAAAAUGAAAAAGAGAUAUAGAGUUGCAAACAUAUACCAACGAACAUACAACACUUGACCUAGAGAACAUGCAAAAAAUAAUGUGAUUUCGGAAAAUAAGGGCCUCUUUGAUUCAGAAGAUUUUCAUAGGAAUUUUCUUGGAUUUCAGUUUUUAGGAAUCUUUCUUAUAUCGGUUCUUUGAGUCAUAAAACUGAAUCAGAUAGGGGCUUUCUAAGGAUUUGAUUGUACUUCAUUUCGUGGAAAAAAAUUUAGUAUCCACGCAAACCUCUUGGAGAGAAUAAUCUUUUUGGGUUAAUUAGAUAAAUGCCACACCAAUUAUGGCGAUUCACAAAAAUGCCACUGCAAUGUUUGCAAAAUUUGAUAAACGCCACUCUAGACUUUGAAAAAUGCCACUGGAAAUGGCAUGAAAUGACAUUUUUCAAAGUUUGGAAAAUUGCGAUGGCAUUUCUCGGAAUCGCCAGAUUUGGAGUGGCAUAUAUCAAAUUAACCCUAAUUUUUUUCUAUUACACAACCAAACGAACAAAAGGCCCUAAACAAAAAGUUUCAUCCAAAAGCUUCACCUUGCUGCAAUAUGUUUUAGAAAAUAUCAAUAUGUUCCAACAACUACAAGAAAUUGUACCAAACUGAGCAAAUUAUUCAGUCCUUGGCUAUUACCAUAGCUUUUAAUUUUUUCUCCUAGUUGGAUCACAUAAUGAUAUAAAUACCAACCUGGUCUCGAAUCAAAUAUCCCUAACCAAGUUUUGAUACAUUGCAGUUACCACUAUGUCCAGGUUAGAACAUGAGGUUAGUUGUAUCCAGGCUAGUUUUGACACUCAUACUAAUUAUUGUAUCAUCACCACCAUCGGGACAGCAUGACACAGUAUGCUAAUGACACAGUAUGCUAAUGUAGAAGCGAUCAAGCAAGAUGUUUAUUUUCAACUUUGACAAGUGGGAACAUAAUCAUUUUAGAUAAAUAUUGUUUGGGUGAAUUCAUUGUUUAAAGUGAAAGCAAAAUAGUUGAAUAAACUUUGCUUACGAGAUUUAUUUGUACAUCACAAACUAAUUAGGUAUAGCUCGACAAAUAGGUAAUCUUUUGAUCCGAUUCAUAGUUACUACUCCCUCGAUUUUUAUAUACAAGGCCACAAACCUAAAUUACAAGUACUAAGGUAAAAUUUAAUACAUGUUUGCAACUCAACUUUUUCUCGUUUACUGGGAUCAUUAAUACACUGUAUGCAUGCAAGAAAACUGAAUGGAAGAAGUACAUAAGUGUCAUUAUGACUGCAUGCAUGCAUGUAUUAAACAAGUUGUUAGUACAAGAAAGCAUCAUUAAUUUUUGCCUCGAUUAGUGUUGGUGACCUUGUAUAGAUGCAAAAUAUAUAUUCCAUAGUGUCCUUAUAUAAGAAAAUGGAGGGAGCAUCCCAUCAGGAAGUUGUGCAUGGUGUGUUAAAUGUACUAAGGUCACAGUCACACUUGUUUAUGACCAUUACAUUUUUGGUAGAAAAUUGUAGUGGACAAGUAGCCAUUAUGUUUGGGAUGUAGUUUAUGAUAAUUGUGUUUGUAUUAUUGGCGUGUAGUUUCAACAUUUCACAUGUGUACACUGAACAACUUCGAUAAAAUUAUAGUGACUAAUUUAGUACUUAGCUAUAACUUAGACCUAAACUUGUCUGACAUAUGUUGGUUAUAGUACUUUUUUCAGAAUCUCAAGAGUCACCGUUGUUUCUGAAGUUAACAAAGAAUGAUGAAGUUGACCUAGUUAGGGCAAAACCGAGGCUUAAAAUCCUAGUCAUCAUAUUUUCGCAAAGCCAUUGUGUAUAUCAAGAACUUUGAAGCUAGCUUUCUUAUAUAUCCAGAAUGAAUACACUUUCUAUACCACUUUUCUUUACAGUUUCUGCUCUAAAUUUGAUCUUGUUGAACAUAAGUCUUACUAUGUAAUGAAAUAAUUAAACUUUUACUGUCAACAAGCUGAAGAGAAAAGAUUGCUAGAUAUAAGUGCUUUAGAUGAAUGGAGAAAUGCUAAGUCAUUUAAAGAAAAAGUUUAAUGUGGUAUGAUAGGAGAAUACAUAAAGGAUUCAAAGCAGGAGACAGUGUGCUAUUAUAUAAGUAUCCUUUAAGACAUUGUGUAGGUAAACUCCUAAAAAAAUAGGAUGGCCUCCAUACGAUCAUUAAAAUUUGUCAGUUAGGGGCCAUCAACUUUGAAAAGCAACUAUAUUUUUUGUGAUUUGCUUCUAUCUUAAUUUUGUGGAGUUUCUCCUCUAUUUUGUUUUGAGCUCUUUUCAAGCCGGGUUUUCGUAAAUUGUUCUUUCUCCAUGUCUUCUUGCGACUCCAAUCGGGGGGAGAAGGAUCAAUGCUAAGGUGUUGAAAAAGUUCAAGAAGAUGGAGGUCAAGGUCAAGGGACAAGAUUCUAGGAGUUUUGGCCAUCUCUAAUGAUGAAAAGGAGUCUCCUCCAGCUCCACCUUGGAUGAUAAACAAGAGACCAAAUUUGUUGUUAUUAUUUGUUCUAAAAAAACUUCAUAGCCCAUUAUCUAAUCAUUGUUUGUUUCAAAUAGCAAAGUGAGAUUGACAACCUCACUAGAAGUGUUGGGGACACACUAUGGUUGAUACUUUUAUUUCUCGAAAUGAGGAAAUCUUACGACUUGCUACAAAAGUUUGCUCUUUGGGCCCAACCACCAGCUACCAAUUAGGCAUUGGAGCUAGCAAGAAUUAGGGUCCAAAUUAAAUACCAUAUGGAUUAUUAAUCUGAAGACAUCUUUAAGAGAGAGUGGCAAUUUAUAUAUCAAUUUUAUGGAAGGUUAACCAUUAAAGGUGAAAACAAAAUUAACAAAGAAAAUGCAUUCAUCGAUCAAUUUUUUGAAAUGAACAUGCAUUCCUUUACGUACUAAGGCUCUAACAACAAACCGUGAAUCAAUUGUAUCAAAAGUUGUGUCAAAUUCAACUUUGAACAUAAAAGCUUUAUACUUCCAAGAUGAAAAGUUUAAAGGUGCGACUCAUUUACUAGAAAUAGUUAUAUUACUAGAGAUUAUACGGCCUUGAAUAAGAACUUGACGAGUUGUAUCGAUAUUGUUAGGUAACUGCUCUUUGAGCCUAUUAGCGAUGCUCUUAGUGAUGAUUUUUAUAAAAUACAUUGCAAAGGUUGAUUAACCAAAAUGUUCGAAGAAAAUAGGAUUGGGAUUUUUGCCAUAAGAGCACUGAAAGCUUUGCUGACAUCAGGAUGGAGCUUACCUUCUUGACAGAACUUUAGAAUACUAUGAGUUACAUCAUCCCAACUCCAACAUAAAAUAUAAAAGGCUAAAUCUCAACCAUGCGGACCUUGAGCGGAUUUCCUUCAUUUUCCUUUAAGAACAUGCAAAUUUUCAUCUUUGUUUGGAAUAGAAAAUUAAGGUAAAGCAUGAUAGUUAUUAUUGGUUCAAAUAGGCAUGCAUGGUUUCAUGGGAAUUAUAGUUUUUUUGUAGCAGACGAGUUAGUAAAGUACUGAAUAGGGCAUUCUAGAUAACGAGAAAUUUUAUUCCUGGGAAGCCCAAAUGUCUUUUGGCUCUGCCUAUAAAAUAUCAUAAGCUUUUUCUAGUUUGUCAUAGUGGUCAAUAAGAUUGACUUCAUCACUACCCCACCCAUCGAGGUAUGUAUGUUUGGUUUACAAAUAUAUAAGACCUUUCUCUCGAGACUUUUAAUCACUCUCUUGUACAUCAUAUCUCCCCUCAUAUUCCCAUUGGAAAAUGCUUUGUAAGAAUUGCGCAUUUAUUGUUUGGACUAGGAGUAAUUAACCCACUUGGGCUAUGAUAUUCGAUCAAACAAGUCAAUGGUGAGGAGGCGAUUGCCAAAAAUGAUUUCCAAAAUUUGCUCCAAAUAUCUCGCUCAUGCCUGGGUACCAUAGAAUCUCAAACUAGGCCUUAUAUACCUUGAUGAAGGGAGUAUCAUUUCGCAUAUGAAGAGGAGAAGAAUGAAUUGCGUCAAUUUUUGCAUGGAUUGAAUUUGGUUGAUGUUGUAAGGACUUUUUGGAUCAGCUCCAUUUUCAAGGAGCCUUCUAUGCUAGAAACUCUAAAGAUCUAUGGUUUUAUUAGAUAAACUAGCGCAAACAAAUUAUCUAACAUUUUGGAACUCUUGUACUAAAACCCUUCGAUUCUGAAACUUUAGAAACUAUUUAGAUUUAGACGUGGAAGUUUUAGUGCCCGAUAGAAGUGGAGGAUGGUCACUAACAAUAAUAGGUAAAAUAAGCAUCGAAAGAUGUUGCACCCUCCCCACUAUAAAAAGUAGGAACAUAUCUUUUUUACGAACCAUUAAUGAACUAGGAGAAAACAAAUUACAAAGCUCAGACUAGGCACACAACAAACCANNNNNNNNNNNNNNNNNNNNNNNNNNNNNNNNNNNNNNNNNAGAAUAGUACAAUAUGUCAUGAUAAUGGAUCAUAGAGUAUCAACCAAAACACAGGAGGUCUUUAGAUUCCAUCGUCAUCUAACAUAGCAAGUCAAGCACCUUGAGCCUUGGUCACCUGGUGGCCACCCAAUAAUACCCCACAAAGAGAGGGAGGGUGUCAUAUAGGAAUUAGAUAAUCUGAUGAGCCAACUCAUCAUGUCAAGGCAUGAAGGAGCGCUCUCUAAGAGCCAGCUAUAGACACACCCACACACAAUGGCCUACAAAUCCACACUCUAGGAGUUUCGACCGAUCCAUCACGCACAUAACAUGUGCGCAACAUUUUUUCUCCACACGCCACCGACUGUCGGCACCCGCUUGCCCCGCCCUCNNNNNNNNNNNNNNNNNNNNNNNNNNNNNNNNNNNNNNNNNNNNNNNNNNNNNNNNNNNNNNNNNNNNNNNNNNNNNNNNNNNNNNNNNNNNNNNNNNNNNNNNNNNNNNNNNNNNNNNNNNNNNNNNNNNNNNNNNNNNNNNNNNNNNNNNNNNNNNNNNNNNNNNNNNNNNNNNNNNNNNNNNNNNNNNNNNNNNNNNNNNNNNNNNNNNNNNNNNNNNNNNNNNNNNNNNNNNNNNNNNNNNNNNNNNNNNNNNNNNNNNNNNNNNNNNNNNNNNNNNNNNNNNNNNNNNNNNNNNNNNNNNNNNNNNNNNNNNNNNNNNNNNNNNNNNNNNNNNNNNNNNNNNNNNNNNNNNNNNNNNNNNNNNNNNNNNNNNNNNNNNNNNNNNNNNNNNNNNNNNNNNNNNNNNNNNNNNNNNNNNNNNNNNNNNNNNNNNNNNNNNNNNNNNNNNNNNNNNNNNNNNNNNNNNNNNNNNNNNNNNNNNNNNNNNNNNNNNNNNNNNNNNNNNNNNNNNNNNNNNNNNNNNNNNNNNNNNNNNNNNNNNNNNNNNNNNNNNNNNNNNNNNNNNNNNNNNNNNNNNNNNNNNNNNNNNNNNNNNNNNNNNNNNNNNNNNNNNNNNNNNNNNNNNNNNNNNNNNNNNNNNNNNNNNNNNNNNNNNNNNNNNNNNNNNNNNNNNNNNNNNUAAUACACGUGUGAAUACUUAGACCACAAUAUGUCCCUGGUAAGCCUCUAGUUGACCAGCUUGUUGUGAUCAACAGAUAGUCAUGGUUUCCUGACUAUGGACAUUGGAUGUCGUUGAUAACGGGAUCACAUCAUUAGGAGAAUGAUGUGAUGGACAAGACCCAAUCCUAAGCAUAGCAUAAAAGAUCGUGUAGUUCGUAUUGCUAGAGCUUUGCAAGUGUCAAGUAUCUCUUCCUUCGACCAUGAGAUCGUGUAACUCCCGGAUACCGUAAGAGUGCCUUGGGUGUAUCAAACGUCACAACGUAACUGGGUGACUAUAAAGGUGCAUUACAGGUAUCUCCGAAAGUAGCUGUUGGGUUGACACGGAUCGAGACUGGGAUUUGUCACUCCGUAUGACGGAGAGGUAUCUCUGGGCCCACUCGGUAAUGCAUCAUCAUAAUGAGCUCAAUGUGACCAAGGUGUUGGACACGUGAUCAUGCAUUACGGUACGAGUAAAGUGACUUGCCGGUAACGAGACUGAACAAGGUAUUGGGAUACCGACGAUCGAGUCUCGGGCAAGUAACGUACCGAUGGACAAAGGGAAUUGCAUACAGGGUUUGAUCGAAUCCUCGACAUCGUGGUUCAUCCGAUGACAACAUCGAGGAGCAUGUGGGAGCCAUCAUGGGUAUCCAGAUCCCGCUGAUGGUUAUUGACUAAGAGCGUCUCGGUCAUGUCUGCAUGUCUCCCGAACCCGUAGGGUCUACACACUUAAGGUUCGGUGACGCUAGGGUUAUGAAGAUAUGGAUAUGCAGAAACCCGAAUGUUGUUCGUAGCCCCGGAUGAGAUCCCGGACGUCACGAGGAGUUCCGGAAUGGUCCGGAGGUAAAGAAUUAUAUAUAGGAAGUGCUAUUUCGGGCAUCGGGACAAGUUUCGGGGUUAUUGGUAUUGUACCGGGACCACCGGAAGGGUCCCGGGGGUCCACCGGGUGGGGCCACCUGUCCCGGGGGGCCACAUGGGCUGUAGGGGGUGCGCCUUGGCCAUCAUGGGCCAAGGGCACCAGCCCCUAUAGGCCCAUGCGCCUAGGGUUUCCCCCUAGGUGGAGUCCUAGUGGUGGAAGGCACCUCUAGGUGCCUUGGGGGGGAGGGAAACCUCCCCUAGGCCGCCGCCCCCCUAGUAGAUCUCAUCUACUAGGGCCGGCGCCCCCCCUGGCACCCCUAUAUAUAGUGGGGGAGAGGAGGGACUUCAUACACCAGCCCCUGGCGCCUCCACCUCCCCCCCGUUACGUCUCUCCCUCGUAGUCUCGGCGAAGCCCUGCUGCUGUGACGCCCUGCAUCCACCACCACGCCGUCGUGCUGCUGGAUCUUCAUCAACCUCUCCUUCCCCCUUGCUGGAUCAAGAAGGAGGAGACGUCUCCCGUCCCGUACGUGUGUUGAACGCGGAGGUGCCGUCCGUUCGGCGCUGGUCAUCGGUGAUUUGGAUCACGUCGAGUACGACUACAUCAUCACCUUGCAAGCUUCCGCACGCGAUCUACAAGUGGUAUGUAGAUGCAAACUCUCUCCCUAGACUCGUUNNNNNNNNNNNNNNNNNNNNNNNNNNNNNNNNNNNNNNNNNNNNNNNNNNNNNNNNNNNNNNNNNNNNNNNNNNNNNNNNNNNNNNNNNNNNNNNNNNNNNNNNNNNNNNNNNNNNNNNNNNNNNNNNNNNNNNNNNNNNNNNNNNNNNNNNNNNNNNNNNNNNNNNNNNNNNNNNNNNNNNNNNNNNNNNNNNNNNNNNNNNNNNNNNNNNNNNNNNNNNNNNNNNNNNNNNNNNNNNNNNNNNNNNNNNNNNNNNNNNNNNNNNNNNNNNNNNNNNNNNNNNNNNNNNNNNNNNNNNNNNNNNNNNNNNNNNNNNNNNNNNNNNNNNNNNNNNNNNNNNNNNNNNNNNNNNNNNNNNNNNNNNNNNNNNNNNNNNNNNNNNNNNNNNNNNNNNNNNNNNNNNNNNNNNNNNNNNNNNNNNNNNNNNNNNNNNNNNNNNNNNNNNNNNNNNNNNNNNNNNNNNNNNNNNNNNNNNNNNNNNNNNNNNNNNNNNNNNNNNNNNNNNNNNNNNNNNNNNNNNNNNNNNNNNNNNNNNNNNNNNNNNNNNNNNNNNNNNNNNNNNNNNNNNNNNNNNNNNNNNNNNNNNNNNNNNNNNNNNNNNNNNNNNNNNNNNNNNNNNNNNNNNNNNNNNNNNNNNNNNNNNNNNNNNNNNNNNNNNNNNNNNNNNAGAAUAGUACAAUAUGUCAUGAUAAUGGAUCAUAGAGUAUCAACCAAAACACAGGAGGUCUUUAGAUUCCAUCGUCAUCUAACAUAGCAAGUCAAGCACCUUGAGCCUUGGUCACCUGGUGGCCACCCAAUAAUACCCCACAAAGAGAGGGAGGGUGUCAUAUAGGAAUUAGAUAAUCUGAUGAGCCAACUCAUCAUGUCAAGGCAUGAAGGAGCGCUCUCUAAGAGCCAGCUAUAGACACACCCACACACAAUGGCCUACAAAUCCACACUCUAGGAGUUUCGACCGAUCCAUCACGCACAUAACAUGUGCGCAACAUUUUUUCUCCACACGCCACCGACUGUCGGCACCCGCUUGCCCCGCCCUCGCCAUCAAUGCAUUGCCUCUCCCUCAUGUUCAAUGUUACACUACAUCAUCAGUCUCCAUGCUAAGAGGUAAGCGGCCAAUUCCACAAAUGGUAUUCUACGCAACUAAGCCCUAGCGAUUUUGCCAUGAUGAUUAAUAAGAUGUAUAGACAAUGAUCAAUUGAGUCCUAUUGACUGCAUUCUCGCGAUAAGGUAUUGAUAAGCAAUUGAUUGGGUGCUAGUUAGAGAUGUAUAUUGGUCCUUGUCAUUACUGAGUUGGACACGUCAAUCGAUUAUAUUCUUUUAUCAUGUUUAUAUAGAAUCUUCAUAGAUUUGAGAUAGAUUUAAUUAUUGUUCGUUUCUUUAAUUCUGCAUUGUAUGCACCUAGAAGUGAAAAAAGGGGGGAACGAUUAUAUUAAUUCGUGAGGUUACAGAGGUCUAUAAUAUCUCAAGAAAUGUUAAAUGGUUUGGUAACUUUAUACAUUGAGAAGAAAAUGUUGGAUGAGAUUUAUAUCAAUGCCAUAAUUAGUGAUUUGGUAUGUCCAUAUUUUAAAAGAAAUUUUGAAUUAAUUGUUGGAAAUAUGCCCUAGAGGCAAUAAUAAAAGUAUUAUUAUAUUUCAUUGUUCAUGAUAAUUGUCUUUUAUUCAUGCUAUAACUGUAUUAUCCGGAAAUCGUAAUACACGUGUGAAUACUUAGACCACAAUAUGUCCCUGGUAAGCCUCUAGUUGACCAGCUUGUUGUGAUCAACAGAUAGUCAUGGUUUCCUGACUAUGGACAUUGGAUGUCGUUGAUAACGGGAUCACAUCAUUAGGAGAAUGAUGUGAUGGACAAGACCCAAUCCUAAGCAUAGCAUAAAAGAUCGUGUAGUUCGUAUUGCUAGAGCUUUGCAAGUGUCAAGUAUCUCUUCCUUCGACCAUGAGAUCGUGUAACUCCCGGAUACCGUAAGAGUGCCUUGGGUGUAUCAAACGUCACAACGUAACUGGGUGACUAUAAAGGUGCAUUACAGGUAUCUCCGAAAGUAGCUGUUGGGUUGACACGGAUCGAGACUGGGAUUUGUCACUCCGUAUGACGGAGAGGUAUCUCUGGGCCCACUCGGUAAUGCAUCAUCAUAAUGAGCUCAAUGUGACCAAGGUGUUGGACACGUGAUCAUGCAUUACGGUACGAGUAAAGUGACUUGCCGNNNNNNNNNNUUAGAUGAACUCAUAGAUGGAUCUUGGUGAAACCGUAGGAAAAAUUUUAAUUUUCUGCAACGUUCCCCAACAGUGGCAUCAUGAGCUAGGUCUAUGCGUAGUUCUCUUUGCACGAGUAGAACACAAUUUUGUUGUGGGCGUGGAUUUUGUCAUCUUACUUGCCUCUACUAGUCUUUUCUUGCUCAACGGUAUUGUGGGAUGAAGCGGCCCGGACCAACCUUACACGUACACUUACGUGAGACCGGUUCCACCGACUGACAUGCACAAGUUGCAUAAGGUGGCUGGCGGGUGUCUGUCUCUCCCACCUUAGUUGGAGCGGAAUCGAUGAACAGGGCCCUUAUGAAGGGUAAAUAGAAGUUGACAAAAUCACGUUGUGGUGAUUCGUAGGUAAGAAAAUGUUCUUGCUAGAACCCAAUUGCAGCCACGUAAAAGAUGCAACAACAAUUAGAGGAUGUCUAACUUGUUUUUGCAGCGAUUGAUCAUGUGAUGUGAUAUGGCCAGAAGUUGUGAUGAAUGAUGAAUUGUGAUGUAUGAGAUCAUGUUCUUUGUAAUAGGAUUCACGACUUGCAUGUCGAUGAGUAUGACAACCGGCAGGAGCCAUAGGAGUUGUCAUUAUUUUUUGUAUGACCUGCGUGUCAUUGAAUAACGUCAUGCAAACUACUUUACUUUAUUGCUAAACGUUAGUCAUAGAAGUAGAAGUAGUCGUUGGCGUGACAACUUCAUGAAGACACGAUGAUGGAGAUCAUGAUGAUGGAGAUCAUGGUGUCAAGCCGGUGACAAGAUGAUCAUGGAGCCCCGAAGAUGAAGAUCAAUGGAGCUAUAUGAUAUUGGCCAUAUCAUGUCACAACUAUAUAAUUGCAUGUGAUGUUUAUUAUGUAUUAUGCAUCUUGUUUACUUAGGACGACGGUAGUAAAUAAGAUGAUCCCUUAUAAAAUUUCAAGAAGUGUUCCCCCCUAACUGUGCACCGUUGCUACAGUUCGUCGCUUCUAAGCACCACGUGAUGAUCGGGUGUGAUGGAUUCUUACGUUCACAUACAACGGGUGUAAGACAGUUUUACACAGCGAAAACACUUAGGGUUAACUUGACGAGCCUAGCAUGUGCAGACAUGGCCUCGGAACACGGAGACCGAAAGGUUGAACACGAGUCGUAUGGAAGAUACGAUCAACAUGAAAAUGUUCACCGAUAAUGACUAGUCCGUCUCACGUGAUGAUCGGACACGGCCUAGUCGACUCGGAUCGUGUAACACUUAGAUGACUAGAGGGAUGUCUAAUCUAAGUGGGAGUUCAUAAUUUGAUUAGAACUUUAUUAUCAUGAACUUAGUCUAAAACCUUUGCAAAUAUGUCUUGUAGAUCAAUGGCCAACGCUAAUGUCAACAUGAACUUCAACGCGUUCCUAGAGAAAACCAAGCUGAAAGAUGAUGGCAGCAACUAUACGGACUGGGUCCGGAACCUGAGGAUCAUCCUCAUAGCUGCCAGGAAACAAUAUGUCCUAGAAGGACCGCUAGGUGACGCUCUCGUCCCAGAGAACCAAGACAUUAUGAAUGCUUGGCAGUCUCGCACUGAUGAUUACUCCCUCGUUCAGUGCGGCAUGCUUUACAGCUUAGAACCGGGGCUCCAAAAGCGUUUUGAGCAUCACGGAGCAUAUGAGAUGUUCGAAGAGCUGAAACUAGUUUUUCAAGCUCAUGCCCGGGUCGAGAGAUAUGAUGUCUCCGACAAGUUCUACAGUUGUAAGAUGGAGGAGAACAGUUCUGUCAGUGAGCACAUCCUGAAGAUGUCUGGGUUGCACAACCGUAUGACCCAGCUGAACAUUAACCUCCCAGAUGAGGCGGUCAUUGACAGAAUCCUCCAGUCGCUCCCACCAAGCUACAAGAGCUUUGUGAUGAACUACAACAUGCAGGGAAUGGAAAAGACCAUUCCUGACGUGUUCUCGAUGCUGAAGUCAGCAGAGGCUGAAAUCAAGAAAGAACAUCAAGUGUUGAUGGUCAAUAAGACCACUAAGUUCAAGAAGGGCAAGGGUAAGAAGAACUUCAAGAAGGACGGCAAAGAUGUUGCCGCGCCUGGUAAGCCAGUUACCGGGAAGAAGUCAAAGAAUGGACCCAAGCCUGAGACUGAGUGCUUUUAUUGCAAGGGGAAGGGUCACUGGAAGCGGAACUGCCCCAAAUACUUAGCGGAUAAGAAGGCCGGAAACACCAAUGGUAUAUUUGAUAUACAUGUGAUUGAUGUGUACCUUACCAGUACUCGUAGUAACUCCUGGGUAUUUGAUACCGGUGCCGUUGCUCAUAUUUGUAACUCACAGCAGGAGCUGCGGAAUAAACGGAGACUGGCGAAGGACGAGGUGACGAUGCGCGUCGGGAAUGGUUCCAGAGUCGAUGUGAUCGCCGUCGGCACGCUGCCUCUACAUUUACCUACGGGAUUAGUUUUGAACCUUAAUAAUUGUUAUUUAGUGCCAAGUUUGAGCAUGAACAUUGUAUCUGGAUCUCGUUUAAUACGAGAUGGCUACUCAUUUAAGUCUGAGAAUAAUGGUUGUUCGAUUUAUAUGAGAGAUAUGUUUUAUGGUCAUGCUCCGAUGGUCAAUGGUUUAUUCUUAAUGAAUCUCGAGCGUAAUAUUACACAUGUUCAUAGUGUAGAUGCCAAAAGAUUUAAAGUUGAUAACGAUAGUCCCACAUACUUGUGGCACUGCCGCCUUGGUCACAUUGGUGUCAAGCGCAUGAAGAAGCUCCAUGCCGAUGGACUUUUAGAGUCUCUUGAUUAUGAAUCGUUUGACACGUGCGAACCAUGCCUCUUGGGCAAAAUGACCAAGACUCCAUUCUCCGGAACAAUGGAGCGAGCAACCAACUUGUUGGAAAUCAUACAUACCGAUGUGUGCGGUCCAAUGAGCGUUAAGGCUCGCGGAGGAUAUCGUUAUGUUCUCACUCUCACAGAUGACUUGAGUAGAUAUGGGUAUGUCUACUUAAUGAAACACAAGUCUGAGGCCUUUGAAAAGUUCAAGGAAUUUCAGAAUGAGGUGGAGAAUCAACGUGACCGAAAGAUAAAAUUCUUACGAUCAUAUCGUGGAGGAGAAUACUUAAGUCACGAAUUUGGUACACACUUAAAGAAAUGUGGAAUCGUUUCACAGCUCACGCCGCCUGGAACACCUCAGCGAAACGGUGUGUCCGAACGUCGUAAUCGCACUCUAUUGGAUAUGGUGCGGUCUAUGAUGUCUCUUACCGAUUUACCGCUAUCAUUUUGGGGAUACGCUCUAGAGACAGCUACAUUCACUUUAAAUAGGGCACCGUCUAAAUCCGUUGAGACGACACCGUAUGAAUUAUGGUUUGGAAAGAAACCUAAGCUGUCGUUUCUAAAAGUUUGGGGAUGCGAAGCUUAUGUCAAGAAACUUCAACCUGAAAAGCUCGAACCCAAGUCGGAAAAAUGCGUAUUCAUAGGAUACCCUAAGGAAACUGUAGGGUAUACCUUCUACUUAAGAUCCAAAGGCAAGAUCUUUGUUGCCAAGAACGGAUGCUUUCUGGAAAAAGAGUUUCUCUCGAAAGAAGUAAGUGGGAGGAAAGUAGAACUCGAUGAAGUACUACCUCUUGAGUGGGAUAGUGACGCAGCACAGGAAACCGUUCCUGUGAUGCCCACACCAACUGAAGAGGAAAACCAUGAUAAUGAUCAAGGUACUUCGGAUCAAGUUACUGCUGAACUUCAUAGGUCCACAAGGACACGUUCCGCACCAGAGUGGUACGGCAACCCUGUCCUGGAAAUCAUGUUGUUAGACAACAAUGAACCUUCGAACUAUGAAGAAGCAAUGGCGGGCCCGGAUUCCAACAAAUGGCUUGAAGCCAUGAAAUCCGAGAUAGAAUCCAUGUAUGAAAACAAAGUAUGGACUUUGACAAACUUGCCCGAUGAUCGGCGAGCGAUAGAAAACAAAUGGAUCUUUAAGAAGAAGACGGACGCGGAUGGUAAUGUUACCAUCUAUAAAGCUCGACUUGUCGCUAAGGGUUAUCGACAGGUUCAAGGGAUUGACUACGACGAGACAUUCUCUCCCGUAGCGAAGCUAAAGUCCGUCCGAAUCAUGUUAGCAAUUGCCGCAUACUAUGAUUAUGAGAUAUGGCAGAUGGACGUCAAAACAGCAUUCCUUAACGGGCAUCUUAAGGAAGNNNNNNNNNNNNNNNNNNNNNNNNNNNNNNNNNNNNNNNNNNNNNNNNNNNNNNNNNNNNNNNNNNNNNNNNNNNNNNNNNNNNNNNNNNNNNNNNNNNNNNNNNNNNNNNNNNNNNNNNNNNNNNNNNNNNNNNNNNNNNNNNNNNNNNNNNNNNNNNNNNNNNNNNNNNNNNNNNNNNNNNNNNNNNNNNNNNNNNNNNNNNNNNNNNNNNNNNNNNNNNNNNNNNNNNNNNNNNNNNNNNNNNNNNNNNNNNNNNNNNNNNNNNNNNNNNNNNNNNNNNNNNNNNNNNNNNNNNNNNNNNNNNNNNNNNNNNNNNNNNNNNNNNNNNNNNNNNNNNNNNNNNNNNNNNNNNNNNNNNNNNNNNNNNNNNNNNNUUGGGUUUAUGCAGACUUAUGGAGAAGCCUGCGUUUACAAGAAAGUGAGUGGGAGCUCUGUAGCAUUUCUCAUAUUAUAUGUAGAUGACAUACUCUUGAUGGGAAAUAAUAUAGAAUUUCUGGACAGCAUUAAGGCCUACUUGAAUAAGUGUUUUUCAAUGAAGGACCUUGGAGAAGCUGCUUAUAUAUUAGGCAUCAAGAUCUAUAGAGAUAGAUCGAGACGCCUCAUAGGUCUUUCACAAAGCACAUACCUUGAUAAGAUUUUGAAGAGAUUCAGAAUGGAUCAGUCCAAGAAGGGGUUCUUGCCUAUGUUACAAGGUAUGAGACUGAGCUCAGCUCAGUCACCGACCACGACAAAAGAUAAAGAAGAGAUGAGUGUCAUCCCCUAUGCUUCAGCCAUAGGAUCUAUUAUGUAUGCCAUGCUGUGUACCAGACCCGAUGUAAACCUUGCCGUAAGUUUGGUAGCAAGAUACCAAAGUAAUCCCGGCAAGGAUCACUGGACAGCGGUCAAGAAUAUCCUGAAGUACCUGAAAAGGACAAAGGACAUGUUUCUCGUUUAUGGAGGAGACGAAGAGCUCAUCGUAAAGGGUUACGUCGACGCUAGCUUCGACUCAGAUCUGGAUGACUCUAAGUCACAAACCGGAUACAUGUAUAUGUUGAAUGGUGGAGCAGUAAGCUGGUGCAGCUGCAAGCAGAGCAUCGUGGCGGGAUCUACGUGUGAAGCGGAGUACAUGGCAGCCUCGGAGGCAGCACAUGAAGCGAUUUGGGUGAAGGAGUUCAUCACCGACCUAGGAGUCAUACCCAAUGCGUCGGGGCCGAUCAAACUCUUCUGUGACAACACUGGAGCUAUUGCCCUCGCAAAGGAGCCCAGGUUUCACAAGAAGACCAGGCACAUCAAGCGUCGUUUCAACACCAUCCGUGAAAAUGUUCAAGAUGGAGACAUAGAGAUUUGCAAAGUGCACGCGGAUCUGAAUGUCGCAGAUCCGCUGACUAAACCUCUCUCGCGUGCAAAACAUGAUCAACACCAGAACUCUAUGGGUGUUCGAUUCAUCACAAUGUAACUAGAUUGGUGACUCUAGUGCAAGUGGGAGACUGUUGGAAAUAUGCCCUAGAGGCAAUAAUAAAAGUAUUAUUAUAUUUCAUUGUUCAUGAUAAUUGUCUUUUAUUCAUGCUAUAACUGUAUUAUCCGGAAAUCAUAAUACACGUGUGAAUACUUAGACCACAAUAUGUCCCUGGUAAGCCUCUAGUUGACCAGCUUGUUGUGAUCAACAGAUAGUCAUGGUUUCCUGACUAUGGACAUUGGAUGUCGUUGAUAACGGGAUCACAUCAUUAGGAGAAUGAUGUGAUGGACAAGACCCAAUCCUAAGCAUAGCAUAAAAGAUCGUGUAGUUCGUAUUGCUAGAGCUUUGCAAGUGUCAAGUAUCUCUUCCUUCGACCAUGAGAUCGUGUAACUCCCGGAUACCGUAAGAGUGCCUUGGGUGUAUCAAACGUCACAACGUAACUGGGUGACUAUAAAGGUGCAUUACAGGUAUCUCCGAAAGUAGCUGUUGGGUUGACACGGAUCGAGACUGGGAUUUGUCACUCCGUAUGACGGAGAGGUAUCUCUGGGCCCACUCGGUAAUGCAUCAUCAUAAUGAGCUCAAUGUGACCAAGGUGUUGGACACGUGAUCAUGCAUUACGGUACGAGUAAAGUGACUUGCCGAUAACGAGACUGAACAAGGUAUUGGGAUACCGACGAUCGAGUCUCGGGCAAGUAACGUACCGAUGGACAAAGGGAAUUGCAUACAGGGUUUGAUCGAAUCCUCGACAUCGUGGUUCAUCCGAUGACAACAUCGAGGAGCAUGUGGGAGCCAUCAUGGGUAUCCAGAUCCCGCUGAUGGUUAUUGACUGAGAGCGUCUCGGUCAUGUCUGCAUGUCUCCCGAACCCGUAGGGUCUACAUACUUAAGGUUCGGUGACGCUAGGGUUAUGAAGAUAUGGAUAUGCAGAAACCCGGAUGUUGUUCGGAGCCCCGGAUGAGAUCCCGGACGUCACGAGGAGUUCCGGAAUGGUCCGGAGGUAAAGAAUUAUAUAUAGGAAGUGCUAUUUCGGGCAUCGGGACAAGUUUCGGGGUUAUCGGUAUUGUACCGGGACCACCGGAAGGGUCCCGGGGGUCCACCGGGUGGGGCCACCUGUCCCGGGGGGCCACAUGGGCUGUAGGGGGUGCGCCUUGGCCAUCAUGGGCCAAGGGCACCAGCCCCUAUAGGCCCAUGCGCCUAGGGUUUCCCCCUAGGAGGAGUCCUAGUGGUGGAAGGCACCCCUAGGUGCCUUGGGGGGGAGGGAAACCUCCCCUAGGCCGCCGCCCCCCUAGUAGAUCUCAUCUACUAGGGCCGGCGCACCCCCUGGCACCCCUAUAUAUAGUGGGGGAGAGGAGGGACUUCAUACACCAGCCCCUGGCGCCUCCACCUCCCCCCCCGUUAUGUCUCUCCCUCGUAGUCUCGGCGAAGCCCUGCUGCUGUGACGCCCUGCAUCCACCACCACGCCGUCGUGCUGCUGGAUCUUCAUCAACCUCUCCUUCCCCUUGCUGGAUCAAGGAGGAGACGUCUCCCGUCCCGUACGUGUGUUGACCGCGGAGGUGCCGUCCGUUCGGCGCUGGUCAUCGGUGAUUUGGAUCACGUCGAGUACGAGUACAUCAUCACCUUGCAAGCUUCCGCACGCGAUCUACAAGUGGUAUGUAGAUGCAAACUCUCUCCCUAGACUCGUUGCUUAGAUGAACUCAUAGAUGGAUCUUGGUGAAACCGUAGGAAAAAUUUUAAUUUUCUGCAACGUUCCCCAACAUUAAUAUGUAUGUAUUUUUUGAAUGAAAAUUCCCUAUGAAGCACUUUAAAUGUUUAUUAAUAAUACUAUGUGCAUACAUGUAUAGAUUAAUAUUUUCCGUAAUUUUAUUAAGGGGUGUGGGUCCUAAUUGUGACCCAGCCCCCAAAUUCUCAAGAAUGGCCCACUGUUUGGCCCAUGCGAAAUAGGAGGGAGACCCCAACAGUUUUAUUAUUAUUAUUGAGGAAUGAGGAGCCAACAUACGAGGUGGAGAUUUCUGCGAGAGCAUCUCCAAUAGCGGAUACAAAAUAGGGCAUGUUAUGCAAAAAAACAUAUAUUUCUGUGGUCCCAUUUUAGGGCUGCCCAAACAAUCAGCCCAAGGGGGUGUUAAUUUGUGUUAUGCACCGUCGUGUCCAAAGGCAAAAACGGCCACAGACCCACAUGCCACGCGAUGUGAAACUUCUAGACGGCCCCUCCCGUGAGCGUUAAACCUCCAGAUACACCCACCCACACACCGCCGCCAUGGAUUCAGGCUCCCCUACCUCUCUCCGCCUCCCUCUUCCUCACUGCGCCGUCGUAAACGCAACCGCCACAGAAUCCAACUACCCCCAAUCGCCUCUAAAUCUGUCGCUGUUGCCCCUUCAUAUUCCACCUGCCUCCACUGCCUCCCCCGCCUCACUCUCCAUAAUGCAACAUCCCGUAACUAACUCAUGCUAUAAGGAAAUAUAAAUAACAACUUUAUUAUUGCCUCUAGUGCAUAUUUCCUUCAGUCUCCCACUUGCACUAGAGUCAAUGAUCUAGAUUACAUUGUAAUGAUUCUAAUGAUAAACCACAAGUAUACGGGAUCGCAACAAUUUUCGAGGGUAGAGUAUUCAACCCAAAUUUAUUGAUUCGACACAAGGGGAGCCAAAGAAUAUUCUCGAUUAUUAGGAGUUGAGUUGUCAGUUCAACCACACCUGGAAACUUAGUAUCUGCAACAAAUUAUUUAGUAGCAAAGUAAUAUGAGAGUAGUGGUAACGAUAGCAAAACAUAACGGUAGCAAAAGUAAUAUUUUUGGGUUUUGUAGCGAUGGUAACAGUCGCAGCAGAAAAAGUAAAUAAGCGAAGAACAAUAUAGGAAAAGCUCGUAGGCAAUGGAUCGAUGAUAGAGAAUUAUGCCGGAUGCGAUCGAUCGUGUAACAUUCAUAACCUAGGGUGACAUAGAACUAGCUCCAGUUCCUCAAUGUAAUGUAGGCAUGUAUUCCAGAUAUAGUCAUACGUGCUUAUGGAAAAGAACUUGCAUGACAUCUUUUGUCCUACCCUCCCGUGGCAGCGGGGUCCUAUUAGAAACUAAGGGAUAUUAAGGCCUCCAUUUAAUAGAGUAUCAGACCAAAGCAUUAACACAUAAUGAAUAAAUGAACUCUUCAAACUACGGUCAUCACCAGUAAGUAUCCCAAUUAUUGUCACUUAGGGGUUAACGGAUCAUAACACAUAAUAGGUGACUAUAGAAUUGCAAGAUAGGAUCAAGAACUCUCAUAUAUUGAUGAAAACAUAAUAGGUUCAGAUCUCAAAUCAUGGCACUUGGGCCCUAGUGACAAGCAUUAAGCAUAGCAAAGUCAUAGCAACAUCAAUCUCAGAACAUAGUGGAUACUAGGGAUCAAACCCUAACAAAACUAACUCGAUUACAUGAUAAAUCUCAUCCAACCCAUCAACGUCCAGCAAGCCUACGAUGGAAUUGCUCAUGCACGGUAGUGAGCAUCAUGAAAUCGGUGAUGGAGGAUGGUUGACGAUGACGAUGGCGACGGAUUCCCCUCUCCGGAGCCCCGAACGGACUCCACAUCAACCCUCCCGAGAGACUUUAGGGCUUGGCGGCGGCUCCGUAUCAUAAAACGCGAUGAAUCCUUCUCUCUGAUUUUUUGUCCUGGAAAGUGAAUAUAUGGAGUCAAGGUUGAGAAUGGUGGAGCGUCAGGGGGCCCACGAGGCACGAGGCGCGCCCAGGGGGUAGGGCGCGCCCCCACCCUCGUGGACAGGGUGUGGGCCCCCUGACGUGGAUCUUUCUUCCAGUAUUUUCCAAAAAUAAUCUCCGUUGAUUUUCAGGUCAUUCCGAGAACUUUUAUUUCUGCACAAAAAUAACACCAUGGCAAUUCUGCUGAAAAUAUCGUCAGUCCGGGUUAGUUCCAUUCAAAUCAUGCAAGUUAGAGUCAAAAACAAGAGCAAAAGUGCUUGGAAAAGUAGAUACGACGGAGACAUAUCAACUCCCCCAAGUUUAAAUCUUUGCUUGUCCUCAAGCAAUUCAGUUGAUAAACUGAAAGUGAUAAAGAAAAACAAUUACAAACUCUGUUUGCUCUUGUUGUUGUAAAUAUAUAAAGCCAGGAUUCAAGUUUUCAGCAAAGAUUAUGAACUAACCAUAUUCACACUAACAUUUAGGUCUCAUGUUUACUCAUAUCAAUGGCAUAAUCAAUUAGCGAGCAAUAAUAAUAAAUCUCCGAUGACAACACCUUAUCAAAACAAUCAUGAUAUGAUAUAAGAAGAUGGUAUCUCGCUAGCCCUUUCUGAGACUGCAAAACAUAAAUGCAGUGCGCCUUUAAAGAUCAAGGACUGACUAGACAUUGUAAUUCAUGGUAAAAGAGAUCCAGUGAAGUCAUACUCAAUGUAAACUAACAGUAAUGAAUGCAAAUGACAGCGGUGCUCUCCAACUGGUGCUAUUUAAUAAGAGGAUGAUGACUCAACAUAAAAGUAAAUGGAUAGGCCCUUCGCAGAGGGAAGCAUGGAUUUGUAGAGGUGCUAGAGCUCAGUUUUGAAAUAGAUAUGAAUAAUAUUUUGAGCGGUAUACUUUCAUUGUCAACAUAACAACCGAGAGAUCUUGAUAUCUUCCAUGCUACACACCACUAGUAGAAAACAGGGCUUUGGUCGAGGGCAAUUUUCACAUUAGUCCCGGUUCAGUUAAGAACCGGGACUAAUGUGAGCAUUUAUCCCGGUUCGUGCGGCUAAGGCAUUAGUCCCGGUUCACCUGGGCCCUUUAGUCCCGGUUCGUGCCACGAACCGGGACUAAAUGGUGCGAUGCCCAUUAGUCCAGACCUUUUAAUGGGUUUUGAGGCAUUAGUACCGGUGCAUUGCACGAACCGGUACUAAAGGUCCCAUUUUCAACCCCCCCCGCCCCCCCCCUGGACCGCUUUUCAGUUUUAGAAAAAACAAAAGAAAAUGAUGGAAAUGUCAAUAAAAUAAAAUAAAAUAAGUUUCCCAUGUGGUAUGUGGUCUACUUGUUGGGAAAAUUUACAAAUAUGAAUUUCGACUUUAUUUGCAAAAUCUCUCUGGAAUUUGUAAAAUGGGCAUAACUUUUGCAUACGAACUCGGAUUAAAAAGUUUUUUAUAUAAAAAAUCAUCUACUUGAAAAGUUACAUCCGAAUUUAACAGGGGGAACCCCGUUAAACAUUUUCAAGGAGCCUUCUAUGCUAGAAACUCUAAAGAUCUAUGGUUUUAUUAGAUGAACUAGUGCAAACAAAUUAUCUAACAUUUUGGAACUCUUGUACUAAAACCCUUCGAUUCUGAAACUACAGAAACUAUUUAGAUUUAGACAUGGAAGUUUUAGUGCCCGAUAGAAGUGGAGGAUGGUCACUAACAAUAAUAGGUAAAAUAAGCAUCGAAAGAUGUUGCACCCUCCCCACUAUAAAAAGUAGGAACAUAUCUUUUUUACGAACCAUAAAUGAACUAGGAGAAAACAAAUUACAAAGCUCAGACUAGGCACACAACAAACCAACACAACCACCCAUGGAUGAAAGAGUUGCCCCCCCCAGCGCACAGAAUAGUACAAUAUGUCACGAUAAUGGAUCAUAGAGUAUCAACCAAAACAUAGGAGGUCUUUAGAUUCCAUCGUCAUCUAACAUAGCAAGUCAAGCACCUUGAGCCUUGGUCACCUGGUGGCCACCCAAUAAUACCACACAAAGAGAGGGAGGGUGUCAUAUAGGAAUUAGAUAAUCUGAUGAGCCAACUCAUCAUGUCAAGGCAUGAAGGAGCGCUCUCUAAGAGCCAGCUAUAGACACACCCACACACAAUGGCCUACAAAUCCACGCUCCAGGAGUUUCGACCGAUCCAUCACGCACAUAACAUGUGCCCAACAUUUUUUCUCCACACGCCACCGACUGUCGGCACCCGCUUGCCCCGCCCUCGCCAUCAAUGCAUUGCCUCUCCCUCAUGUUCAAUGUUACACUACAUCAUCAGUCUCCAUGCUAAGAGGUAAGCGGCCAAUUCCACAAAUGGUAUUCUACGCAACUAAGCCCUAGCGAUUUUGCCAUGAUGAUUAAUAAGAUGUAUAGACAAUGAUCAAUUGAGUCCUAUUGACUUCAUUCUCGCGAUAAGGUAUUGAUAUGCAAUUGAUUGGGUGCUAGUUAGAGAUGUAUAUUGGUCCUUGUCAUUACUGAGUUGGACACGUCAAUCGAUUAUAUUCUUUUAUCAUGUUUAUAUAGAAUCUUCAUAGAUUUGAGAUAGAUUUAAUUAUUAUUUGUUUCUUUAAUUCUGCAUUGUAUGCACCUAGCAGUGAAAAAAGGGGCGAACGAUUAUAUUAAUUUGUGAGGUUACAGAGGUCUAUAAUAUCUCAAGAAAUGUUAAAUGGUUUGGUAACUCUGUACAUUGAGAAGAAAAUGUUGGAUGAGAUUUAUAUCAAUGCCAUAAUUAGUGAUUUGGUAUGUCCAUAUUUUAAAGGAAAUUUUGAAUUAAUAUGUAUGUAUUUUUUGAAUGAAAAUUCCCUAUGAAGCACUUUAAAUGUUUAUUAAUAAUACUAUGUGCAUACAUGUAUAGAUUAAUAUUUUCCGUAAUUUUGUUAAGGGGUGUGGGUCCUAAUUACGACCCGGCCCCCAAAUUCUCAGGAAUGGCCCACUGUUUGGCCCAUGCAAAAUAGGAGGGAGACCCCAACAGUUUUAUUAUUAUUGUUGAGGAAUGAGGAUCCAACAUACGAGGUGGAGAUUUCGGCGAGAGCAUCUCCAAUUGCGGAUACAAAAUAGGGCAUGUUAUGCAAAAAACAUAUAUUUCUGUGGUCCCAUUUUAGGGCUGCCCAAACAAUCAGCCCAAGGAGGUGUUAAUUUGUGUCAUGCACCGUCGUGUCCAAAGGCAAAAAUGGCCACAGACCCACAUGCCACGCGAUGUGAAACUUCUAGACAGCCCCUCCCGUGAGCGUUAAACCUCCAGAUGCACCCACCCACACACCGCCGCCAUGGAUUCAGGCUCCCCUACCUCUCUCCGCCUCCCUCUGCCUCUCACUGCGCCGUCGUAAAUGCAACCGCCACAGAAUCCAACUGCCCCCCGUCGCCUCUAAAUCUGUCGCUGUUUCCCCUUCAUAUUCCACCUGCCUCCACUGCCUCCCCCGCCUCACUCUCCAUAAUGCAACAUCCCGUAACUAACUCAUGAUAUAAGGAAAUAUAAAUAACAACUUUAUUAUUGCCUCUAGUGCAUAUUUCCUUCAGUCACCCACUUGCACUAGAGUCAAUGAUCUAUAUUACAUUGUAAUGAUUCUAAUGAUAAACCACAAGUAUACGGGAUCGCAACAAUUUUCGAGGGUAGAGUAUUCAACCCAAAUUUAUUGAUUCGACACAAGGGGAGCCAAAGAAUAUUCUCGAGUAUUUGGAGCUGAAUUGUCAGUUCAACCACACCUGGAAACUUAGUAUCUACAACAAAUUAUUUAGUAGCAAAGUAAUAUGAUAGUAGUGGUAACGAUAGCAAAACAUAACGGUAGCAAAAGUAAUAUUUUUGGGUUUUGUAGCGAUGGUAACAGUCGCAGCAGAAAAAGUAAAUAAAGCGAAGAACAAUAUAGGAAAAGCUCGUAGGCAAUAGAUCGGUGAUAGAGAAUUAUGCCGGAUGCGAUCGAUCGUGUAACAUUCAUAACCUAGGGUGACACAGAACUAGCUCCAGUUCCUCAAUGUAAUGUAGGCAUGUAUUCCAGAUAUGGUCAUACGUGCUUAUGGAAAACAACUUGCAUGACAUCUUUUGUCCUACCCUCCCGUGGCAGCGGGGUCCUAUUGGAAACUAAGGGAUAUUAAGGCCUCCAUUUAAUACAGUAUCGGACCAAAGCAUUAACACAUAAUGAAUAAAUGAACUCUUCAAACUACGGUCAUCACCAGCAAGUAUCCCAAUUAUUAUCACUUAGGGGUUAACGGAUCAUAACACAUAAUAGGUGACUAUAGACUUGCAAGAUAGGAUCAAGAACUCUCAUAUAUUGAUGAAAACAUAAUAGGUUCAGAUCUCAAAUCAUGGCACUCGGGCCCUAGUGACAAGCAUUAAGCAUAGCAAAGUCAUAGCAACAUCAAUCUCAGAACAUAGUGGAUACUAGGGAUCAAACCCUAACAAAACUAACUCGAUUACAUGAUAAAUCUCAUCCAACCCAUCAACGUCCAGCAAGCCUACGAUGGAAUUGCUCAUGCACGGCAGUGAGCAUCAUGAAAUCGGUGAUGGAGGAUGGUUGACGAUGACGAUGGCGAUGGAUUCCCCUCUCCGGAGCCCCGAACGGACUCCAGAUCAACCCUCCCGAGAGACUUUAGGGCUUGGCGGCGGCUCCGUAUCGUAAAACGCGAUGAAUCCUUCUCUCUGAUUUUUUGUCCUGGAAAGUGAAUAUAUGGAGUCAAGGUUGAGAAUGGUGGAGCGUCAGGGGCCCCACGAGGCACGAGGUGCGCCCAGGGGGGUAGGGUGCGCCCCCACCCUCGUGGACAGGGUGUGGGCCCCCUGAGGUGGAUCUUUCUUCCAGUAUUUUCCAAAAAUAAUCUCCGUUGAUUUUCAGGUCAUUCCGAGAACUUUUAUUUCUGCCCAAAAAUAACACCAUGGCAAUUCUGCUGAAAAUAUCAUCAGUCCGGGUUAGUUCCAUUCAAAUCAUGCAAGUUAGAGUCAAAAACAAGGGCAAAAGUGCUUGGAAAAGUAGAUACGACGGAGACAUAUCAACUCCCCCAAGCUUAAACCUUUGCUUGUCCUUAAGAAAUUCAGUUGAUAAACUGAAAGUGAUAAAGAAAAACAAUUACAAACUCUGUUUGCUCUUGUUGUUGUAAAUAUGUAAAGACAGGAUUCAAGUUUUCAGCAAAGAUUAUGAACUAACCAUAUUCACAAUAACAUUUAGGUCUCAUGUUUACUCAUAUCAAUGGCAUAAUCAAUUAGCGAGCAAUAAUAAUAAAUCUCCGAUGACAACACCUUAUCAAAACAAUCAUGAUACGAUAUAACAAGAUGGUAUCUCGCUAGCCCUUUCUGAGACCGCAAAACAUAAAUGCAGAGCGCCUUAAAGAUCAAGGACUGACUAGACAUUGUAAUUCCUGGUAAAAGAGAUCCAGUCAAGUCAUACUCAAUGUAAACUAACAGUAAUGAAUGCAAAUGACAACGGUGCUCUCCAACUGGUGCUAUUUAAUAAGAGGAUGAUGACUCAACAUAAAAGUAAAUGGAUAGGCCCUUCGUAGAGGGAAGCAGGGAUUUGUAGAGGUACCAGAGCUCAGUUUUGAAAUAGAUAUGAAUAAUAUUUUGAGCGGUAUACUUUCAUUGUCAACAUAACAACCGAGAGAUCUAGAUAUCUUCCAUGCUACACACCACUAGUAGAAAACAAGGCUUUGGUCGAGGGCAGUUUUCACAUUAGUCCCGGUUCAGUUAAGAACCGGGACUAAUGUGAGCAUUUAUCCCGGUUCGUGCGGCUAAGGCAUUAGUCCCGGUUCACCCGGGCCCUUUAGUCCCGGUUCGUGCCACGAACCGGGACUAAAUGGUGCGAUGCCCAUUAGUCCAGACCUUUAGUACCGGUUGGUGCCACCAACCGGUACUAAUGGGUUUUGAGGCAUUAGUACCGGUUCAUGGCACGAACCGGUACUAAAGGUCCCAUUUUCANNNNNNNNNNNNNNNNNNNNNNNNNNNNNNNNNNNNNNNNNNNNNNNNNNNNNNNNNNNNNNNNNNNNNNNNNNNNNNNNNNNNNNNNNNNNNNNNNNNNNNNNNNNNNNNNNNNNNNNNNNNNNNNNNNNNNNNNNNNNNNNNNNNNNNNNNNNNNNNNNNNNNNNNNNNNNNNNNNNNNNNNNNNNNCGUGGACCACCUUUUCAGUUUUAGAAAAAACAAAAGAAAAUGAUGAAAAUGUCAAUAAAAUAAAAUAAAAUAAGUUUCCCAUGUGAUAUGUGGUCUACUUGUUGGGAAAAUUUACAAAUAUGAAUUUCGACUUUAUUUGCAAAAUCUCUCUGGAAUUUGUAAAAUGGGCAUAACUUUUGCAUACGAACUCGGAUUAAAAAGUUUUUUAUAUGAAAAAUCAUCUACUCGAAAAGCUACAUCCGAAUUUAACAGGGGGAACCCCGUUAAACAUUUUCAAGGAGCCUUCUAUGCUAGAAACUCUAAAGAUCUAUGGUUUGAUAAGAUGAACUAGCACAAACAAAUUAUCUAACAUUUUGGAACUCUUGUACUAAUACCCUUCGAUUCUGAAACUUCAGAAACUAUUUAGAUUUAGAAAUGGAAGUUUUAGUGCCCGAUAGAAGUGGAGGAUGGUCACUAACAAUAAUAGGUAAAAUAAGCAUCGAAAGAUGUUGCACCCUCCCCACUAUAAAAAGUAGGAGCAUAUCUUUUUUACGAACCAUUAAUGAACUAGGAGAAAACAUAUUACAAAGCUCAGACUAGGCACACAACAAACCAACAAAACCACCCAUGGAUGUAAGAGUUGCCCCCCAGCGCACAGAAUAGUACAAUAUGUCACGAUAAUGGAUCAUAGAGUAUCAACCAAAACACAGAAGGUCUUUAGAUUCCAUCGUCAUCUAACAUAGCAAGUCAAGCACCUUGAGCCUUGGUGACCUAGUGGCCACCCAAUAAUACCCCACAAAGAGAGGGAGGGUGUCAUAUAGGAAUUAGAUAAUCUGAUGAGCCAACUCAUCAUGUCAAGGCAUGAAGGAGCGCUCUCUAAGAGCCAGCUAUAAACACACCCACACACAAUGGCCUACAAAUCCACACUCCAGGAGUUUCGACCGAUCCAUCACGCACAUAACAUGUGCCCAACAUUUUUUCUCCACACGCCACCGACUGUCGGCACCCGCUUGCCCCGCCCUCGCCAUCAAUGCAUUGCCUCUCCCUCAUGUUCAAUGUUACACUACAUCAUCAGUCUCCAUGCUAAGAGGUAAGCGGCCAAUUCCACAAAUGGUAUUCUACACAACUAAGCCCUAGCGAUUUUGCCAUGAUGAUUAAUAAGAUGUAUAGACAAUGAUCAAUUGAGUCCUAUUGACUUCAUUCUCGCGAUAAGGUAUUGAUAAGCAAUUGAUUGGGUGCUAGUUAGAGAUGUAUAUUGGUCCUUGUCAUUACUGAGUUGGACACGUCAAUCGAUUAUAUUCUUUUAUCUUGUUUAUAUAGAAUCUUCAUAGAUUUGAGAUAGAUUUAAUUAUUGUUUGUUUCUUUAAUUCUGCAUUAUAUGCACCUAGCAGUGAAAAAAGGGGGGAACGAUUAUAUUAAUUCGUGAGGUUACAGAGGUCUAUAAUAUCUCAAGAAAUGUUAAAUGGUUUGGUAACUUUAUACAUUGAGAAGAAAAUGUUGGAUGAGAUUUAUAUCAACGCCAUAAUUAGUGAUUUGGUAUGUCCAUAUUUUAAAAGAAAUUUUGAAUUAAUAUGUAUGUAUUUUUGAAUGAAAAUUCCCUAUGAAGCACUUUAAAUGUUUAUUAAUAAUACUAUGUGCAUACAUGUAUAGAUUAAUAUUUUCCGUAAUUUUGUUAUGGGGUGUGGGUCCUAAUUGCGACCCGGCCCCCAAAUUCUCAGGAAUGGCCCACUGUUUGGCCCAUGCUAAAUAGGAGGGAGACCCCAAUAGUUUUAUUAUUAUUAUUGAGGAAUGAGGAGCCAACAUACGAGGUGGAGAUUUCUGCGAGAGCAUCUCCAAUAGCGGAUACAAAAUAGGGCAUGUUAUGCAAAAACACAUAUAUUUCUGUGGUCCCAUUUUAGGGCUGCCCAAACAAUCAGCCCAAGGGGGUGUUAAUUUGUGUCAUGCACCGUCGUGUCCAAAGGCAAAAACGGCCACAGACCCACAUGCCACGCGAUGUGAAACUUCUAGACGGCCCCUCCCGCGAGCGUUAAACCUCCAGAUGCACCCACCCACACACCGCCGCCAUGGAUUCAGGCUCCCCUACCUCUCUCCGCCUCCCUCUGCCUCUCACUGCGCCGUCGUAAACGCAACCGCCACAGAAUCCAACUGCCCCCAGUCGCCUCUAAAUCUGUCGCUGUUGCCCCUUCAUAUUCCACCUGCCUCCACUGCCUCCCCCGCCUCACUCUCCAUAAUGCAACAUCCCGUAACUAACUCAUGAUAUAAGGAAAUAUAAAUAACAACUUGAUUAUUGCCUCUAGUGCAUAUUUCCUUCAGUCUCCCACUUGCACUAGAGUCAAUGAUCUAGAUUACAUUGCAAUGAUUCUAAUGAUAAACCACAAGUAUUUCCUUCAGUCUCCCAGUGCAUAUUUACAAACUCUGUUUGCUCUUGUUGUUGUAAAUAUGUAAAGCCAGAAUUCAAGUUUUCAGCAAAGGUUAUGAACUAACCAUAUUCACAAUAACAUUUAGGUCUCAUGUUUACUCAUAUCAAUGGCAUAAUCAAUUAGCGAGCAAUAAUAAUAAAUCUCCGAUGACAACACCUUAUCAAAGCAAUCAUGAUAUGAUAUAACAAGAUGGUAUCUCGCUAGCCCUCUCUGAGACCGCAAAACAUAAAUGCAGAGCGCCUUUAAAGAUCAAGGACUGACUAGACAUUGUAAUUCAUGGUAAAAGAGAUCCAGUCAAGUCAUACUCAAUGUAAACUAACAGUAAUGAAUGCAAAUGACAGCGGUGCUCUCCAACUAGUGCUAUUUAAUAAGAGGAUGAUGACUCAACAUAACAGUAAAUGGAUAGGCCCUUUGCAGAGGGAAACAGGGAUUUGUAGAGGUGCCAGAGCUCAGUUUUGAAAUAGAUAUGAAUAAUAUUUUGAGCGGUAUACUUUCAUUGUCAACAUAACAACCGAGAGAUCUCGAUAUCUUCCAUGCUACACACCACUAGUAGAAAACAGGGCUUUGGUCCAGGGAAGUUUUCACAUUAGUCCCGGUUCAGUUAAGAACCGGGACUAAUGUGAGCAUUUAUCCCGGUUUGUGCGGCUAAGGCAUUAGUCCCGGUUCACCUGGGCCCUUUAGUCCUGGUUCGUGCCAUGAACCAGGACUAAACGGUGCGAUGCCCAUUAGUCCAGACCUUUAGUACCGGUUGGUGCCACCAACCGGUACUAAUGGGUUUUGAGGCAUUAGUACCGGUUCAUGGCACGAACCGGUACUAAAGGUCCCAUUUUCAACCCCCCCUGUGGACCGCCUUUUCAGUUUUACAAAAAACAAAAGAAAAUGAUGUCAAUAAAAUAAAAUAAAAUAAGUUUCCCAUGUGAUAUGUGGUCUACUUGUUGGGAAAAUUUACAAAUAUGAAUUUCAACUUUAUUUGCAAAAUCUCUCUGGAAUUUGUAAAAUGGGCAUAACUUUUGCAUACGAACUCGGAUUAAAAAGUUUUUUAUAUGAAAAAUCAUCUAAACGAACAGUUACAUCCAAAUUUAACAGGGGGAACCCCGUUAAACAUUUUCAAGGAGCCUUCUAUGCUAUAAACUCUAAAGAUCUAUGGUUUUAUUAGAUGAACUAGCGCAAACAAAUUAUCUAACAUUUUGGAACUCUUGUACUAAAACCCUUCGAUUCUGAAACUUCAGAAACUAUUUAGAUUUAGACAUGGAAGUUUUAGUGCCCGAUAUAAGUGGAGGAUGGUCACUAAAAAUAAUAGGUAAAAUAAGCAUCGAAAGAUGUUGCACCCUCCCCACUAUAAAAAGUAGGAACAUAUCUUUUUUACGAACCAUUAAUGAACUAGGAGAAAACAAAUUACAAAGCUCAGACUAGGCACACAACAAACCAACACAACCACUCAUGGAUGAAAGAGUUGCCCCCCCCCCUGCGCACAGAAUAGUACAAUAUGUCACAAUACUGGAUCAUAGAGUAUCAACCAAAACACAGGAGGUCUUUAGAUUCCAUCGUCAUCUAACAUAGCAAGUCAAGCACCUUGAGCCUUGGUCACCUGGUGGCCACCCAAUAAUACCCCACAAAGAGAGGGAGGGUGUCAUAUAGGAAUUAGAUAAUCUGAUGAGCCAACUUAUCAUGUCAAGGCAUGAAGGAGCGCUCUCUAAGAGCCAGCUAUAGACACACCCACACACAAUGGCCUACAAAUCCACACUCCAGGAGUUUCGACCGAUCCAUCGCGCACAUAACAUGUGCCAACAUUUUUUCUCCACACGCCACCGACUGUCGGCACCCACUUGCCCCGCCCUCGCCAUCAAUGCAUUGCCUCUCCCUCAUGUUCAAUGUUACACUACAUCAUCAGUCUCCAUGCUAAGAGGUAAGCGGCCAAUUCCACAAAUGGUAUUCUACGCAACUAAGCCCUAGCGAUUUUGCCAUGAUGAUUAAUAAGAUGUAUAGACAAUGAUCAAUUGAGUCCUAUUGACUUCAUUCUCGCGAUAAGGUAUUGAUAAGCAAUUGAUUGGGUGCUAGUUAGAGAUGUGUAUUGGUCCUUGUCAUUACUGAGUUGGACACGUCAAUCGAUUAUAUUCUUUUAUCAUGUUUAUAUAGAAUCUUCAUAGAUUUGAGAUAGAUUUAAUUAUUGUUUGUUUCUUUAAUUCUGCAUUGUAUGCACCUAGCAGUGAAAAAAGGGGGGAACGAUUAUAUUAAUUCGUGAGGUUACAGAGGUCUAUAAUAUCUCAAGAAAUGUUAAAUGGUUUGGUAACUUUAUACAUUGAGAAGAAAAUGUUGGAUGAGAUUUAUAUCAAUGCCAUAAUUAGUGAUUUGGUAUGUCCAUAUUUUAAAAGAAAUUUUGAAUUAAUAUGUAUGUAUUUUUUGAAUGAAAAUUCCCUAUGAAGCACUUUAAAUGUUUAUUAAUAAUACUAUGUGCAUACAUGUAGAGAUUAAUAUUUUUCGUAAUUUUGUUAAGGGGUGUGGGUCCUAAUUGCGACCCGGCCCCCAAAUUCUCUGGAAUGGCCCACUGUUUGGCCCAUGCGAAAUAGGAGGGAGACCCCAACAGUUUUAUUAUUAUUAUUGAGGAAUGAGGAGCCAACAUACGAGGUGGAGAUUUCUGCGAGAGCAUCUCCAAUAGCGGAUACAAAAUAGGGCAUGUUAUGCAAAAAAACAUAUAUUUCUAUGGUCCCAUUUUAGGGCUGCCCAAACAAUCAGCCCAAGGGGGUGUUAAUUUGUUUCAUGCACCGUCGUGUCCAAAGGCAAAAACGGCCACAGACCCACAUGCCACGCGAUGUGAAACUUCUAGACAGCCCCUCCCGUGAGUGUUAAACCUCCAGAUGCACCCACCCACACACUGCCGCCAUGGAUUCAGGCUCCCCUACCUCUCUCCGCCUCCCUCUGCCUCUCACUGCGCCAUCGUAAACGCAACCGCCACAGAAUCCAACUGCCCCCAGUCGCCUCUAAAUCUGUCGCUGUUGCCCCUUCAUAUUCCACCUGCCUCCACUGCCUCCCCCGCGUCACUCUCCAUAAUGCAACAUCCCGUAACUAACUCAUGAUAUAAGGAAAUAUAAAUAACAACUUGAUUAUUGCCUCUAGUGCAUAUUUCCUUCAGUCUCCCACUUGCACUAGAGUCAAUGAUCUAGAUUACAUUGUAAUGAUUCUAAUGAUAAACCACAAGUAUUUCCUUCAGUCUCCCAGUGCAUAUUUACAAACUCUGUUUGCUCUUGUUGUUGUAAACAUGUAAAGCCAGGAUUCAUGUUUUCAGCAAAGAUUAUGAACUAACCAUAUUCACAAUAACAUUUAGGUCUCACGUUUACUCAUAUCAAUGGCAUAAUCAACUAGCGAGCAAUAAUAAUAAAUCUCCGAUGACAACACCUUAUCAAAACAAUCAUGAUAUGAUAUAACAAGAUGGUAUCUCGCUAGCCCUUUCUGAGACCGCAAAACAUAAAUGCAGAGCGCCUUUAAAGAUCAAGGACUGACUAGACAUUGUAAUUCAUGGUAAAAGAGAUCCAGUCAAGUCAUACUCAAUGUAAACUACCAGUAAUGAAUGCAAAUGACAGCGGUGCUCUCCAACUGGUGCUAUUUAAUAAGAGGAUGAUGACUCAACAUAACAGUAAAUGGAUUGGCCCUUCGCAGAGGGAAGCAGGGAUUUGUAGAGGUGCCAGAGCUCAGUUUUGAAAUAGAUAUGAAUAAUAUUUUGAGCGGUAUACUUUCAUUGUCAACAUAACAACCGAGAGAUCUCGAUAUCUUCCAUGCUACACACCACUAGUAGAAAACAGGGCUUUGGUCCAGGGCAGUUUUCACAUUAGUCCCGGUUCAGUUAAGAACCGGGACUAAUGUGAGCAUUUAUCUCGGUUCGUGCGGCUAAGGCAUUAGUCCCGGUUCACCUGGGCCCUUUAGUCCCGGUUCGUGCCACGAACCGGGACUAAACGGUGCGACGCCCAUUAGUCCAGACCUUUAGUACCGGUUGGUGCCACCAACCGGUACUAAUGGGUUUUGAGGCAUUAGUACCGGUUCAUGGCACGAACCGGUACUAAAGGUCCCAUUUUCAACACCCCCCCCCCCCGUGGACCGCCUUUUCAGUUUUAGAAAAAACAAAAGAAAAUGAUGGAAAUGUCAAUAAAAUAAAAUAAAUUUCCCAUGUGAUAUGUGGUCUACUUGUUGGGAAAAUUUACAAAUAUGAAUUUUGAGUUUAUUUGCAAAAUCUCUGUGGAAUUUGUAAAAUGGGCAUAACUUUUGCAUACGAACUCGGAUUAAAAAGUUUUUUAUAUGAAAAAUCAUCUACUCGAAAAGUUACAUCCAAAUUUAACAGGCGGAACCCCAUCAAACAUUUUCAAGGAGCCCUCUAUGCUAGAAACUCUAAAGAUCUAUGGUUUUAUUAGAUGAACUAGCGCAAACAAAUUAUCUAACAUUUUGGAACUCUUGUACUAAAACCCUUCGAUUCUGAAACUUCAGAAACUAUUUAGAUUUAGACAUGGAAGUUUUAGUGCCCGAUAGAAGUGGAGGAUGGUCACUAAAAAUAAUAGGUAAAAUAAGCAUCGAAAGAUGUUGCACCCUCCCCACUAUAAAAAGUAGGAACAUAUCUUUUUUACGAACCAUUAAUGAACUAGGAGAAAACAAAUUACAAAGCUCAGACUAGGCACACAACAAACCAACACAACCACUCAUGGAUGAAAGAGUUGCCCCCCCCCUGCGCACAGAAUAGUACAAUAUGUCACAAUACUGGAUCAUAGAGUAUCAACCAAAACACAGGAGGUCUUUAGAUUCCAUCGUCAUCUAACAUAGCAAGUCAAGCACCUUGAGCCUUGGUCACCUGGUGGCCACCCAAUAAUACCCCACAAAGAGAGGGAGGGUGUCAUAUAGGAAUUAGAUAAUCUGAUGAGCCAACUUAUCAUGUCAAGGCAUGAAGGAGCGCUCUCUAAGAGCCAGCUAUAGACACACCCACACACAAUGGCCUACAAAUCCACACUCCAGGAGUUUCGACCGAUCCAUCGCGCACAUAACAUGUGCCAACAUUUUUUCUCCACACGCCACCGACUGUCGGCACCCACUUGCCCCGCCCUCGCCAUCAAUGCAUUGCCUCUCCCUCAUGUUCAAUGUUACACUACAUCAUCAGUCUCCAUGCUAAGAGGUAAGCGGCCAAUUCCACAAAUGGUAUUCUACGCAAUUAAGCCCAAGCGAUUUUGCCACGAUGAUUAAUAAGAUGUAUAGACAGUGAUCAAUUGAGGCCUAUUGACUUCAUUCUCGCGAUAAGGUAUUGAUAAGCAAUUGAUUGGGUGCUAGUUAGAGAUGUAUAUUGGUCCUUGUCAUUACUGAGUUGGACACGUCAAUCGAUUAUAUUCUUUUAUCAUGUUUAUAUAGAAUCUUCAUAGAUUUGAGAUAGAUUUAAUUAUUGUUUGUUUCUUUAAUUCUGCAUUGUAUGCACCUAGCAGUGAAAAAAGGGGGGAACGAUUAUAUUAAUUCGUGAGGUUACAGAGGUCUAUAAUAUCUCAAGAAAUGUUAAAUGGUUUGGUAACUUUAUACAUUGAGAAGAAAAUGUUGGAUGAGAUUUAUAUCAAUGCCAUAAUUAGUGAUUUGGUAUGUCCAUAUUUUAAAAGAAAUUUUGAAUUAAUAUGUAUGUAUUUUUUGAAUGAAAAUUCCCUAUGAAGCACUUUAAAUGUUUAUUAAUAAUACUAUGUGCAUACAUGUAGAGAUUAAUAUUUUUCGUAAUUUUGUUAAGGGGUGUGGGUCCUAAUUGCGACCCGGCCCCCAAAUUCUCCGGAAUGGCCCACUGUUUGGCCCAUGCGAAAUAGGAGGGAGACCCCAACAGUUUUAUUAUUAUUAUUGAGGAAUGAGGAGCCAACAUACGAGGUGGAGAUUUCUGCGAGAGCAUCUCCAAUAGCGGAUACAAAAUAGGGCAUGUUAUGCAAAAAAACAUAUAUUUCUAUGGUCCCAUUUUAGGGCUGCCCAAACAAUCAGCCCAAGGGGGUGUUAAUUUGUUUCAUGCACCGUCGUGUCCAAAGGCAAAAACGGCCACAGACCCACAUGCCACGCGAUGUGAAACUUCUAGACAGCCCCUCCCGUGAGUGUUAAACCUCCAGAUGCACCCACCCACACACUGCCGCCAUGGAUUCAGGCUCCCCUACCUCUCUCCGCCUCCCUCUGCCUCUCACUGCGCCAUCGUAAACGCAACCGCCACAGAAUCCAACUGCCCCCAGUCGCCUCUAAAUCUGUCGCUGUUGCCCCUUCAUAUUCCACCUGCCUCCACUGCCUCCCCCGCGUCACUCUCCAUAAUGCAACAUCCCGUAACUAACUCAUGAUAUAAGGAAAUAUAAAUAACAACUUGAUUAUUGCCUCUAGUGCAUAUUUCCUUCAGUCUCCCACUUGCACUAGAGUCAAUGAUCUAGAUUACAUUGUAAUGAUUCUAAUGAUAAACCACAAGUAUUUCCUUCAGUCUCCCAGUGCAUAUUUACAAACUCUGUUUGCUCUUGUUGUUGUAAACAUGUAAAGCCAGGAUUCAUGUUUUCAGCAAAGAUUAUGAACUAACCAUAUUCACAAUAACAUUUAGGUCUCACGUUUACUCAUAUCAAUGGCAUAAUCAACUAGCGAGCAAUAAUAAUAAAUCUCCGAUGACAACACCUUAUCAAAACAAUCAUGAUAUGAUAUAACAAGAUGGUAUCUCGCUAGCCCUUUCUGAGACCGCAAAACAUAAAUGCAGAGCGCCUUUAAAGAUCAAGGACUGACUAGACAUUGUAAUUCAUGGUAAAAGAGAUCCAGUCAAGUCAUACUCAAUGUAAACUACCAGUAAUGAAUGCAAAUGACAGCGGUGCUCUCCAACUAGUGCUAUUUAAUAAGAGGAUGAUGACUCAACAUAACAGUAAAUGGAUUGGCCCUUCGCAGAGGGAAGCAGGGAUUUGUAGAGGUGCCAGAGCUCAGUUUUGAAAUAGAUAUGAAUAAUAUUUUGAGCGGUAUACUUUCAUUGUCAACAUAACAACCGAGAGAUCUCGAUAUCUUCCAUGCUACACACCACUAGUAGAAAACAGGGCUUUGGUCCAGGGCAGUUUUCACAUUAGUCCCGGUUCAGUUAAGAACCGGGACUAAUGUGAGCAUUUAUCUCGGUUCGUGCGGCUAAGGCAUUAGUCCCGGUUCACCUGGGCCCUUUAGUCCCGGUUUGUGCCACGAACCGGGACUAAACGGUGCGACGCCCAUUAGUCCAGACCUUUAGUNNNNNNNNNNNNNNNNNNNNNNNNNNNNNNNNNNNNNNNNNNNNNNNNNNNNNNNNNNNNNNNNNNNNNNNNNNNNNNNNNNNNNNNNNNNNNNNNNNNNNNNNNNNNNNNNNNNNNNNNNNNNNNNNNNNNNNNNNNNNNNNNNNNNNNNNNNNNNNNNNNNNNGUUUUAGAAAAAACAAAAGAAAAUGAUGGAAAUGUCAAUAAAAUAAAAUAAAUUUCCCAUGUGAUAUGUGGUCUACUUGUUGGGAAAAUUUACAAAUAUGAAUUUUGAGUUUAUUUGCAAAAUCUCUCUGGAAUUUGUAAAAUGGGCAUAACUUUUGCAUACGAACUCGGAUUAAAAAGUUUUUUAUAUGAAAAAUCAUCUACUCGAAAAGUUACAUCCAAAUUUAACAGGCGGAACCCCAUCAAACAUUUUCAAGGAGCCCUCUAUGCUAGAAACUCUAAAGAUCUAUGGUUUUAUUAGAUGAACUAGCGCAAACAAAUUAUCUAACAUUUUGGAACUCUUGUACUAAAACCCUUCGAUUCUGAAACUUCAGAAACUAUUUAGAUUUAGACAUGGAAGUUUUAGUGCCCGAUAGAAGUGGAGGAUGGUCACUAACAAUAAUAAGUAAAAUAAGCAUCGAAAGAUGUUGCACCCUCCCCACUAUAAAAAGUAGGAACAUAUCUUUUUUACGAACCAUUAAUGAACUAGGAGAAAACAAAUUACAAAGCUCAGACUAGGCACACAACAAACCAACACAACCACUCAUGGAUGAAAGAGUUGNNNNNNNNNNNNNNNNNNNNNNNNNNNNNNNNNNNNNNNNNNNNNNNNNNNNNNNNNNNNNNNNNNNNNNNNNNNNNNNNNNNAGAAUAGUACAAUAUGUCAUGAUAAUGGAUCAUAGAGUAUCAACCAAAACACAGGAGGUCUUUAGAUUCCAUCGUCAUCUAACAUAGCAAGUCAAGCACCUUGAGCCUUGGUCACCUGGUGGCCACCCAAUAAUACCCCACAAAGAGAGGGAGGGUGUCAUAUAGGAAUUAGAUAAUCUGAUGAGCCAACUCAUCAUGUCAAGGCAUGAAGGAGCGCUCUCUAAGAGCCAGCUAUAGACACACCCACACACAAUGGCCUACAAAUCCACACUCCAGGAGUUUCGACCGAUCCAUCACGCACAUAACAUGUGCCCAACAUUUUUUCUCCACACGCCACUGACUAUCGGCACCCGCUUGCCCCGCCCUCGCCAUCAAUGCAUUACCUCUCCCUCAUGUUCAAUGUUACACUACAUCAUCAGUCUCCACGCUAAGAGGUAAGCGGCCAAUUCCACAAAUGGUAUUCUACGCAAUUAAGCCCAAGCGAUUUUGCCACGAUGAUUAAUAAGAUGUAUAGAAAGUGAUCAAUUGAGGCCUAUUGACUUCAUUCUCGCGAUAAGGUAUUGAUAAGCAAUUGAUUGGGUGCUAGUUAGAGAUGUAUAUUGGUCCUUGUCAUUACUGAGUUGGACACGUCAAUCGAUUAUAUUCUUUUAUCAUGUUUAUAUAGAAUCUUCAUAGAUUUGAGAUAGAUUUAAUUAUUAUUUGUUUCUUUAAUUCUGCAUUGUAUGCACCUAGCAGUGAAAAAAGGGGGGACCGAUUAUAUUAAUUCGUGAGGUUACAGAGGUCUAUAAUAUCUCAAGAAAUGUUAAAUGGUUGGUAACUUUAUACAUUGAGAAGAAAAUGUUGGAUGAGAUUUAUAUCAAUGCCAUAAUUAGUGAUUUGGUAUGUCCAUAUUUUAAAAGAAAUUUUGAAUUAAUAUGUAUGUAUUUUUUGAAUGAAAAUUCCCUAUGAAGCACUUUAAAUGUUUAUUAAUAAUACUAUGUGCAUACAUGUAUAGACUAAUAUUUUCCGUAAUUUUGUUAAGGGGUGUGGGUCCUAAUUCCGACCCGGCCCCCAAAUUCUCAGGAAUGGCCCACUGUUUGGCCCAUGCGAAAUAGGAGGGAGACCCCAACAGUUUUAUUAUUAUUAUUGAGGAAUGAGGAGCCAACAUACGAGGUGGAGAUUUCUGCGAGAGCAUCUCCAAUAGCGGAUACAAAAUAGGGCAUGUUAUGCAAAGAACAUAUAUUUCUGUGGUCCCAUUUUAGGGCUGCCCAAACAAUCAGCCCAAGGGGGUGUUAAUUUGUGUCAUGCACCGUCGUGUCCAAAGGCAAAAACGGCCACAGACCCACAUGCCACGCGAUGUGAAACUUCUAGACGGCCCCUCCCCUGAGCGUUAAACCUCCAGAUGCACCCACCCACACACCGCCGCCAUGGAUUCAGGCUCCCCUACCUCUCUCCGCCUCCCUCUGCCUCUCACUGCGCCCUCGUAAACGCAACCGCCAUAGAAUCCAACUGCCCCCAGUCGCCUAUAAAUCUAUCACUGUUGCCCCUUCAUAUUCCACCUGCCUCCACUGCCUCCCCCGCCUCACUCUCCAUAAUGCAACAUCCCCUAACUAACUCAUGAUAUAAGGAAAUAUAAAUAACAACUUUAUUAUUGCCUCUAGUGCAUAUUUCCUUCAGUCUCCCACUUGCACUAGAGUCAAUGAUCUAAAUUACAUUGUAAUGAUUCUAAUGAUAAACCACAAGUAUUUCCUUCAGUCUCCCAGUGCAUAUUUACAAACUCUGUUUGCUCUUGUUGUUGUAAAUAUGUAAAGCCAGGAUUCAAGUUUUCAGCAAAGAUUAUGAACUAACCAUAUUCACAAUAACAUUUAGGUCUCAUGUUUACUCAUAUCAAUGGCAUAAUCAACUAGCAAGCAAUAAUAAUAAAUCUCCGAUGAUAACACCUUAUCAAAACAAUCAUGAUAUGAUAUAACAAGAUGGUAUCUCGCUAGCCCUUUCUGAGACCGCAAAACAUAAAUGCAGAGCGCCUUUAAAGAUCAAGGACUGACUAGACAUCGUAAUUCAUGGUAAAAGAGAUCCAGUCAAGUCAUACUCAAUGUAAACUAACAGUAAUGAAUGCAAAUGACAGCGGUGCUCUCCAACUGGUGCUAUUUAAUAAGAGGAUGAUGACUCAACAUAAAAGUAAAUGGAUAGGCCCUUUGCAGAGGGAAGCAGGGAUUUGUAGAGGCGCCAGAGCUCAGUUUUGAAAUAGAUAUGAAUAAUAUUUUGAGCGGUAUACUUUCAUUGUCAACAUAACAACCGAGAGAUCUCGAUAUCUUCCAUGCUACACACCACUAGUAGAAAACAGGGCUUUGGUCCAGGGCAGUUUUCACAUUAGUCCCGGUUCAGUUAAGAACCGGGACUAAUGUGAGCAUUUAUCCCGGUUUGUGCGGCUAAGGCAUUAGUCCCGGUUCACCUGGGCCCUUUAGUCCUGGUUCGUGCCAUGAACCAGGACUAAACGGUGCGAUGCCCAUUAGUCCAGACCUUUAGUACCGGUUGGUGUCACCAACCAGUACUAAUGGGUUUUGAGGCAUUAGUACCGGUUCAUGGCACGAACCGGUACUAAAGGUCCCAUUUUCAUCCCCCCCUGUGGACCGCCUUUUCAGUUUUAGAAAAAAAAGAAAAUGAUGUCAAUAAAAUAAAAUAAAAUAAGUUUCCCAUGUGAUAUGUGGUCUACUUGUUGGGAAAAUUUACAAAUAUGAAUUUUGAGUUUAUUUGCAAAAUCUCUCUGGAAUUUGUAAAAUGGGCAUAACUUUUGCAUACGAACUCGGAUUAAAACGUUUUUUAUAUGAAAAAUCAUCUACUCGAAAAGUUACAUCCGAAUUUAACAGGGGAACCCCGUUAAACAUUUUCAAGGAGCCUUCUAUGCUAGAAACUCUAAAGAUCUAUGGUUUUAUUAGAUGAACUAGCGCAAACAAAUUAUCUAACAUUUUGGAACUCUUGUACUAAAACCCUUCGAUUCUGAAACUUUAGAAACUAUUUAGAUUUAGACAUGGAAGUUUUAGUGCCCGAUAGAAGUGAAGGAUGGUCACUAACAAUAAUAGGUAAAAUAAGCAUCGAAAGAUGUUGCACCCUCCCCACUAUAAAAAGUAGGAACAUAUCUUUUUUACGAACCAUUAAUGAACUAGGAGAAAACAAAUUACAAAGCUCAGACUAGGCACACAACNNNNNNNNNNNNNNNNNNNNNNNNNNNNNNNNNNNNNNNNNNNNNNNNNNNNNNAGAAUAGUACAAUAUGUCAUGAUAAUGGAUCAUAGAGUAUCAACCAAAACACAGGAGGUCUUUAGAUUCCAUCGUCAUCUAACAUAGCAAGUCAAGCACCUUGAGCCUUGGUCACCUGGUGGCCACCCAAUAAUACCCCACAAAGAGAGGGAGGGUGUCAUAUAGGAAUUAGAUAAUCUGAUGAGCCAACUCAUCAUGUCAAGGCAUGAAGGAGCGCUCUCUAAGAGCCAGCUAUAGACACACCCACACACAAUGGCCUACAAAUCCACACUCUAGGAGUUUCGACCGAUCCAUCACGCACAUAACAUGUGCGCAACAUUUUUUCUCCACACGCCACCGACUGUCGGCACCCGCUUGCCCCGCCCUCUCCAUCAAUGCAUUGCCUCUCCCUCAUGUUCAAUGUUGCACUACAUCAUCAGUCUCCAUGCUAAGAGGUAAGCGGCCAAUUCCACAAAUGGUAUUCUAUGCAACUAAGCCCUAGCGAUUUUGCCAUGAUGAUUAAUAAGAUGUAUAGACAAUGAUCAAUUGAGUCCUAUUGACUUCAUUCUCGCGAUAAGGUAUUGAUAAGCAAUUGAUUGGGUGCUAGUUAGAGAUGUAUAUUGGUCCUUGUCAUUACUGAGUUGGACACGUCAAUCGAUUAUAUUCUUUUAUCAUGUUUAUAUAGAAUCUUCAUAGAUUUGAGAUAGAUUUAAUUAUUUGAGAUAGAAUCUUCACAGAAAAUGGCCCCUUGGACAAUGAGCUCUCCGUAUCGUCAAGGUUGAGAACGGUGGAGCGUCAGGGGGCCCACGAGGCAGGGGGGCGCGCCCAGGGGGUAGGGCGCGCCCCCACCCUCGUGGAUAGGGUGUGGGCCCCCUGACGUGGAUCUUUCUUCCAGUAUUUUUUAUAUAUUCCAAAACUAAUCUCCGUUGAUUUUCAGGUCAUUCCGAGAACUUUUAUUUCUGCACAAAAAUAACACCAUGGCAAUUCUGCUGAAAACAGUGUCAGUCUGGGUUAGUUCCAUUCAAAUCAUGCAAGUUAGAGUCGAAAACAAGGGCAAAAGUGCUUGGAAAAGUAGAUACGACGGAGACAUAUCAACUCCCCCAAGCUUAAACCUUUGCUUGUCCUCAAGCAAUUCGGUUGAUAAACUGAAAGUGAUAAAGAAAAACAUUUACAAACUCGGUUUGCUCUUGUUGUUGUAAAUAUGUAAAGCCAGGAUUCAAGUUUUCAACAAAGAUUAUGAACUAACCAUAUUAACAAUAACAUUUAGGUCUCAUGUUUACUCAUAUCAAUGGCAUAAUCAACUAGCAAGCAAUAAUAAUAAAUCUCGGAGAAAAACAAGAUGGUAUCUCGCUAGCCCUUUCUGAGACCGCAAAACAUAAAUGCAGAGCGCCUUUAAAGAUCAAGGACUGACUAGACAUUGUAAUUCAUGGUAAAAGAGAUCCAGUCAAGUCAUACUCAAUGUAAACUAACAGUAAUGAAUGCAAAUGACAGUGGUGCUCUCCAACUAGUGCUAUUUAAUAAGAGGAUGAUGACUCAACAUAAAAGUAAAUGGAUAGGCCCUUCGCAGAGGGAAGCAGGGAUUUGUAGAGGCGCCAGAGCUCAGUUUUGAAAUAGAUAUGAAUAAUAUUUUGAGCGGUAUACUUUCAUUGUCAACAUAACAACCGAGAGAUCUCGAUAUCUUCCAUGCUACACACCACUAGUAGAAAACAGGGCUUUGGUCCAGGGCAGUUUUCACAUUAGUCCUGGUUCAGUUAUAACACCUUAUCAAAACAAUCAUGAUAUGAUAUAACAAGAUGGUAUCUUGCUAGCCCUUUCUGAGACCGCAAAACAUAAAUGCAGAGCACCUUUAAAGAUCAAGGACUGACUAGACAUUCUAAUUCAUGGUAAAAGAGAUCCAGUCAAGUCAUACUCAAUGUAAACUAAUAGUAAUGAAUGCAAAUGACAGCGUUGCUCUCUAACUGGUGCUAUUUAAUAAGAGGAUGAUGACUCAACAUAAAAGUAAAUGGAUAGGCCCUUUGCAGAGGGAAGUAGGGAUUUGUAGAGGUGCCAGAGCUCGGUUUUGAAAUAGAUAUGAAUAAUAUUUUGAGCGGUAUACUUUCAUUGUCAACAUAACAACCGAUCUCGAUAUCUUCCAUGCUACACACAUUAUAUGUGGUUCCCAAACAGAAUGGUAAAGUUUAUACUACCCCUCCGCCAACAAGCAUCAAUCCAUGGCUUGCUCGAAACACCAAUUGCCUCCAACUAAGAACAAUCCUGGGGAGUUUUGUUUGCAGUUAUUUUGAUUUGAUUUGCAUAAACCAUGGGACUGGGCAUCCCGGUGACCAGCCAUGUUCUCGAGAGUGAGGAGCGGAGUCCACUCCUCUUGCGAAUAACCCGCCUAGCAUGGAAGAUACAGACAACCCUAGUUGAUACAUGAGCUAUUCGAGCAUACAAAACAGAAUGUUUAUUUGAAGGUUUAGAGUUUGGCACAUACAAAUUUACUUGGAACGGCAGGUAGAUACCGUAUAUAGGUAGGUAUGGUGGACUCAUAUUGAACAACUUUGGGGUUUAUGGAAUUGGAUGCACAAGCAGUAUUCCCGCUUAGUACAAGUGAAGGCUAGAAAAAGACUGGGAAGUGACCAUCUAGAGAGCAACAACAGUCACAAACAUGCAUUAAAAUUAAUCAACACCGAAUGCAAGCAUGAGUAGGAUAUAAUGAACCAUGAACAUAAAUAUCAUAGAGGCUAUGUUGAUUUUGUUUCAACUACAUGCGUGAACAUGUGCUAAGUCAAGCCACUCGAAUCAUUCAAAAGAGGAUACCACCCUAUCAUACCACAUCACAACCAUUUUAAUAGCAUGUUGGCACGCAAGUAAACAAUUUUAAGCUCCUAGCUAAUUAAGUUAAGCAUGGCAUAAGCAACUACAAUCUCUAAUUGUCAUUGCAAACAUGUUCAUUCAUAAUAGGCUGAAUCAGGAACAAUGAACUAAUCAUAUUUACAAAAACAAGAGAGGUCGAGUUGAUACCAACUUUUCUCAUCUCAAUAAGUUCAUCAUAUAAUCAUCAUUAUCGUCUUUCACUUGCAUGACCGAAUAGUGUGGAAAUAAUAAUAGUGCACGUGAAGUGGACUAAGCUGGAAUCUGCAAGCAUUCAAUUCAAGAUAGAAGAUAAGGUAAUAUGGGCUCUUUGUUAGAUCAACAAUAAUGCAUAUGAGAGCCACUCAACAUUUUAAUCAUGGUCUUCUCCUCUCAACCCCCAAAGAACAAGAAAGAAAUAAAACUAUUUACACGGGAAAGCUCCCAACAAGCAAAAGAAGAAGGAGAAAUCUUUUUGGGUUUUCUUUUUAAUUACUACUACCGCAUGGGAAGUAAACUAACUAAAAGCUAUAACUAAUUUUUUUGGUUUUUCUUAAGGUUUAUCAAACACACAAGAAGAAAGCAUAGAAAGGGAAAUACUAGCAUGGAUAUUACAAUGAAAAAGUAUGAGCACCGACAACUAGCAUGAGUGUCUGAACAGGAAUGUAAUGUCGGUGAGAGAUACGUGCUCCCCCAAGCUGAGGCUUUUGGCCUAAGUUGGUCUAUGGCCACGGCUGGCCUGGCGGAUAUCCAAAGUUGUAGUUGGGGUCGUACUGAGAUGCAACGGCAAUUGCCUGAUGAGCUGUAGCUUGGAGGCGAGUUGUCUCCUCCCUCCUCUCGUACUCGGUCGCUUCGUCCUUGGUUAUAAAAUGUCGCCCCUUUGCCUGAAAGUCAAAGAAAGUAGGAGUAGGGAGGGCGACCUGAUAGGUGCAUCGUCUGUCAAAGAUUAGUCGGUACUGGAGGAACUGAUCGUUCCUCUCAACAAACUGAUGACGAACCAUAGCCUCGUAAUCUAAAUAAGAAGGAGCCAACUCGAUAUAUCUCCACGUAUGGGUAUCUCAAGAAAGUUAGCUAUACGAGUUGCAUAAAUUCCACCAAAGAAAUCUCCAUGAAUACGAUUAUUUUGCAACCUACGUGCAACAAUGGCUCCCAAAUUAUAAUGUUUAUCUCCUACUACAGCACUCCCGAGAACACAGCGAUCAGGGACACACAUGUGACAUGCUUCAUCCAUACCAUUGAUGCAUCUACCUAUGAAGAGAGCAAAAUAAUAUAUAGCAGGAAAAUGAAUCCUCCCUAUGGUAGCUUGUGUUAUAUCUCUAGACUCUCCCACAGUUAUACUAGCAAGAAAAUCUCUAAACUUAGAUUUGCGAGGCUCACUAGUGCUACCCCAUUGUGGAAGUUUACAAGCAGUUUUAAAAUCUUCUAAGUCCAUAGUAUAAGAACUUUCAUAAAGAUCAAACAGGACAGUAUGAGAAUUGCGUGAUGAUGAAAAUUUAACCCUUCUCACAAAUGAAUCAGUUAAAUAGAGGUAUUGACGGCACUUAUCUGCCUCGAAGCUCUCCAGAGCAGCAUUACGCUCAUAUGCGUCAAAUUCCUCCUUGAUUCCUGCUUGAACCAUGAAGUCCUCUGACGGCCAUUCACAAGGCCGCACUUGAGUGUCCCUUGGUGGUUCAUCGUCCGGCUCACGCAUUGAGGGCCUGGGUCCUUGCUUCCUUGAAGAACCACCUUGGUACAUUUUCCUAAACAUAUUUCCGCCUCUAAAAAAUUUCUGAAAUUUUUAGUAACAUCAAAAUAAAAGUGAACCAAACUCAACAAAAUUGAUAGCACCUACCCGACAAGUGCCUAGAGACUAUAUCAUGCAUUAAAACUACUUUUGACCAUAUAAAUUUGACAUGCAAGUUCAAGAAUAGGGUCACCUAAGCAGCAAAAAUUUGCAAUGAAUAAAACACUAGAACAAAAACUAAUUGGACCAACGGAGGAGUCACAUACCAAAGAACAAUCCCCCAAAGCAGUUUUGUGAAUGGAGCUUUGAGCAAGGAGAUCGAAAAUGGCAGCAAGAUGAGGUAGAACUCGUGCUUGAGCUGGUUAGCGAUUUUUUUGGGAGGAAGAAGGAGUGUGUGGUGGCUGGAAUAAGUGGAGGGGAGCCACCAUGGGCCCACGAGGCGCGCCCUGGACCCUCGUGGCUAGGUGCUUGCUCCCCUGCUGUAUUCUCAGUGCCAGAUAUCUUCAAAUAUUCCAGAAAAAAUCAUAUUUAAAUUUUAGGGCAUUUGGAGAACUUUCAUUUUCGGGGUAUUUUUUUAUUGCAUGGAUAAUUCAGGAGACUGACAGAAAAAUACUAUUUUUAUUUAUUUAAUAUAAAUAACAGAAAAUUAAAAAAAUACCAUUUCUUGUUGUGUUUUCUAACUUCAUCCAUCUCAUGCUCAUCAAAAGGAAUCCACUAACAAGGUUGAUCAUGUCUUGUUAACAAAUUCAUUUCACGUAACAUGAAAUCGGAGAAAUUUCGAAUAACACUAUGUUACCUCAACGGGGAUAUGCACGUCCCCAAUAAUAAGAAUAUCAUAUUUCUUCUUGACAGUAGGUAGAGGAAAUUCAAAACCUCCAAAAAUAAUCGUCGAAAUUUUUCUGAUAGAGUUUAUACUAUGAACUUGAGGUUGUUUCCUCGGAAAGUGUACCGUAUGCUCAUUGCCAUUAACAUGAAAAGUGACAUUGCCUUUGUUGCAAUCAAUAACAGCCCCUGCAGUAUUCAAAAAGGGUCUUCCCAGAAUAAUACAUACUAUCAUCCUCGGGAAUAUCAAGAAUAACAAAGUCCGUUAAAAUAGUAAUGUUUGCAACCACAACAGGCACAUCGUCACAAAUACCGACAGGUAUAGAAGUUGAUUUAUCAGCCAUUUGCAAAGAUAAUUUCACUAGGUGUCAACUUAUUCAAAUCAAGUCUAUGAUAUAAAGAGAGAGGCAUAACACUAACACCGGCUCCAAGAUCACAUAAAGUAGUUCUAACAUAUUUUCUUUUAAUGGAUCAUGGUAUAGUUGGUACUCCUGGAUCUGCUAGUUUCUUUGGUAUUCCACCCUUAAAAGUAUAAUUAGCAAGCAUGGUGGAAAUUUCAGAUUCCGGUAUCUUUCUUUUAUUAGUAACAAUAUCCUUCAUGUACUUAUCAUAAGGAUUCAUUUUAAGCAUAUCGGUCAAAUGCAUACGCAAAAAGAUACGUCUAAUCAUUGCAGCAAAGCGCUCAAAAUCCUCAUCAUCCUUUUUCUUGGAUGGUUUAGGAGGAAAAUGCAUGGGUUUCCGAACCCAUGGGUCUCUUUCUUUACCGUGCUUCCUAGCAACAAAGUCUCUUAUCAUAACGUUGAUUCUUUGAUUGUGGGAUAUCAAUAUCAACAACAGGUUCAACCUCUACAUCAUUGUCAUUGCUAGGUUGAGCAUCGACAUGAACAUCAUCAUUAACAUUAUCACUAGGUUCAUCUUCGUUACCAGCUUGUGUUUCAGCAUCAGAAAUAGAAAUAUCAUUGGGAUUCUCAGGUGUGUCAACAACAGGUUCACUAGAAGCACGCAAAAUCCUAUCAUUUUUCUUUUUCUUCCUUUUAUAAGGACUAGGUGCAUCUACAUUAGUUCUCUAAGAAUCUUGCUCAAUUCUCUUAGGAUGGCCUUCAGGAUACAAAGGUUCCUGAGUCAUUUUACCACCUCUAGUCACUACUCUAACAUCAUUAUUAUUUUUCUUACUAUUUAAUUCACUGAGCAAAUCAUUCUGAGCUAUUAGUACUUGUUCUACUUGAGUGGUAACCAUAAAAGCAUGUUUACUAAUAAGUUUAAUUUCACCUUUAACAUUAGCCAUAUAAUCAGUCAAGUGUUCGAUCAUAUAAGCAUUAUGUUUCAAUUGUGUACCAACAUAAGCAUUAAAAUCUUCUUGCUUAACCAUAAAGUAAUCGAAUUCAUCCAAACAUUGGCUAGCAAACUUAGUAGGAGGGAUUUCAACUUUAUCAUAUCUAUAGAGAGAAUUUACCUUUAGUACCUGUGUUGGGUUAUCAAGACUGUGUGUUUCUUCAAUAGGUGAUGAAUUAAGACCAUGUAUUUCUUCAACGGGUGGUAAAUUCUUAACAUCUUCAGCUUUAAUACCUUCUUCUUUCAUAGAUUUCUUUGCCUCUUGCAUAUCUUCAGGACUGAGAAAUAGAAUACCCCUUUUCUUCGGAGUUGGCUUAGGAGUUGGUUUAGGAAGUGUCAAAUUAUUUUCAUUAGUCAACAUAUUAUUCAAUAGAAUUUCAGCUAGAUCAAUAGUUUUUUCCCUGAAUACACAACCAGCACAACUAUCCAGGUGGUCUCUGGAAGCUUCGGUUAGUCCACUAUGAAAUAUAUCAAGUAUUUCAUUUUUCUUGAGAGGAUGAUCAGGCAAAGCAUUAAGUAAUUGGAGAAGCCUCCCCCAAGCUUGUGGGAGACUCUCUUCUUCAAUUUGCACAAAUUUAUAUAUUUCCCUUAAAGCAGCUUGUUUCUUAUGAGCAGGGAAAUAUUUAGCAGAGAAGUAAUAAAUCAUAUCCCGGGGACUACACACACAACCAGGAUCAAGAGAAUUAAACCAUAUCUUAGCAUCACCCUUUAAUGAGAACGGAAAUAUUUUAAGGAUAUAGUAGUAGCGAGUUUUCUCAUCAUUAGCGAACAGGGUGGCUAUAUCAUUUAAUUUAGUAAGAUGUGCCACAACAGUUUCAGAUUCAUAGCCAUAGAAAGGAUCAGAUUCAACCAAAGUAAUUAUAUCAGGGUCGACAGAGAAUUCAUAAUCCUGAUCAGUAACAAAGAUAGGUGAAGUAGAAUAAGCGGGAUCAUAUUUCAUUCUAGCAUUCAGAGAUUUUUGUUUCAGCUUAGCUAAUAGUUUCUCAAGAUCACUCCUAUCAUUGCAAGCAAGAAAGUCUCUAGCAGUUUCUUCAUCCAUAACAUAACCCUCAGGAACAACAGGUAAUUCAUAUCUAGGGGGAGAAUCUUCAUCAUCACUUUCAUCAAUAUUAUCAGUUUCAAUAAUUUCAUUCUCUCUAGCCCUAGCAAGUUGUUCAUCAAGAAAUUCACCAAGUGGCACAGUAGUAUCAAGCAUAGAAGUAGUUUCAUCAUAAGUAUCACGCAUAGCAGAAAUGGCAUCAUCAAUAACAUGCGACAUAUAAGAAUUAAUAGCAGAAGCAGGUUUAGGUGUCGCAAGUUUACUCAAAAGAGAAGGUGAAUCAAGUGCAGAGCUAGAUGGCAAUUCCUUACCUCCCCUCAUAGUUGAGGGAAAAAUCUUGGUUCUUUGAUCUUUCAAGUUCUUGAUAAUGAUAAGCAUAUAUAAAACCUAGGUGACUCAAAGAAUAGAGCUACCCUCCCGGAAACAGCGCCAGAAAAUGUUCUUGAUAACCCACAAGUAUAGGGGAUCGCAACAGUUUUCGAGGGUAGAAUAUUCAACCCAAAUUUAUUGAUUCGACACAAGGGGAGCCAAAGAAUAUUCUCGAGUAUUAGCAGCUGAGUUGUCAAUUCAACCACACCUGGAAACUUAAUAUCUGCAACAAAGUAUUUAGUAGCAAAGUAAUAUGAUAGUAGUGGUAACGAUAGCAAAAGGUAACGGUAGCAAACAUAAUAUUUUUCGGUUUUAAAGUGAUGGUAACAGUAGCAGCGGAAAAGUAAAUAAGAGAGGAACAAUAUAGGAAAAGCUCGUAGGCAAUGGAUUGGUGAUACAGAAUUAUGCCAGAUGCGAUCGAUCAUGUAACAGUCAUAACAUAGGGUGACACAGAACUACCUCCAAUUCAUCAAUGUAAUGUAGGCAUGUAUUCUGAUUAUAGUCAUACGUGCUUAUGGAAAAGAACUUGCAUGACAUCUUUUGUCCUACCCUCUCGUGGCAGCGGGGUCCUAUUGGAAACUAAGGGAUAUUAAGGCCUCAUUUUAAUAGAUUACCGGACCAAAGCAUUAACACAUAGUGAAUACAUGAACUCCUCAAACUAUGGUAAUCACCGGUAAGUAUCCCGAUUAUUGUCACUUCGGGGUUAACGGAUCAUAACACAUAAUAGGUGACUAUAGACUUGCAAGAUAGGAUCAAGAACUCUCAUAUAUUGAUGAAAACAUAAUAUGUUCAGAUCUGAAAUCAUGGCAUUCGGGCCCUAGAGUACCAGAUGAAAGCAUUAAGCAUAGCAAAGUCAUAGCAACAUCAAUCUCAGAACAAAGUGGAUACUAGGGAUCAAACCCUAAAAAAACUAAAUCGAUUACAUGAUAAAUCUCAUCCAACCCAUCACCGUCCAGCAAACUACGAUGGAAUUACUCACGCACGGCGGUGACCAUCAUGAAAUUGGUGAUGGAGGAUGGUUAAUGAUGACGAUGGCGACGGAUUCCCCUCUCCGGAGCCCCGAACGGACUCCAGAUCAGCCCUCCUGAGAGAGUUUAGGGCUUGGCGGCACCUUCACAUCGUAAAACGCGAUGAAUCCUUCACUUUGAUUUUCCCCCAAAAUUUAAUAUAUGUAGUCAAGGCUGAGGUCGGUGGAGCGUCAGGGGGCCCACGAGGUAGUGGGGCGUGCCUAGGGCGUAGGGCGCCUCCACCCUCGUGGACAGGGUGUGGGCCCCCUGACGUAGAUAUUUCUUCCAGUAUUUUUUAUAUAUUCCAAAAAUAAUCUCCAUUGAUUUUCAGGUCAUUCCGACAACUUUUAUCUCUGCACGAAAAUAACACGGUGAUAAUUCUGCUGAAAACAGCAUCAGUCCGGGUUAGUUCCAUUCAAAUCAUGCAAGUUAGAGUCCAAAAGAAGGGCAAAAGUGUUUGGAAAAGUAGAUACGAUGGAGACGUAUCAUCUAACACCUAUGGAGUCUUGGUGCUGAUCAUGUUUUGCUCGUGAGAGAGGCUUAGUCAACGGGUCAGCAACAUUCAGGUCCGUAUGUAUCUUGCAAAUCUCUAUGUCUCCCUCCUUGACUUGAUCACGGAUGAAUUGAAGCGUCUCAUGAUGUGCUUGGUUCUCUUGUGAAAUCUGGAUUCCUUUGCCAAGGAAAUUGCACCGGUAUUGUCACAAAAGAUUUUCAUUGGACCCGAUGCACUAGGUAUGACACCUAGAUCGGAGAUGAACUCCUUCUUCCAGACUCCUUCAUUUGCUGCUUCCGAAGUAGCUAUGUACUCUGCUUCACACGUAGAUCCCGCCACGAUGCUCUCCAUGAAACUGAACCAACUGAUAGCUCCACCAUUUAAUAAAAACACGUAUCCGGUUUGUGACUUAGAGUCAUCCGGAUCAGUGUCAAAGCUUGCAUCGACAUAACCGUUUACGACGAGCUCUUUGUCACCUCCAUAUACGAGAAACAUAUCCAGUCCUUUUCAGGUAUUUCAGGAUGUUCUUGACUCCUGUCUAGUGAUCCACUCCUGGAUUACUUCGGUACCUCCCUAUUAAACUGAUAGCAAGGCACACAUCAGGUCCGGUACACAUCAUUGCAUACAUGAUAGAGCCUAUGGCUGAAGCAUAGGGAACACCUUUCAUUAUAUCUCUAUCUUCUGCAAUGGUCGGGCAUUGAGUCUGACUCAACUUCACACCUUGUAACACAGGCAAGAACCCUUUCUUUGCUUGAUCCGUUUUGAACUUCUUCAAAACUUUAUCAAGGUAUGUGCUUUGUGAAAGUCCAAUUAAACGUCUUGAUCUAUCUGUAUAGAUCUUGAUGCCUAAUAUAUAAGUAGCUUCACCGAGGUCUUUCAUUGAAAAUUUCUUAUUCAAGUAUCCUUUUAUGCUAUUCAGAAAUUGAGUAUCAUUUCCGAUCAACAAUAUGUCAUCUACAUAUAAUAUCAGAAAUGCUACAGAGCUCCCACUCACUUUCUUGUAAAUACAUGCUUCUCCAAAAGUCUGUAUAAAAUCAUAUGCUUUGAUCACACUAUGAAAACGUAUAUUCCAACUCCGAGAGGCUUGCACCAGUCCAGAAAUGGAUCGCUGGAGCUUGCACACUUUGUUAGCACCUUUUGGAUCGACAAAACCUUCUGGUUGCAUCAUAUACAACUCUUCUUUAAGAUAUCCAUUAAGGAAUGCAGUUUUGACAUCCAUUUGCCAAAUUUCAUAUUCAUAAAAUGCGACAAUUGCUAACAUGAUUCGGAUGGACUUAAGCAUCGCUACGAGUGAGAAGGUCUCAUCAUAGUCAACUCCUUGAACUUGUCGAGAACCUUUUGUAACAAGUCGAGCUUUGUAGACAGUAACAUUACCGGCAGCGUCAGUCUUCUUCUUGAAGAUCCAUUUAUUCUCUAUGGCCUAUCGAUCAUCGGGAAAGUCAACCAAAAUCCACAAUUUGUUCUCAUACAUGGAUCCCGUCUUAGAGUUCAUGGCCUCAAGCCAUUUUGCAGAAUCUGGGCUCAUUAUCGCUUCGUCAUAGUUCGUAGGUUCAUCAUGCUCAAGUAACAUGACCUCCAGAACAUGAUUACCGUACCACUCUGGUGCGGAUCUCAAUCUGGUUGACCUCCGAGGUUAGGUAGUAACUUGAUCAGAAGUUUCAUGAUCAUCAUCAUUAGCUUCGUCACUUACUAGUGUAGGAAUCACUGGAACUGAUUUCAGUGAUGAACUACUUUCCAAUAAGGGAGCAGGUACAAUUAUCUCAUCAAGUUCUACUUUCCUCCCACUCACUUCUUUCGAGAGAAACUCCUUCUCUAGAGAGGAUCCAUUCUUAGCAACGAAUAUCUUGCCAUCGGAUCUGUGACAGAAGGUGUACCCAACCGUCUCCUUUGGGUAUCCUAUGAAGGCACAUUUCUCCGAUUUAGGUUUGAGCUUAUCAGCUUGAAUCUUCCUCACAUAAGCAUCGCAGCCCCAAACUUUAAGAAAUGACAACUUGGGCUUCUUGCCAAACCAUAGUUCAUAAGGUGUCAUCUCAACGGAUUUUGAUGGUGCCCUAUUUAACAUGAAUGCAGCCGUCUCUAAAGCAUAACCCCAAAACGAUAGCGGUAAAUCAGUAAGAGACAUCAUAGAUCGUACCAUAUAUAGUAACACAAGUAGAAAAAGGGUCAAACGUGAAGCAAAUUAGUGCCGGUUUGUAUUUGAGCUGGCACUAAUGUAUACAUUAGUGCCGGUUCUAACGGCUAGCCGGGCCGCUUUCAUUAGUACCGGUUCAUGGCGAACCUUUAGCACCAAUUUGUGCCACGAACCGAUACUAAUGAGAGUGGUGGCAGGAUGUUGUCAGACUGGGGCCCCUCCAGCCCCUUUAGUACCGGUUCGUGGCACGAACCGGUACUAAAGGUCGUCCUACAUAAACCCUUCACACCCGAGCUCGCUCUGUUCUUCCCCUUUCCCCUCUCCUUUCUGUUCUUCCCCUGUUCCUCUCGAGCUCAUCACACAUUUUGCCCAAACUUUCUCAAGAUUUGAAGGCCCCCAUCCAUUCAAAUGAUCAAAAAGGUUAGGAAGUUUGUCCUUUCAUCUCUCAUUGCUAGAUUAGCUCUUGCAAUGCUUUAUAUAGUGAUUAAUUUGUGAGUUUAGUAAUUUGGGGGGAUAUAUAUAUAUAUAUAUGUGCUAGUAUUUGAUUUAUAUGCAAUUUGAGGUCAAAAAUAACACUUAGUUUGCAUAUGUAGGUGUGGUUUACUUAGUGCCUUCUAAAUCUCCGUCGUAACCACCGUCGAUCGCCCGCACCGUCCCGUCACCGGCACCACCUUGUGGUGAGCCUCUUGUUCAUGAAAUUUUAUAUAAAAAUUGAUGUUUGUGUGAUUUGGAUAUAUAGUUACUCGUAUAAUUAUCUUACCCGUACGUUGUUUGUUAUACAUAUAGUGCCAUGGUUUUGAUAUCUGUCCCCGUCGGCCCUCGUCCUUGUUAUGAUUCGGAUGUGGUAUAUAUAUUCUCUUUUAAAACUAGUUGCAUUUCAUGUUUAUGACAAAUUAUGCCCAUCCAGUUGACAUAGAAAUUUUUUCUAGGAGGUAUGUGAACCGGAAAUUCCAACCGACCCUAUUGUCGAGAGGUUAAAUUUAGUUGAAAGAGAAAACGAGUACUUGAAAGAAAAAUUGAAAAGAAUUGAGGGGGAGAAGAUGGAAUUGGAGUUGCAUGUUGCCGGUGUCGUCGAUGAUAACAAGAUCAAGAUGGAGAAAAUGCGCUUGAAGAUUAGAAAGAUUAGAAAAUAUGCCAUCGAUAGUGAGGCUUGGUAUCAUUAUGCUGUUGGAUCCAUUGUUACCUUAGUUGCAAUCUUGAUCGUAUUUGUUGUUGCAUUUAAAUGCUUUAGCUAGAGAGUUAUUUGUUUGUUGCAUUUAAGUGUUGUAUGAACUUUAUGUAUGAACUUGUAUUAAUUUGGUCUAUUCGGUGUUGUGUAAUGAAGAUGAGCCGGUAAUGGAUGUACGAUGACCGAUGCUCUCCCUAGUUCGUUGAGGGCGUGCAUACUUUUCUGCUUGCGGCUGAGGCAAACAAGCGGGCGGAUGGUUUAAUGCCUUGUCCAUGUGCUUGCUGUAAGAAUGGUCACAAUUACUCUAUGUCAAGAACCAUUCACGUCCACCUGUUUAAGUCUGGUUUCAUGCCCCACUAUAAUGUUUGGACCAAGCACGGAGAAAGAGGGGUUAUGAUGUAAGACAAUGAAGAAGAAGAGGACGACGACAGCUAUCCUGGCCAUGGGUUCCCUGAAUACGAUGAUACAACAAUGGGGGAAGAAGCUGAGCCGGUAAUGCGGGAAGAAGCUGAGCUGGCAAUGCGGAAAGAAGCUGAAGAAGAGGCAUCAGAUGAGCCCAUUGAUGAUCUAGGUCGGGCCAUUGUCGAUGCAAAGAGAAACUGCGCAAGUGAUUUGGAGAAGAAGAAGUUGCAGCGCAUGUUAGGGGAUCACAAAAAAUUGUUGUACCCGAAUUGAGUAGGUGAUAAGAAAAAGCUGGGCACCACACUGGAAUUGCUGCAAUGGAAGGCAGAGAAUGGUUUAUCUGACAAGGGAUUUGGAAAGUUGCUGGUAAUGAUAAAGGAUAUGCUUCCAAAGGACAACGAAUUUCCCGAGAGUACGUACGAAGCAAAGAAGGCUGUCUGCCCUCUAGGGUUAGACGUGCAGAAGAUACAUGCAUGCCCUAAUGAUUGCAUCCUCUACUGCGGUGAGUAUGAGGAUUUGAACGCUUGCCCGGUAUGUGGUGUAUUGUGCUAUAAGAUCAGCCGCAAUGACCCUAGUGAUGUCGAGGGCGAGCGCCCCAGGAAGAAGAUUCCUGCCAAGGUGAUGUGGUAUGCUCCUAUAAUACCACGGUUGAAAUGUUUGUUCCAAAACAAAGAGCAUGCCAAGGCGAUGCGAUGGCACAGAGAACACCGUAAGAAAGACGGAAAGUUGAGAGUACCCGCUGACGGGUCACAGUGGAGAAAAAUCAAAAGAAAGUACGGGAAGGAGUUUGCAGAUGACGCAAGGAGCAUAUGGUUUGGUCUAAGCGCAGAUGGCAUUAAUCCUUUUGGGGAGCAGAGCAGCAACCAUAGCACCUGGCCUGUGACUCUAUGUUUGUAUAACCUUCCUCCUUGGUUGUGCAUGAAGCGGAAGUUCAUUAUGAUGCCAGUGCUCAUCCAAGGCCCUAAGCAACCCGGCAACGACAUUGAUGUGUACCUAAGGCCAUUAGUUGAAGAACUCUUACAACUGUGGAAUGGAACAGGUGUAUCUGCGUGGGAUGAGCACAUGGGGGAAGAAUUUGACCUAAAGGCGUUGCUAUUCGUGACCAUCAAUGAUUGGCCUGCUCUCAGUAACCUUUCAGGAUAGACAAACAAGGGAUACCGCGCAUGCACACACUGUUUGGACGAUACCGACAAUAUAUAUUUGGCUAAUUGUAAGAAGAAUGUGUACCUGAGACAUCGUCGAUUUCUUCCGAGCAGGCAUCCCGUAAGAAAGAAAGGCAAGCAUUUCAAAGGUGAGGCGGAUCACCGGACGAAGCCUCGCCACCGUACUAGUGCUGAUGUACAUGAUAUGGUCAAGGAUUUGAAGGUGGUCUUUAGAAAGGGUCCUGGUGGACAACCUGUUCCGAAUGACGCUGACGGACGCUGUCGGGGGGCUAAUCCACGAGCACCUAUGGGACCGGUGGACCGAGUUCCUUUCGGUUUGGCGGGGGCGAGGGUCGCACGAAGAGCGGAUCGAGGCGAAGCACACGAGCAGUUUACCCAGGUUCGGGCCGCACGGAUGCGUAAAACCCUACUCCUGCUUUGUGGUUUGUAUUGAGUUCUUGCUCGGGAGCGCGGAGUGCUACAGUACACCCCAGCAGCUAACGAGACCAGGCGUGAGUGUUCCCUUCCCCCUCUCUACGUUGCGCAUGGGCCUCCUUUUAUAUGAUCAAGGGGUCACCGACAGGUGGCAACGUAGACAAGGGUAAAAAUGGAAAGGUGUUGCGGUUGGUACAACUACCUGCUACAGUGUAUCAUACCUAACCCUGACGGCAGGGGACCAGGGCAUUAAAUGCCCGUCUGCGUCGCCUAAAUAGUGCAAAAGGGACCGUCAGGGAUGCCACCGCUCGCAAUGAUGGCAAUCUUGUCAGCGCCGCUUGCCACUGCUCACCGCUGGCUGCACAGCCUCCCACCACAUACGCCUGGAAGGGUCCCAGAGCGACACGUUGGUGGAUGUGCUGGAGCGCGGGCACAGAGUGGUGGCUUGCCGCGGCAAGCGCCUUGCCGCGGUCGUUGUCUUGUCGCGUCCGGGAGCUUGUCGCUCACCGGGCCUUGCCGGGACGUGUGGCGCGUCGCGGCAAGUUCCUUGAGAUGCCUUGGUUGGCCUUCCCGGCAAGCUCCUCUUGCCGGGGUCUUGUCUCCUUAAGCGCCUUGCCUUGGUUGGCCUUCCCGGCAAGCUCCUCUUGCCGGGGUCUUGUCUCCUUGGCUUGGAUACUUUGUCCUUGAAUGGCUCCAAAGGAACCACGGAGGACCUUGGCGGUCACCCGGCAAGCCUUGCCGCGGGAUGCUGCGACUGCCCGUGCAUAAGUUCGGGAUACUAGGGUACCCCUACUCUAGUACACCGACAGGAGCCCCCGGGCCUGGGCCAUACAUGGUGUCGAGCGCUGUUGGUCCAGGUCCAAAACAGGGCACGGGCACGCGCGGCCUGGGUUACACCGUAUCUCUCCCCGUAUCCACCGCGCCCUCCCUGAACGACACGCAUUGAAUGCGGCGUCGUGGGAGAGAUCGUGGGUGGUUUCUUUAUUCGGAAAUGCGGAAUGUCCGCCCCUCCCCCUUUAUAAGCAAGGGAAACAGGGGUAGUUCGCCCAUUCGCCGGUUGCUACUCCAAUCUCGGAAACUCCACCGCCCCCUCGUCUUUCCAAAGCUGAAAGAGAGCAGUGCCCCGCCCCCCAUCGCCACCAGCACCACCAACACUGUCGACCUCCUCCACCACUUCCGCCAUGGCUCCGAGAGCCGACAAGGGGAAGGUUGUGAAGUCGACCGAGGCGCAGCGGNNNNNNNNNNNNNNNNNNNNNNNNNNNNNNNNNNNNNNNNNNNNNNNNNNNNNNNNNNNNNNNNNNNNNNNNNNNNNNNNNNNNNNNNNNNNNNNNNNNNNNNNNNNNNNNNNNNNNNNNNNNNNNNNNNNNNNNNNNNNNNNNNNNNNNNNNNNNNNNNNNNNNNNNNNNNNNNNNNNNNNNNNNNNNNNNNNNNNNNNNNNNNNNNNNNNNNNNNNNNNNNNNNNNNNNNNNNNNNNNNNAAGGAGCGGGCAAUCUCCCCCCCCCCCCCAAGCUCGCCACGGGGGAGCUGAGGGAGAAUUAUUACCUCUUCUGGUCGACGGAGACGCGAGCGCAUCCGCGGACGAAGGUACUUCUAGCCGCUGCUUGGAAAAUGGCUCCAAACGGAUAUCCCUUCUUCGCCUUGUUCUUCUACUGCGGGCUCUGCCCGCCUUUCUCUGAGUUCUUCUGCGAUAUUAUGAACACCUACGGGUUCCACCUCCUUGACUUCACCCCCAAUGCCGUUCUGACCAUGGCAGUUUUCGCACAUCUCUGCGAAAACUUUGUCGGAGUCCAUCCCAAUGUAGCCCUUUUUCGCCACUUCUUUAUGCACCGAGUAGAGAGAGGAGAGCCUUUAUCCGGCGGAAUCGCCUGGAUCUCGAGGUCCGACAAGAAGGACACUUAUCUGGAGGGAGAGUUCCACGGCAAGUGGGAGGAAUGGAGAGCAGACUGGUGCUGGAUUGUCGAGGAGAACCCGCAGCCGUUUACCGCCCGACGCCAAGCCCCAGUAGCACGCCGCAGCGAUUGGAGUGACGUGGCCCCGGAAGACGAUAGGCUGAAGAUUGCCGUCACCCGGAUCCUACGCCUCAGGCUUGCCGGGCUCACUGUAGGCACUGUUGGCGCAUAUUUUCUUCGCCGCCGCAUCGCCCCCCUGCAGGAACGGGGGAGACCCGCCUGGGAAUUCAAGACUGCGGUGGAUAUCAUGAGGCUGCGUCCGGGCCUCAACUUCAACUUCACUGUUCUGGAGCUCAAUGCGAUGCUCCAGGAGCUAUUCAAGUACGACCCUCAACAUCCCGAAGUGUUCAGGUUGCCGGGGGGUGUCGUUCCACUAUGCAACAACUCCGCGCUCGACCGCAUCCGUGCAAUGAUGCCGCUGUGUGAUUCGCAUGGAAUUGUCCCAACUUGGCAAGAGCCUGCAGACGAUGUCGUGCAGGAGUUCCUUGACGGCUUGGUAGAAGUGCCGGUCCGCUCCGACGAAAAGGAUAGCCUCACCCGCGACACCACCGAUGCGGAGAUGACACGCAUUGCCACUAGGCUGGAAGAGGCAGCGGCAGCCGUAGCCGCGGGAGAAUUUGGAUUCACCGUGGAGGAGGCAGAGGCAGCAGAGGCGGCAAGCCGUGCCGAGUGAGAGGAGCCCGUUGGCGAGAAAGAGCUUGCCGGGCAUGGCGUCGAGUCGAGCGAGCCCGCCGAGGAUACGAGCGGCUCACUAGAGAUCAACUCCUCUUCCUCCUCAUCUUUAGGCAGCUCGCUGCAAGCAGAGCCUCCAUCCCCACCAAGAAGGCGUCUCCGCAAGGCCGGGGACGUAGCGGGGCAGCGGGCAAGUGAACAGCCGCCGCGCCGCGCGACACGCUCCACCGCGACAAGCACUGUUGCCACGGGAGCAUCUCACGCUGCUGCGGCAACUAGAGCGGGGUCCACCCGGACCACCGCUUCUGCUCCUGCCGCUUCUCACGCCGCGGCGGCAGCCGGAGCGGGGUCGUCUCAGACCACCGCCACUGUUCCCGCCAAGCGGCCAAGGGAAACUACUCCUCCACCUCCUCCCGCCGGACGUGAGCCGGACUUCGACUUCUCCGCGUUCAGCUCCGACGAGGAAGAAGAAGAGUAAGGUUCCCCUGUUGUACUUGUAGUUCUUCAAUUCUUGCUGUUUUGUCUUGUAUCUCAUUUGCUUUACUCUGAACUUAUUCCUUUUCAGGACUCUGGCCCAGAGAGCAGCAAAGAGAGCCGAGGUCCCGGUGAUUGUCAUCGAGGACGAGCCCACCGUGACAGCAGGGGGUGCGUCCGAGACAACCUUGCCGGACCGGGCAACUGUUCUCCAGAGCAGCCCCCAGCGUAAGUAUAUGGUUUUCUUUCCGCUCAUGGGCGCGCAUGGAUACUCUUUCUUUGCUGACAUCUGACUGUUGGUUUGUGUAGGAGCAGAGCAGCCCCACCAGGAGCGCCCGGAGGCCGCCCCCGAAAUGCCAAGGGAGAGUCCUCCGGCAAGGGAGAGUUCUCCGGCAAGGGAGAAGUCUCCGACAAGGGAGAGUCCUCCGGCAAGGGACAGCACCAGCGGCCCUCCGGCGGCGGAGACCACGACUGCAGAACCCGGUACAGGUAAUCCUCUUGCUUCAAAACUUCCCGUGGGUUCUUCUUCUUUUGAUCUUCUUCUUGGAUAUUUGCUUGACUUUUCUCACUUUUCCGGCCAUCAGACCCAUCUGCUGCGGAGCCGAUGGAGACCGAGGUUGCUGCCGACGACGCCGCUGCCACUGAAGAAGCAGCCGGCGCUGAUGAUCCCGCCGGCAACGAGGCCGCCAAAGCUGCCGCCGCAGCAACUGGCGAGGGGUCUGGCGAUCGCACUGACGGCCCUGAGGUCACAGGAGCGCCAGGCGCUACGUCGAACGCCGACCCGUCCGCCCCUGCCGCAGCGCCAGGCUCCGAAGAGCCCCAGCCAGGCGUCUACUUGAAGGCCAGCGAUGGCGUCUUCAUCAACCUCCCCUGGGCGUCAAGCUCCAGGGCGCCGGUCGAGGGAGAGAGCUUUGAUGGAGAGGUGCUUGCCUCCGCUGGGCUGACGCUAGUUGACGCGCCGAGCAGCAGCAGCGGCGAGCCUGAGGAGGAGCGGCUGGUGCGGAAGCUGUUUUCGCUCUACCGCGCGCGGCAAGCCAAGCUGGAAUCCCGCGAGGCGCUUGUCGCGAAGGCGGGAGCGGACAUCGAGAAGCGCGCGGAGGAGCUCCGGGGCCUCAACCAGGAAGCUCUCCGGUCCCAGGCAGAGGAGCGGAAGCAACUCGCCGAAGAGCAGAAGGCCUUCUUCCUCGAGAAGGCUGAAGUCGAAGAGCAACGGUGGCUUGCCGCUGAAAAGCUGUCUGCGCAGGAGGGCGAGCUGGUGCAGCGGAAGGUCAACCUUGCGCCCAUGAGGAGGAGCUUGCCGCGCGCGAGCGAACAUUCAGCGGAGCCCUCAAGCAAGCGGAGGAUGCUGCCACAGCCGCCGAGGCCGCCAAGAAGGAGCUGGAGACGAAGGUGGCGCAGCUGGAGGCCGAUCUCAAGGCGAGCGGUGAAGAGCUUGCCGAGAAGGGCAAAGAGCUUAGCACCGCCAAGGACUCUAACGCAGAUCUUGAGUUGAAGCUGACCACUUUGACCAAGACGCUGGACGACGCCAGGGAGCAGGAGGUGGCCUUGAAGGAGGAGAUCAAGGCCGACAAGGCGCUGCUGGCGAGUGCUGCCGCCGCCCAGAAUGCUUUUAGGGAGAAUGUGGAGCACUGGACGGAGGGUCUCGUGAAUGUUGCCGCAGACAUUGACAGGGAGCUGGCGUAGCUGGGGAUGGAGGAUCUCGGGUAUCCCUCUAACGAGAACCUCCAACCCAGCGCUAAGCUCAUCAUGUUCUUCAAAGGCGUGGCGACGGCCCUCCAGCGGCUCCGGGAGAGCCUGAGGAGGAGCGGCUGCUGCGGAAGCUGUUGUCGCUCUACCGCACGCGGCAAGCCAAGCUGGAAUCCCGCGAGGCGCUUGUCGCGAAGGCGGGAGUGGACAUCGAGAAGCGCGCGGAGGAACAUCCGCUUCUACGGCGAGAACCUGCGGCUCUGCCGGAGCUUGAUGUUCCCUAGCAAGCUUGCUGGAGCAAAACUUGUCGGGAGCUUCUGCCACAGUACGUGCCACAUGGAGUGAUGAAUGCGGUCUUCUCCUCAUCCUCUUCUGCCAUGAAGAUCUGAUGGUAUCCUGAGUAUGCGUCAAGAAAUGAAAGCAAGUCACAUCCGGCCGUGGAGUCAACAAUCUGGUCAAUGCGCGGCAAAGGAAAUGGGUCUUUGGGACAAGCUUUGUUAACAUCGGUAAAGUCGAUACAAAGUCUCCAUUUCCCAUUCGCCUUGCGCACGACUACAGGAUUGGCCAACCACGUAGGAUGGAGCACUCCUCUGACAAGGCCUGCUGCUUCCAACUUCUUGAUCUCUUCUGCGAUGAAUUCUUGGCGCUCCACUGCUUGCUUCCCGACCUUCUGCUUGACGGGCUGCGCAUGAGGACAAACGGCAAGAUGGUACUCAAUUACUUUCCUGGGAACACCGGGGAUGUCAGACGGUUGCCACGCAAACACGUCGACGUUCGCCCACAGGAAAGCAAUGAGCGCGCUUUCCUAUUUAGGGUCGAGAGUGGCACCGAUGGUGAAUGUACCACCAGUGCCGUCCUCCUUGGCGGACACCUUCUUGGUCUCUGGCGGAGCUGCCAUUGUCUUCUUACACUUGCCGGUGGAGCUCGAUGGUGCGUUCUCGACGACAGCGCAGCACUCCGAAGAGGUGCGCUUGCCGGAGUAGGCAUUAGAACUCUUGCCGGACUUGGUCUUCUUCUUCCCCCCGGGAGCUUCGACGGCAGGUGACUUGCGAUCUGUUGUGACUGCCGCUUCCCGGUAGAUCUUGUCGGUGCAGAUAAGAGCAUCCUUUUUGUCGCCAGGGACAGAGAUGACGCUCAUCGGGCCUGGCAUCUUCAGCAUGUUGUAUGCGUAGUGAGAGGCUGCCAUGAACUUGGCGAGUGCUGGACGGCCGAGUAUCCCAUUGUAAGGCAAUGGAAAAUCGGCAACGUCAAAAGUGACCCUCUCAGUCCUGAAGUUCACCUCGCUGCCAAAUGUUACUGGCAACGUGACCUUCCCCUUAGGCUUGCUCCUUCUCGGGUUGAUUGCUUGGAAUGUGCCGGUCUCUUCAAGAUCGCUGUCAGGGAUCUGGAGUUUCUGGAGUACAGCGGAGGAGAUCAGGUUCAAGCCGGCCCCGCCGUCAACUAGCAUCUUAGUGACCUUGAGGUUGCGGAUAGUUGGUGAAACCAACAUCGGCAAGCACCCGACCGCAGUUGUGCGAUCAGGGUGGUCCUCAAUAUCAAAGAUGAUAGGCGUGCUGGACCAUUUCAGAAGCUUGCGUGACUCGACAGGUGGUUCCGCCGCAUUGACUUCCCGCACCCACUGCUUGAGUUGGCAGUGCGAAGUAUGCAGAGAAGCACCGCCGUCAACGCACAAGACCUCUGUGGCUUUCUAGAACUCUUGCUCACUGGUCUCGACAUCAUCCAUGUCUUCGUCAUCGUCGUCAUCUUCAUCCUUGUCGCGGCUGCGGGGAGGUCUGUCUCCUUGCCGCUGCUUGGCCUUGCCGCGGCGUCCUCCCCGGCCGGCGCACUUCUUGCCGGAUUCUCCAGCGCCACCUUGGGCCCUCUCCUUGUCGCGUCGCUCGUAUUCAGCCUUUUGCUGUUGGACAAGCUGCUCGACCUUCUUGCAGCUCUGGAGGUCAUGGCCCUUGGUGCGGUGGAUCUUGCAGUACUGCUUGACGGUGCCGUCCUGCUUGUCGGUGACCGCCACAGCCUGGCAGUUGGUGCAUGCGGCAAUCUCCUUGCCGGAGCUACCAGCUUUGGCUUUCUAGGCGCCACCUUCGUUUCCGGACUGCUCAAUGACUAGCACAUCUUUGCCUUUCUUCUUCCUGUUGUUCCGCUGCCGGUUUUUCUUUGCCGGGGCAACAUCCUCGCUGUCGGAUCCUCCUGCUCCUGUAUUCUCUCCGAGGAGUUUCCUCCCUUCCUCAGCACGUGCACACUUGUCGGCCAGGGCAUACAGCUCACUGACGUCUCUGAUCUUGCACAUCGCCGUCUCCUCCCGCAUCCUGCGGUUACGCACGUUCUGAUGGAACACGCUGAUGACCGCGGCAGGGUGGACAUCUGGGAUGUUGUGCUGUACGCGGCUGAAUCUCUGAAUGUACUUGCGCAGGGGCUCUCCUUCUUUCUGGGCGAGCAGAUGAGGGUCACUCUCUUGGCCAUGGGGUUUGUGGCCGCCUGUAAAGGCGCCGACAAACUGAUGGCAUAGGUCUGCCCAAGAGGAUAUGGAGUCGUCCGGCAAGUGCAUGAGCCAGGACCUGACGUUGGGCUUGAGCACCAGCGGGAAGUAGUUGGCAAGGAUCUUGUCGUCCCGCCCCCCGGCAGCCUGCACCGCGAUGGUGUAGAUGCUGAGGAACUCCGACGGAUGCGACUUGCUGUCGUACUUCUCUGGUACGUCUGGCUUGAAAUUCUUCGUGCUGGGCCAUUGGACUUGCCGCAGCUCACGAGUAAACGCAGGGCAACCUACCGCGUACGGCAAGUCGCCUGGUUCCCCUGGCGCAUGCAUGUCGACAGAGGGCCCAGCGCGCUGGUCCGAUUGACGUCGCACUUCUCUUUGGCGCUCGAUGCGAGUACGAGUGUCUUCUUGCUGUCGUUCAUGAAGAACUUGGUGCUGAUCGCGACGAGCUCGUGGAUCUGAUGAUGCGGUGGAGUCGCUGUCGAGGUGGAUCUGGCGAGUCGGCGAUCUUGGCCUUCGGGGCGCAGAGUGCACAGUGGUUGCACCCCCACCGGUCUUGUCGCCACCGGCUCGUGCCUGGCUGACUUGCCGCGGCUGCGACGUGCUCGACUGCUGUUGAGUGUUGCCGUUAGCGAAGCCAAUGUAACUCUGAAUGGUGGCCCUCCAGUCGUCGAUCUUGUCUGUCGUUGGAGGGUAGUCCAGGAGCAGUUGAGCUCGCGCCAAAGCUUCUGCUGGAGUGGCGGGUGGCGGUGGCGAACGGUGCGAGGAGCGGGAUAUGCUCGGACUUCUAACUAUGUUAGAAGGAGCAGUAUCCCGUCCAGGCGACCGUGCCUCGCUCGUGCCAGCAUGUUGGCAUGCAUGCUGGUCUUGAGCACUCCGAGAUCCGCCAGCUCGAUCUUGGUCUAGCAAACGCAUGGUACCGUGAGUACCAUGACGCUGCCGGUCCCGCGCCUCCUGGGAUGGGCACGGUGCAUGUACAGACGCCGAGGUCUUGGAGUGCGCCCGGUCGUUGUGGGAGCCGGCUACGUCGCCGAUGGGCAACGCAGCUUUGUCCUUGGACCUGGCAGCACCGUGAGCUCCCUCGUCGACGCCCGUUCUUCCGCCGGCGUCUGCCCCAUCAGCCGCUUGCUCCGGCGAUGGUGGGUUCGGCGCGGACGGAGCAGCCGCCUCCGAAGCCUUCUUCUUCGGCGGCGUGUCGAUGAAGAUGAUGAAGAUCUAGCUCGUGUGAACGCCGGAUCUGGUUCAGACAACCUCGACGCCCCUACCUGGCGCGCCAAAUAUGUCGGGGGGCUAAUCCACGAGCACCUAUGGGACCAGCGGACCGAGUCCCUUUCGGUUCGGCGGGGGCAAGGGUCGCACGAAGAGCGGAUCGAGGCGAAGCACACGAGCAGUUUACCCAGGUUCGGGCCGCACGGAUGCGUAAAACCCUACUCCUGCUUUGUGGUUUGUAUUGAGUUCUUGCUCGGGAGCGCGGAGUGCUACAGUACACCCCAACAGCUAACGAGACCGAGCGUGAGUGUUCCCUUCCCCCUCUCUACGUUGCGCAUGGGCCUCCUUUUAUAUGCUCAAGGGGUCACCGACAGGUGGCAACAUAGACAAGGGUAAAAAUGGAAAGGUGUUGCGGUUGGUACAACUACCUGCUACAGUGUAUCAUACCUAACCCUGACGGCAGGGGACCACGGCAUUAAAUGCCCGUCUGCGUCGCCUAAAUAGUGCAAAAGGGACCAUCAGGGAUGCCACCGCUCGCCACGAUGGCAAUCUUGUCAGCGCCGCUUGCCACCGCUCGCCGCUGGCUGCACAGCCUCCCGCCACGUACGCUUGGAAGGGUCCCAGAGCGACACAUUGGUGGAUGUGCUGGAGCGCGGGCACAGAGUGGUGGCUUGCCGCGGCAAGCGCCUUGCCGCGGUCGUUGUCUUGUCGCGUCCGGGAGCUUUUCGCUCACCGGGCCUUGCCGGGACGUGUGGCGCGUCGCAGCAAGUUCCUUGAGAUGCCUUGGUUGGCCUUCCCGGCAAGCUCCUCUUGCCGGGGUCUUGUCUCCUUAAGCGCCUUGCCUUGGUUGGCCUUCCCGGCAAGCUCCUCUUGCCGGGGUCUUAUCUCCUUGGCUUGGAUACUUUGUCCUUGAAUGGCUCCAAAGGAACCACGGAGGACCUUGGCGGUCACCCGGCAAGCCUUGCCACGGGAUGCUGCGAUUGCCCGUGCACAAGUUCAGGAUACUAGGGUACCCCUACUCUAGUACACCGAUAGACGCGCACCCAUGUGGAAGAAGAAAUCUAUAUUUUGGGACCUGCCCUAUUGGAAAGACCUAGAGGUCAGCUCCGCAAUCGACGUGAUGCACGUGACGAAGAAUCUUUGUGUGACCCUGCUUGGCUUCUUGGGCGUGUAUGGGAAGACAAAAGAUACACCUGAGGCACGAGAGGACCAGCAACGUAUGCACGGAAAAGACGGCAUACAUUAGGGUCAUGCAAGCUACGCUCUUACCAAAGAAGAGAAGGAAAUCUUCUUUGAAUGCCUGCUCGGUAUUAAGGUACCGUCUGGCUUCUCGUCGAAUAUAAAGGGAAUAAUAAACAUGGCAGAGAAAAAUUUCCAGAACCUAAAGUCUCAUGACUGCCACGUGAUUAUGACGCAACUGCUUUCGGUUGCAUUUAGGGGUCUUCUACCGGAAAACAUUCGAUUAGCCGUUGUGAAGCUAUGUGCAUUUCUCAAUGCAAUCUCUUAGAAGGUAAUCGAUCCAGAAAUCAUACCAAGGUUAGAGAAUGAUUUGGUGCAAUGUCUUGUCAGUUUCGAGUUGGUGUUCCCACCAUCCUUCUUCAACAUCAUGACACACGUCCUAGUUCACCUAUGCGAAGAGAUUAACGUUUUGGGUCCUGUAUUUCUACACAAUAUGUUCCCCUUUGAGAGGUUCAUGGGAGUCUUAAAGAAAUAUGUUCAUAACCGUGCUAGGCCAGAAGGAAGCAUCUCCAAGGGCCGUCAAAAUGAGGAGGUCAUUGAGUUUUGUAUUGACUUUAUUCCUGACCUUAAGCCGAUUGGUGUUCCUGAAUCGCGGCAUAAGGGCAGACUGGAUGGAAAAGGCACGCUAGGAGGGGAACAAAUAAUAUGUAUGGACGGUCAUUCUCUCACUGAAGCACACUACACAGUUCUACAGAAUUCCGCCAAGGUGGCUCCAUAUAUGGAUGAACACAAGAAUUUGCUACGCUCCAAACACCUGGAGCAGUCUGAUGACUGGAUUACACGUGAACAAACCAGGUGUUUCGCCAGCUGGUUGCAGACACGUACCAUGCAUGACACCUCUAUUGAAGAUGACCUGUACUUGCUGUCCCAGUUACCAUCUCCGAAUAUGAUGACUUUCAAAGGGUACGAGAUAAAUGGUAAUAUAUUUUACACGAUCGCCCAAGAUAAGAAGAGCACCAACCAAAACAGUGGUGUCCGCUUUGAUGCAGAAACCAAGACGGGAAAGGAAACAUAUUAUGGUUAUAUACAGGACAUAUGGGAACUUGACUAUCGACGUGGUUUGAAGGUCGCUUUGUUUCGGUGCAAAUGGGUCAAUAUGACACGAGGCGGGGUAACGGAAGACCCGCAAUACGGAAUGACAAUAGUGGAUCUCAACAAUCUUGUGUAUGCAGACGAACCAUUCGUCCUAGCCAAUGAUGUGGCACAAGUUUUCUAUGUGAAGGACAUGUCGACCAAGCCAAGAAAAGAAAAGAUAAGGAAGCGAAUGCAUCGUACGCUGAGCCAAAGCGGCACAUAGUUCCUGCUGGGAAGAGAAACAUCGUGGGAGUGGAUGACAAGACAGACAAGUCAGAAGAUUAUGAAAAGUUUGAUCAAAUUGCUCCAUUCACAGUGAAUAUUGACCCGAGCAUCCCGUUAAAUGAUGAAGAUUUUCCAUGGUUACGGCGCCAAGGGACACACGCGAAGAAGAAGUUUCACACCCAAAGAUCUCGGAUGUGAUCGGCUUCACUAUCAUCACUUUCUACUGUGUUUCACACUCAGAAGGGAAUCUCUGUAAUAGUUAGGGUAGUUAAUUAUGUGUUUUGGCAUUUGAAACACGAAGAAAUUUUAUGUGCAAACAAAUUCUUUCAUGCCUUUACUGAUUUUUAAAGUUAAGUUAUUCACAAACUAGUGAUUCACACUAAUUUCAAAUAAUUCAAAAUUUAAACUAUUCAAAUUUGAAAACUACGGGCACUAACAGAAAGUUUGUAAUUUUUUGUACCUAAAGCAAAAAUAUUCAGAAAGAAACUCUAAAUACACCAAAAAAACAUCUCAAAAAUAAAUAAAGCAAAAAGAUAAAAAAGCCCGCCUACUAGGCCAAUACACCAAAAAAACAACUCAAAAAUAAAUAAAGAAAAAAAAAUAAAAAAAGCCCGCCUACUAGGCCAAAGCGGCCGGCAUACAACUAGAAACCCAACCUGUUGUUGGGCUAGGAUGCAGGCCCGCAAAGGCCCAGUAGGCUAACAGGGCAGCACAGAACAUGUAGGCCCAGUAGGCCUGCUUUGGAGAGGAGCUCGAGAGAGCUGCCGCACUGGGGUUUAUAAACCAGUGCGGUCCCACCUCGGCUAGCGAGGUGGGACUAAACUUGCCGCACCGCACCUGCGCCACCGCACCCCCUUUAGUAUCGGGUCGUGGCACCAACCGGUACUAAAGGGGGGGCCUUUAGUACCGGUUGGAGCCACCACCCGGUACUAAAGGGGGUCGCUUCCCGCCGCUUGGCCUGGCCAAAACAGGCCUUUAGUACCGGUUGGUGGCUCUAACCGGUACUAAAGGCCCCUCCUAUAUAAACAACACUUACGAAAAUUUCAGUUUCUCAUCUGCUUCUUCUCCUCUGCACCGUUGCCCGUCGCGCCCCCCGUACGUCUCCAUCCCUCGUCGCCGCCCCGUCCCCGUCGUCUCCGCCCUGUCGUCCCCGUCCCCGUCGUCCCCGUCGUCACCGCCGCCCCGUCCCAGCCCGUCCCGCGUCGUCCCCGUCGUUGCCGCCUCGUACAUCCCCGUCGUCGCCGCCUCGUACGUCCCCGUCGUCGCCGCCCCGUACGUCCCCAUCAUCGUCGCCGCCCCGGCCCGUACGUCCCCGUCACCGUUAAUGCCGCCCCGUCCAUGUCACCGUCAUCGUCAUCCCCGUCGUCGCCGCUCCCGUCGCCGUCCCCGUCGCCGCCCCCCGUCGCCUCUCGCCUCGCCGGUGAGCGCGCGCACACACACACAUAUAUUUUUUGUUUUUUAGUUAUACAAAUAGUUAUAAAUUUUUCUGUUUUUUAGAAAUUGUUAGAAAUUUUUCUGUUUUUUAGAAAUAGUUAGAAAUGUUAGAAUAGUUAGAAAUGUUAGAAUUAUUAGAAUACUUAGAAAUGUUAGAAUUGUUAGAAAUUUUUCUGUUUUUUAGUUAUAGAAAUAGUUACAAAAAAGUUAGAAUUGUUAGAAUUUUUUCUGUUUUUUAGAAAUUGUUAGAAAUUUUCCUGUUUUUUAGAAAUAGUUAGAAAUGUUAGAAUUGUUAGAAUAGUUAGAAAUGUUAGAAUUGUUAGAAUAGUUAGAAAUGUUAGAAUUGUUAGAAAUUUUUCUGUUUUUAGUUAUAGAAAUAGUUAUAAAAAGUUAGAAUUUUUAGAAAUUUUUCUGUUUUUUAGUUAUAGAAAUAGUUAUAAAAAAGUUAGAAAUUUUUCUUUUUUUUAGUUCUAGAAAUAUUAGAAAUGUUAUAGAAAUGUUAGUUAUAUAGAAAUGUUAGAAAUUUUAGUUAUCAAAAUCCAAUCUUUAAAAAAAUGUUACUUUUUGCGGGCAUAUAGCUAGUAUUUGUUCUCGACGAUGCCCGGCCCGCAUCCUCGCCGCCGACCCGUCCGCGAUGACGUCCGACUGACCCAUGUCCGGAACUGGGCUCCGCCGGGCUGGCACUGGGAGGUGCUGCCUGGAGGGGCGCGCCGCUUGAUGAGGAACCCGGCCCCGGGUCCCGUCGUCGACCCUGAUCUCAUUUGGUGGCGUUCGCGUGGGCCAGUUUCAGUGCGGAGGGAGCCGGCCCCGCCGGAGGAGGACGAGUACGUCCAUCACUACAUGGUUGUGAUAGAGGGCGGCAGGUUCUCCAAUACCUGGCAGUUUCUUCAAGGAUCUCACUUCAGCUAUGAUCCUGUGAGGGUUCCUUCUCUUUGGGUGUCCACCGCCCGCGCUGCAGGAACCGCGAGUGUCCUAGAUUCUUCUGUAGUAUUCGAUCUUUAUUAGCUACCUAGCCAGUGAUCUACUCGAUAUAUAAUAUUCAAGACGAUGUAUUCGAGAUUAUAUAUUAUUGGAGACGAUGUAUUCGAGAUUAUAUCUAUUAUUCGAGAUGAUGUAUUCGAGAUAAUAUCUAUUAUUCGAGACGAUGUAUUCGAGAUUAUAUCUAUUAUUCGAGAUGAUGUAUUCGAGAUUAUAUCUAUUAUUCGAGACGAUGUAUUCGAUAUUAUAUCUAUUAUUCGAGACGAUGUAAUUUGAAUACUAAAUUUUUUUAUAUUUCUUUUGGCAUAGUUAAAUAAAAGCUAUGGCGGACAAUACCAACAGAGAGGGAGAACAGACCAUGUUCUAUAUAAUACGCGGGCCAGAUGAUGAUCAGAAUGAAGAAGAUUAUGACGGCUCCGAAUUUCUAAACAACACUGGAGAGGGUGAUAUGAUAUUCGAUCGCGACGACCGAAUUGAUGAAGUCAUGACCUACGAUUAUGACAACACCGGAGAGGUAUAUAUAUUUAUAUAAGCAGGCAUCUGGUGAUCAUCACAUGUUUGAAAUGAGUUGAAGAUAUAUUAACGAAUCAAUCUUUCUUCUUUCAGCCAUCCGGAUCGAGAAAAUCUUCAGGCAAAAGGACGAAAUGAGGUCCGAACAAAAAGUUGAAGGAGGGCGUAAAGUAUAAUAUCGAGGCAAUCAAACCUAAUGGCGAACCAUUAGCGCCUAAGAAGAUUGCGGACAAGUUCGUUCGUCAGUGCACAGUUCUUGUGAAGGACCAACUCCCAAUCUCCCUUCAAGAAUGGAGAGAGCCAGCAAAGCCAUGUCCAGAUCUUACUUUUGUUGACGAUAGACAAAAAAGUCUUCUUUGGGAUACUCUAAUGGAACAUUUCACCCUACCAGAUCAUUUCACAGAAGCAGAUGUGCAGAAAGUCAAGGACGCUGCUCUUAGGAAGAUGGCGGUUGCAUUCAAGAACCACAAGAAUCGUGAAUGGGGCAAGUACAUCAAGGGAGGAAGGAAGACUCCAGUAUUCGAGGGCACACUAGAGAAUAAAAGUGCUCAUUGGGACAAUUUCGUGAAAUUCAAGGAUUCAGAAUUAUCUAAGGAACGGUCAAGAAUAAACAAGGCCAAUGCCACAAAAAAGGAUAAGUUCCAUAAGCUGGGGCCAGGUGGCUAUGUGGUGGGAAUGCCUAAGUGGGAUAAGUCUGAGAAAGAGAUGCUGGAUGCAAGUGUCACUCUAGAAACAUUGAGCUGGCCCCCCAGGUGCAGUACUUGGUUCUAUGCGCAUGGGGGGAGUUGGACCCGAAGACAAUCAAAGUUUCCAAGAAGGCAUGUCUGCACGGAGCCGAAGAUAAGCUACUUGUUGCAAUAGAAGAGGCUCGAUCCGGGUUGUUCGAGCCCAACAGAGAGAACGACGAGCUUACGCAUGCCCUGGGAAAUCCUAAACACCCAGGAAGAACACGAGGCAUGGGCGCUAUUCCGUGGUAUGAGGGGUUUUCAGACUGGAACGCCGACUACAGAACCCGUGCGAGAAAGAAGAUUGCGGAGGAGAAGAAGAGGAAGAUGGAGGAGGAGCAGAGGAAGCUCGACUAUGAACACCUUCAAGGCCUAGAAUCAGCGCACGCAGACUUGGCAAUCAAAUUCCAGCGGCAGCAGGAGCAGAUCGACUCACUUAGCCAGCAAAGGGGGUCUCAGCAGCUACAGCAGCUAGCGGAUGAUCCAGCAUUGGAUACCACCGCCCCAUCCAUGCCGAGAAGCAGCGUGGGUUCCGCCCCGUUUGACGCAAAGCUGGAUAGAUACCCCGUGGAUGACAUCGCGGAGAACACUAACUACGAGCUACACUUCAAAAUUAAGAACAUAUCCUUGAAGGUGGCAGACGGCAUUGCUUAUACAAAUUCCCCCGAUGCAACCUUCCAUUGCAACCCAAUUCCAGCAGGCUAUGCUCGUGUCGUGAUUGAUGAGGUGGUGGACCAAUAUUCGGGGCUAGAGCUUGACAUUCCUGGAGGUGACGAGGAGCACACACUCGGAGAUGCUAAACAUCGUAUCAUCCUAUGGAGAAAGGAUUGCAUCAUCUUCCGAAGACCACCGACACCGCGUCACCCGACUCCUCGUCAAAGUCCGCCACCGAGUCAGCAGACUCUCGCUCCUCCAUGUCCACCAACGCGUGAGGCCAGUCCUCCUCCUCCAAGUCCGGCAAAGUGUCAGGCCACUCCUCCUCCAAUUCCGACACAGCGUCAGACGUCCACUCCUCCUCCAAGUCCAGCACAACCUCAGGCCACUUCAAGUCCGGCACAGCUUCAGGCCACUCCUCCUCGUCCAACUAAGCCCCGUCAGUCGUCUCCGCCGCCUCAGCAAUCGCAGAAGAGACACCCCGCAGCUAUGGUGCGUAGCGGUACGAGUCGAGGUCAUAGUAAAGGAAGUAUGGGCGGAGGCAAGCGAUAUAAAUAUGGUCCAAACCUCACUACUCCUCUUCCUGAGAGGGCUUACAAUAGGACCGAGGAGCAAACCAAUGCCAUAGUGUGGGCAGAAGUCGACGGACCGAAACCGCCACCGCCGCCAAGGGAGAAAGUGCCUGUGGAAGUAGUUGACCACUUCAUGAAGGAAAUAUUCCCUAGAGGCAAUAAUAAAGUUAUUAUUUAUUUCCUUAUUUCAUGAUAAAUGUUUAUUAUUCAUGCUAGAAUUGUAUUAGCCGGAAACAUAAUACAUGUGUGAAUACAUAGACAAACAGAGUGUCACUAGUAUGCCUCUACUUGACUAGCUCGUUAAUCAAAGAUGGUUAUGUUUCCUAACCAUGGACAAAGAGUUGUUAUUUGAUUAACGGGAUCACAUCAUCAGAUGAAUGAUCUGAUUGACAUGACCCAUUCCAUUAGCUUAGCACCCGAUCGUUUAGUAUGUUGCUAUUGCUUUCUUCAUGACUUAUACAUGUUCCUAUGACUAUGAGAUUAUGGAACUCCCAUUUGCCGGAGGAACACUUUGUGUGCUACCAAACGUCACAACGUAACUGGGUGAUUAUAAAGGAGCUCUACAGGUGUCUCCGAAGGUACAUGUUGGGUUGGCGUAUUUCGAGAUUAGGAUUUGUCACUCCAAUUGUCGGAGAGGUAUCUCUGGGCCCUCUCGAUAAUGCACAUCACUUAAGCGUUGCAAGCAUUGUAGCUAAUGAGUUAUUUGCGAGAUGAUGUAUUACGGAACGAGUAAAGAGACUUGCCGGUAACGAGAUUGAACUAGGUAUUGGAUACCGACGAUCGAAUCUCGGGCAAGUAACAUACCGAUGACAAAGGGAACAACAUAUGUUGUUAUACGGUCUGACCGAUAAAGAUCUUCAUAGAAUAUGUAGGAGCCAAUAUGGGCAUCCAGGUCCCGCUAUUGGUUAUUGACCAGAGACAUGUCUCGGUCAUUUCUACAUUGUUCUCGAACCCGUAGGGUCCACACGCUUAAGGUUUCGAUGACAGUUAUAUUAUGAAUUUAUACGUUUGGUGUACCGAAGGUUGUUUGGAGUCCCGGAUGUGAUCACGGACAUGACGAGGAGUCUCUAAAUGGUCGAGACAUAAAGAUUGAUAUAUUGGACGGCUAUAUUCGGACACCGGAAGUGUUCCGGGUGAUUUCAGAGAAAACCGGAAAGCCGGAGGGUUACCGGAACCCCCCCGGGAGAAGUAAUGGGCCAUAUGGGCCUUAGUGGAGAGAGAGAGGGGCAGCCAAAGGUGGGCUGCGUGCCUCCUCCCCCCUGGUCCGAAUUGUACUAGGAGAGGGGGGGCGGCGCCCCCCUUUCCUUCUCCCUCCCCACUUCUUUCCCCCUCCUAGUAGGAGUCCUACUCCUACUAGGAGGAGGACUCCUCCUUGGCGCGCCAUAGGGGCCGGCCGGCCACCUCCUCUCUUGAACCUUUAUAUACGGAGGCAGGGGCACCCGAGAAACACACAAGUUGAUCCACGUGAUCAUAUUCUUAGCCGUUUGCAGCGCCCCCUUCCACCAUAGUCCUUGAUAAUAUUAUAGCGGUGCUUAGGCGAAGCCCUGCGACAGUAAUACAUCAAGAUCGUCACCAUGCCGUCGUGCUGACGGAACUCUUCCCCGACACUUUGCUGGAUCCGAGUCCAGGGAUCGUCAUCGAGCUGAACGUGUGCUAAAACUCAGAGGUGCCGUAGUUUCGGUGCUUGAUCGGUCGGGCCGUGAAGACGUACGACCACAUCAACCGCAUUGACAUAACGCUUCCGCUGUCGAUCUACAAGGGUACGUAGAUCACACUCUCCCCUCUCGUUGCUAUGCAUCACCAUGAUCUUGCGUGUGCGUAGGAAAUUUUUUGAAAUUACUAUGUUCCCCAACAGUGGCAUCCGAACCAGGUUUUAUGGUUUGAUGUUAUAUGCACGAGUAAAACACAAGUGAGUUGUGGGCGAUAUAAUUCAUACUGCCUACCAGCAUGUCAUACUUUGGUUUGGCGGUAUUGUUGGAUGAAGCGUCCCGGACCGACAUUACGCGUACGCUUACGCGAGACCAGUUCUCCCGACGUGCUUUGCACAUAGGUGGCUUGCGGGUGACUAUUUCUCCAACUUUAGUUGAACCGAGUGUGGCUACGCCCGGUCCUUGCGAAGGUUAAAACGGCAUCAACUUGACAAACUAUCAUUGUGGUUUUGAUGCGUAGGUAAGAUUGGUUCUUGCUUAAGCCCGUAGCAGCCACGUAAAACUUGCAACAAACAAAGUAGAAGACGUCUAACUUCUUUUUGCAGGGCAUGUUGUGAUGUGAUAUGGUCAAGACAUGAUGCUAAAUUUUAUUGUAUGAGAUGAUCAUGUUUUGUAAUCGAGUUAUCGGCAACUGGCAGGAGCCAUAUGGUUGUCGCUUUAUUGUAUGCAAUGCAAUCGCGCUGUAAUGCUUUACUUUAUCACUAAGCGGUAGCGAUAGUCGUGGAAGCAUAAGAUUGGCGAGAUGACAACGAUGCUACGAAGGAGAUCAAGGUGUCGCGCCGGUGACGAUGGUGAUCAUGACGGUGCUUCGGAGAUGGAGAUCACAGGCGCAAGAUGAUGAUGGCCAUAUCAUAUCACUUAUAUUGAUUGCAUGUGAUGUUCAUCUUUUAUGCAUCUUAUCUUGCUUUGAUUGAUGGUAGCAUUAUAAGAUGAUCUCUUACUAAAAUUAUCAAGAAGUGUUCUCCCUGAGUAUGCACCGUUGCGAAAGUUCUUUGUGCUGAGACACCACGUGAUGAUCGGGUGUGAUAGGUUCUACGUUCAAAUACAACGGGUGCAAAAUAGUUGCACACGUGGAAUACUCAGGUUAUACUUGACGAGCCAAGCAUAUACAGAUAUGGCCUCGGAACACGGAGACCAAAAGGUCGAGCGUGAAACAUAUAGUAGAUAUGAUCAACAUAGUGAUGUUCACCAAUGAAACUACUCCAUCUCACGUGAUGAUCGGACAUGGUUUAGCUGAUUUGAAUCACGUGAUCACUUAGAGGAUUAGAGGGAUGUCUAUCUAAGUGGUAGUUCUUAAGUAAUAUGAUUAAAUUGAACUUAAAUUUAUCAUGAACUUAGUCCUGGUAGUAUUUUGCAAAUUAUGUUGUAGAUCAAUAGCUCGCGUUGUUGCCUCCCUGUGUUUAUUUUGAUAUGUUCCUAGAGAAAAUUGUGUUGAAAGAUGUUAGUAGCAAUGAUGCGGAUUGGAUCCGUGAUCUGAGGUUUAUCCUCAUUGCUGCACAGAAGAAUUAUGUCCUUGAUGCACCGCUAGGUGACAGACCUCUUGCAGGAGCAGAUGCAGACGUUAUGAACGUUUGGCUAGCUCAAUAUGAUGACUACUUGAUAGUUUAGUGCACCAUGCUUAAUGGCUUAGAAUCGGGACUUCAAAGACGUUUUGAACGUCAUGGACCAUAUGAGAUGUUCCAGGAGUUAAAGUUAAUAUUUCAAGCAAAUACCCGAGUUGAGAGAUAUGAAGUCUCCAACAAGUUCUAUAGCUAAAAGAUGGAGGAGAAUCACUCAACUAGUGAGCAUGUGCUCAGAUUGUUUGGGUACUAUAAUCGCUUGAAUCAAGUGGGAGUUAAUCUUCCAGAUAAGAUAGUGAUUGACAGAAUUCUCUAGUCACCAUCACCAAGUUAGUAGAACUUCGUGAUGAACUAUAAUAUGCAAGGGAUAACGGAAACAACUCCCAAGCUCUUCGUGAUGCUAAAAUCAACGAAGGUAGAAAUCAAGAAAAACAUCAAGUGUUGAUGGUUGACAAGACCACUAGUUUCAAGAAAAGGGCAAAGGGAAGAAGGGGAACUUCAAGAAGAACGGCAAGCAAGUUGCUGCUCAAGUGAAGAAGCCCAAGUCUGAUCCUAAGCCUGAGACUAAGUGCUUCUACUUCAAAGGGACUGGUCACUGGAAGCAGAACUACCCCAAGUGAUUGGCGAAUAAAAAGGAUGGCAAAGUGAACAUAAGUAUAUUUGAUAUACAUGUUAUUGAUGUGUACUUUACUAGUGUUUAUAGCAACCCCUCAGUAUUUGAUACUGGUUUAGUUGCUAAGAUUAGUAACUCGAAACGGGAGUUGCAGAAUAAACAGAGACUAGUUAAGGGUGAAGUAACGAUGUGUGUUGGAAGUGGUUCCAAAAUUGAUAUGAUCAUCAUAGCACACUCCCUAUACUUUCGGGAUUAGUGUUGAACCUAAAUAAGUGUUAUUUGGUGUUUGCGUUGAGAAUGAAUAUGAUUUGAUCAUGUUUAUUGUAAUACGGUUAUUCAUUUAAAUAAGAGUAUAAAUUGUUGUUCUGUUUACAUGAAUAAAACAUUAUAUGGUUACACACCCAAUGAAAAUAGCUCGUUGGAUCUCGAUCGUAGUGAUACACAUAAACAUAAUAUUGAAACCAAAAGAUGCAAAGUUAAUAAUGAUAGUGCAAACUUAUUUGUGGCACUGCCAUUUAGGUCAUAUUGGUGUAAAGCACAUGAAGAAACUCCAUGCUGAUGGGCUUUUGGAUUCACUUGAUUAUGAAUCAGUUGAUGCUUGCGAACCAUGCCUCAUGGGCAAGAUGACUAAGACUCUGUUCUUCAGAACAAUGGAGCGAGCAAUAGAUUUGUUGGAAAUCAUACAUACUGAUGUAUGUGGUCCGAUGAAUAUUGAGGCUCGCGACAGGUAUCAUUAUUUUCUGAUCUUCACAGAUGAUUUGAGCAGAUAUGAGUAUAUCUACUUGAUGAAACAUAAGUCUGAAACGUUUGAAAAGUUCAAAGAAUUUCAGAGUGAAGUGAAAAAUCAUCAAAACAAGAAAAUAAAGUUUCUACGAUCUGAUCGUAGAGAAGAGUAUUUGAGUUACGAGUUUGGCCUUCAGUUAGAAACAAUGUGAAAUAGUUUCACUACUCACGCCACCUGGAACACCACAAUGUAAUGGUGUGUCCGAACGUCAUAACCGUACUUUAUUAGAUAUGGUGCGACCUAUGAUGUUUCUUACCGAUUUGCCACUAUCGUUUUGGGGUUAUGCAUUAAAGACAGCUGCAUUCACGUUUAAAAGGGCACCAUCUAAGUCCGUUGAGACGACACAAUCUGAACUGUGGUUUGGCAAGAAACCAAAGUUGUCGUUUCUUAAAGUUUGGGAUUGUGAUGCUUAUAUGAAAAGGUUUCAUCCUGAUAAGCUCAAAACCAAAUCGGAGAAAUAUGUCUUCAUAGGAUACCCAAAGGAAACUUUUGGGUACACCUUCUAUCACAGAUCCGAAGUCAAGACAUUCGUUGCUAAGAAUGGAUCCUUUCCAGAGAAGGAGUUUCUCUCGAAAGAAGUGAAUGGGAGGAAAGUAGAAAACUUGAUAAGGUAAUCAUACCUUCUCCCUUAUUGGAAAGUAGUUCAUCACAAAAAUCUGUUCUUGUGACUACUAGACCAACUAGUGAGGAAGCUAAUGAUGAUGAUCAUGUAACUUCAGAUCAAGUUACUACCGAAUCUUGUAGGUAAACCAGAGUGAGAUCCGCACCAGAGUGGUACGGUAAUCCUAUUCUGGAGGUCAUGUUACUUGACCAUGACGAACCUACGAACUAUGAGGAAGCGAUGAUGAGCCCAGAUUCCGCGAAAUGGUUUGAGGCCAUGAAAUCUGAGAUAUGAUCCAUGUAUGAGAACAAAGUUUGGACUUUGGUUGACUUUCCCGAUGAUCGGCAAGCAAUUGAGAAUAAAUGGAUCUUCAAAAAGAAGACGGACGCUGAUAGUAGUGUUACUAUCUACAAAGCUAGAAUUGUCGCAAAAGGUUUUCGGCAAGUUCAAGGUGUUGACUACGAUGAGAGCUUCUCACUCGUAUCUAUGCUUGAGUAUGUCCAAAUCAUGUUAGUAAUUGCCGCAUUUUAUGAAAUCUGGCAAAUGGAUAAACAAAACUGCAUUCCUUAAUGGAUUUAUUAAAGAAGAGUUGUAUAUGAUGCAACCAGAAGGUUUUGUCAAUCCGAAAGGUGCUAACAAAAUGUGCAAGCUCCAGCGAUCCAUCUCUGGACUGGUGCAAGCAUCUCGGAGUUGGAAUAUACGCUUUGAUAAGUUGAUCAAAGCAUAUAGUUUUAUACAGACUUGCGGUGAAGCCUGUAUUUACAAGAAAGUGAGUGGGAGAACUACAACAUUUCUGGUAAGUAUAUGUGAAUGACAUAUUGUUGAUCGGAAAUAAUGUAGAAUUAUUCUGCAAAGCAUAACGGACUGUUUGAAAGGAGUUUUUCAAAGAAAGACCUCGGUGAAGCUGCUUACAUAUUGAGUAUCAAGAACUAUAGAGAUAGAUCAAGACGCUUGAUAAGUUUUUUCAAUUAGUACAUACCUUGACAAGAUUUUGAAGUAGUUCAAAAUGGAACAGUCAAAGAAAGAGUUUCUUGCCUGUGUUACAAGGUGUGAAAUUGAGCAAGACUCAAAACCCGACCACGGCAGAAGAUAGAAAGAGAAUGAAAAUCAUUCCCUAUGCCUUGGCCAUAGGUUCUAUAAAGUAUGCCAUGCUGUGUACCAGAUCUAUUUAGCAAGGGAGUAUAAUAGUGAUCUAGGAGUAGAUCACUGGACAACAGUCAAAAUUAUCCUUAGUGGAAUAAGGAUAUGUUUCUCGACUAUGAAGGUGACAAAAGGUUCGUCGUAAAGGGUUACGUCGAUACAAGUUUUGACACUAAUCUAGAUGACUCUAAGUCUCGGUCUAGAUACAUAUUGAAAGUGGGAGCAAUUAGCUAGAGUAGCUCCAUGUAGAGUAUUGUUGACAUAGAAAUUUGCAAAAUACUUACGGAUCUGCAUAUGACAGACCAGUUGACUAAAAUUAUCUCACAAGCAAACAUGAUCACACCUUAGUACUCUUUGGGUGUUAAUCACAUAGCGAUGUGAACUAGAUUACUGACUCUAGUAAAACAUUUUGCUGUUGGUCACAUAUCGAUGUGAACUAUGGGUGUUAAUCACAUGGUGAUGUGAACUAUUGCUGUUAAAUCACAUGGCGAUGUGAACUAGAUUAUUGACUCUAGUGCAAGUGGGAGACUGAAGGAAAUAUGCUCUAGAGGCAAUACUAAAGUUAUUAUUUAUUUCCUUCUUUCAUGAUAAAUGCUUAUUAUUCAUGCUAGAAUUGUAUUAACCGGAAACAUAAUACAUGUGUGAAUACAUAGACAAACAGAGUGUCACUACUAUGCCUCUACUUGACUAGCUCGUUAAUCAAAGAUGGUUAUGUUUCCUAACCAUGGAGAAAGAGUUUUUAUUUGAUUAACGGGAUCACAUCAUUAGAUGAAUGAUCUGAUUGACAUGACCCAUUCCAUUAGCUUAGCACCCGAUCGUUUAGUAUGUUGCUAUUGCUUUCUUCAUGACUUAUACAUGUUCCAAUGACUAUGAGAUUAUGCAACUCCCGUUUGUCGGAGGAACACUUUGUGUGCUACCAAACGUCACAACAUAACUGGGUGAUUAUAAAGGAGCUCUACAGGUGUCUCCGAAGGUACAUGUUGGGUUGGCGUAUUUCGAGAUUAGGAUUUGUCACUCGGAUUGUCGGAGAGGUAUCUCUGGGCCCUCUCGGUAAUGCACAUCACUUAAGCAUUGCAGCUAAUGAGUUAGUUGCGAGAUGAUGUAUUACGGAACGAGUAAAGAGACUUGCCGGUAAUGAGAUUGAACUAGGUAUUGGAUACCGACGAUCGAAUCUCGGGCAAGUAACAUACCGAUGACAAAGGGAACAACGUAUGUUGUUAUACGGUCUGACCGAUAAAGAUCUUCGUAGAAUAUGUAGGAGCCAAUAUGGGCAUCCAGGUCCCGCUAUUGGUUAUUGACCGGAGACAUGUCUCGGUCAUGUCUACAUUGUUCUCGAACCCAUAGGGUCCGCACGCUUAAGGUUUCGAUGAUAGUUAUAUUAUGAGUUUAUACGUUUGGAUGUACCGAAGGUUGUUCGGAGUCCCGGAUGUGAUCACGGACAUGACGAGGAGUCUCGAAAUGGUCGAGACAUAAAGAUUGAUAUAUUGGACGGCUAUAUUCGGACACCGAAAGUGUUCCGGGUGAUUUCGGAGAAAACCGGAAAGCCGGAGGGUUACCGGAACCCCCCCGGGAGAAGUAAUGGGCCAUAUGGGCCUUAGUGGAGAGAGAGAGAGGGGCAGCCAAAGGUGGGCCGCGCGCCUCCUCCCCCCCUGAUCCGAAUUGGACUAGGAGAGGGGGGGGCGGCGCCCUCCUUUCCUUCUCCCUCCCCACUUCUUUCCCCCUCCUAGUAGGAGUCCUACUCCUACUAGGAGGAGGACUCCUCCUUGGCGCGCCAUAGGGGCCGGCCAGCCUCCUCCUCUCUUGAACCUUUAUACACGGAGGCAGGGGCACCCCAGAAACACACAAGUUGAUCCACGUGAUCAUAUUCUUAGCCGUUUGCGGCGCCCCCUACCACCAUAGUCCUCGAUAAUAUUGUAGCGGUGCUUAGGCGAAGCCCUGCGACAGUAGUACAUCAAGAUCGUCACCACGCUGUUGUGCUGACGGAACUCUUCCCUGACACUUUGCUGGAUCGGAGUCCAGGGAUCGUCAUCGAGCUGAAUGUGUGCUAAAACUCGGAGGUGCCGUAGUUUCGGUGCUUGAUCGGUCGGGCCGUGAAGACGUACGACUACAUCAACCGCGUUGACAUAACGCUUGCGCUGUCGAUCUACAACGGUACGUAGAUCACACUCUCCCCUCUCGUUGCUAUGCAUCACUAUGAUCUUGCGUGUGCGUAGGAAAUUUUUUGAAAUUACUACGUUCCCCAUCACUUCAUUCGUAUGGCUCAACCACCAGCUCCUAAGCCUGUUGACACAGACUAUGAGCGCCACAUCAGGAAGUUACAUCGACAACGUCUACAGAAGGAGGCGAGCUCGAGCUCGAGCAAACAACAAGCAGCUGUCAAAAAAUGCGGGAAAACCGUUGCCCAGCUGGGAGAACAGGCGGCGCAAUCGACCCCCCCCCCCCGCUUGUUGUGCCGCCAACAACACGUGACAGUACGCGCGCCUAAUAUUAUUGUGGGCAAAAAGUUUACGUUCCUGAGGUGGACGAUGUGGUAAUAACCCAGGAGCAUAUAAUGCAGGCUGAAACUCUCAACAUCACUGUUGGACAACUCCUCGAGAUCGAGGACAUGCCUGUGCUUAAAGAGGAGGAAAUAAAACGGAAAUAUGCAUGGGGCCAACCUUUGGUCAAGCCAGAAGAGGUCAAGAAGCUCCCAACGAGAAUGUAUGAAUUGCAUCAAUGGUACAUGGACAUUACCAAGAGAUCCAAUCGAGAGUCCCUCAUGGUGCAAGUCAAUCAGGAUCAUUACUACCAUCAGAAACCUGUGACCGUUGAGUAUUCUGAAUUGUUUCAGUUAUACAAUCAAGACGCACUUGACAAAUCUAUCGUCAGUUGCUAUUGUCUGUAAGUGAUUUCUUUCUGUAAUUUAAGUCUCAAGCUAGCUGUAGUGAUCCUUUUGAUCAAUCAUUACCUGUAAUUAUCCUCACUAUAUCCUUUUCUAUGGUAUUAUGCAGGAUGAAGAUGUAUGAAAUGAGAAAAGGUGGACGCUAUGGCAUUGGGUUCAUUGACCCAAACACCGUUAAUGAAUACACAUAGAAACUAAACAAGCAUCAUGAAAAGCAGGUAGAGGACAGCAUGCUAGAGUUCUUGAAGCGCCUCAAAUACAAUGAAGAUAUACUACUUCCUUACAACUUCCAGUGAGUCACACUUUCUUGUACUACAAAUUUUCUGUUUUUGCCUACUAGCUAGUUACAUGUUUUUGCUUACAUAUGCCCGCUUAAUUAAGACAUGCAAACGUGUGUGCAUGCAGAUUUCAGUGGAUCUUGUGUAUCAUUAAAGUUGAUGCCGGAACAGUUCAAAUACUAGACUCACUACUCAAAGCAAAUAGUGACUAUAACAUCUUGUUUGGGAUAGUCAACAGGUAAUUUCAAUCAUUAUUAACUAUAUAUCUCGGCCUAUUUAGUUCGUCAUUUCAUGAUAUGAACUAUUUAAUAACCCCUUUAUUCAUUUUCUUUGUCGGCAGGCAGGGCUUGGGCAAGGUUCAUCAGCGUCACGGAAGGCGAAUGGAAACGACAGCUGAAAUGGUUUCGACCCAAGGUAAGUAAUUAAGUAGUACUAGCUAGCUAGCUAGCUGCCAUCUCUUUAAUUAUCAUGCUUGAUUAAUUAUUAUCUGAUCAAAUUAAAUUCCAUUCUCGUAAUAAAGGCCCUGAAGCAGGCGCAGGGGACUAAUCUGUGUGCAUUCUGCGUUUGCGAGAACAUUCGCAUGAUGGCGUCCGAAAGGAGUAGAUCUCAAAGACAGGAAUGGGUACGCUUGUCAGAACACUAUUCACAAUUUUUACACCAUUAUCGAUAUCUAGUCACACAACUAAUACACAUGCAUAUUGAUCUCCAUCUUAACAGUUCAAAGAGGUGCGGGACAAGCUCCUAGAAACGGAGCACGUAGAAGCACUUCAAGAGGAAAUAGCGGGAUUUUUGCUCGACUAGGUCAUAAAUCCAAAUGGAGAAUACUAUUACCCGCUACCGCCCCAUCGACUAGGUCAUGAACCACUUCCAAUUGUCAUCGUGCUCCGAAGGCACCAAUUAGGCUAAUGCCACUGGCUCCGAAGGCAACAUGCAUAUGUACGAGAAAUUGUAUAUAGCUAUACAUGUGUGUAUGUGUGAAUUAAUAUGGUGGUUCGUGAGACAUUGAUGAUAUAUAUAUGAUUGGUUCUACUAGAAAUUCUAUUUAUAUAUAUAUAUAUUCAUAACAUGUAUAAUGUGUAGUAUCGUAAAAUACCGCAAACGAAAAAGAAUUAAAAUGGAAAUCACAAAAUUAAAUGAAAAAGAAAUCAUAAAACCAAAACCCCCCCAAACAUUUUAGUACCGGUUGGUGUUACCAACCGGUACUAAAGGGCUCCCGGCCCCUGGAGCUGGCUCGUGCCACGUGGUUGCCCUUUAGCACCGGUUCGUGCUGAACCGGUAUUAAAGGGGGGGCUUUAGUGACCACACUUUAGUGCUGGUUAUGGAACCGGCACUAAAGGGCCUUACGAACCGGUGCUAUUGCCCGGUUCUGCACUAGUGUAAAGUACGAUUACGACGUUCGGACCAAACCAUUACGCUGUGGUGUUCCGGGUGGCGUGAGUCGCGAAACUAUUCUGCAUUGUUUCAAAUGAAGACCAAACUCAUAACACAAAUGUUCCCCUCCACGAUCAGAUCGUAAAAACUUUAUUUUCUAGUUACGAUGAUUUUCCACUUUACUCUGAAAUUCUUUGAACUUUUCAAAUGUUUCAGACUUAUGUUUCAUUAAGUAGAUAUACCCAUAUCUGCUUAAAUCAUCUGUGAAGGUGAGAAAAAACGAUAUUCGCCGCGUGCCUCAAUGUUCAUUGGACCAAAUACAUCAGUAUGUAUGAUUUCCAAUAACUCUGUUGCUCGCUCCAUUGUUCCGGAGAACAGAAUUUUAGUCAUCUUGCCCAUGAGGCAUGGUUCACAAGUACCAAGUGAUUCAUAGUCAAGUGAUUCCAGAAGUCCAUCAGAAUGGAGUUUCUUCAUGCGCUAUACACCAAUAUGACCCAAACGGCAAUGCCACAAAUAAGUUUCACUAUCAUUAUCAACCCUGCAUCUUUUGGAUUCAAUACUAUGAACAUGUGUAUCACUACUAUAAAGAUUUUGUAAAAAUAGACCAGUCAUCAAGGGUGCAUGACCAUAAAAGAUAUUACUCAUAUAAAUAGAACAACCAUUAUUCUCUGAUUUAAAUUAAUAGUCGUCUCGCAUCAAACAAGAUCCAGAUAUAAUGUUCAUGCUCAACGGUGGCACCAAAUAACAAUUAUUUAGGUCUAAAACUAAUACCGAAGGUAGAUGCAGAGGUAGCGUGCCAACGGCGAUCACAACGACUUUGGAACCAUUUCCCACGCGCAUCGUCACCUCGUCCUUAGCCAAUCUUCACUUAAUCCGUAGCCCCUGUUUCGAGUUGCAAAUAUUAGCAACAGAACCAGUAUCAAAUUCCCACGUGCUCCUGCGAGAAUUAGUAAGGUACACAUCAGUAACAUGUAUAUCAAAUAUACCUUUCCCUUUGCCAUCCUUCUUCUUCGCUAAAUACCUGGGGCAGUUCCGCUUCAAGUGACCAGUUCCUUUGCAGUAGAAGCAGUCAGUUUCAGGCUUAGGUCCAGACUUGGGUUUCUUCACUUGAGAAGCAACUGGCUUGCUGUUCUUCUUGGAGUUCCCCUUCUUCCCUUUACCUUUUUUUAUUGAAACUAGUGGUCUUUUUGACCAUCAACACUUGAUGCUCCUUCUUGAUUUCUACCUCCGCAACCUUUAGCAUUGUGAAGAGCUCGGGAAUAGUCUUAUCCAUCCCUUGCAUAUUGUAGUUCAUCACGAAGCUCUUGUAGCUUCGUGGCAGUGAUUGAAGAACUCUGUCAAUGACACUAUCAUCAGGAAGAUUAACUCCCACCUGAGUCAAGUGGUUGUGGUACCUAGACAUUCUGAGUAUAUGUUCACUGACAGAACUAUUCUCCUCUAUUUUGCAGCUAUAGAACUUAUUGGAGACUUCAUAUCUCUCAAUCCGGGCAUUUGCUAGAAAUAUUAACUUCAAUUCCUGGAACAUCUCAUAUGCUCCACGAUGUUCAAAACAUCGUUGAAGUCCUGAUUCUAAGCCGUAAAGCAUGGCACACUGAACUAUCGAGUAGUCAUCAGCUUUGCUCUGCCAGGUGUUCACAACAUCUGGCGUUGCUCCUGCAGCGGAUUUUUCACCUAGUGGUGCUUCCAGGAUGUAAUUCUUUUGUGUAGCAAUGAGGAUAAUCCUCAAUUUACGGACCCAGUCCGUGUAGUUGCUACCAUCAUCUUUCAACUUAGCUUUCUCUAGGAACGCAUUAAAAUUCAACGGAACAGCAGCACGGGCCAUCUAUCCACAACAACAUAGAGAUGCAAAAUACUGCCAGGUACUAAGUUCAUGAUAAAUUAAAGUUCAAUUAUUCAAAUUAUUUAACAACUCCCACUUAGAUAAACAUCUCUAUAAUCAUCUAAGUGAUCACGUGAUCCAUAUCAGCUAAACCAUGUCCGAUCAUCAUGGGAGAUGGAGUAGUUUUCAACGGUGAACAUCACUAUGUUGAUCAUAUCUACUAUAUGAUUCAUGCUCGACCUUCCGGUCUCAGUGUUCCGAUGCCAUAUCUGCAUAUGCUAGGCUCGUCAAGUUUAACCCGAGUAUUCUGCGUGUGCAAAACUGGCUUGCACCCGUUGUAUGUGAACGUAGAGCUUAUCACACACGAUCAUCACGUCGUGUCUCUGCACGACGAACUGUAGCAAUUGUGCAUACUCAGGGAGAACACUUAUUCCAUGAAAUUUAGUGAGAGAUCAUCUUAUAAUAUUACCGCCGAACUAAGCAAAAUAAGAUGCAUAAAGGAUAAACAUCACAUGCAAUCAAUAUAAGUGAUAUGAUAUGGCCAUCAUCAUCUUGUGUCGUUGAUCUCCAUCUCCAAAGCACCGUCAUGAUCACCAUCAUCACCGUCUUGACACCUUGAUCUCCAUCGAAGCAUCAUUGUUGUCUCGCCAACUAUUGCUUCUAUGACUGUCGGUACCGCUUAGUGAUAAAGUAAAGCAAUUACAUGGUGAUUGCAUUUCAUACAUUAAAGCGACAACCAUAUGGCCCCUGCCAGUUGCCGAUAACUGUGUUACAAAACAUGAUCAUCUCAUACAAUGAAAUUUAGCAUCAUGUCUUGACCAUAUCACAUCACAACAUGCCCUGCAAAAGCAAGUUAGACGCCCUCUACUUUGUUGUUGCAAGUUUUACGUGGCUGCUACGGACUUGGCAAGAAUUGUUCUUACCUACACAUCAAAAACCACAAUGCGGUAUAGUGAUUGCAUUUGAUCUUCAGAAAGAACCUUGUUCAUUGAAUCUGAUUCAACUAAAGUUGGAGAAACUGACACCCACCAGCCACCUAUGUGUGAAGCACGUCGGUAGAACCAGUCUCGCGUAAGCGUACGCGUAAUGUCGGUCUGGGCCGCUUCAUCCAACAAUACCGCCGAAUCAAGAAUCAACUAGUGACGGUAAGCAAUAUGUAUAUACCCACGCCCACUACUCCUUUGUGUUAUACUCAUGCAUAUAACAUCUACGCAUAAACCUGGCUCGGAUGCCACUGUUGGGGAAUGCAGUAAUGUCAAAAAAAUUCCUACGCACAUGCAAGAUCUAUCAUGGUGAUGCGUAGCAACGAGAGGGGAAGAGUGUUGUCCACGUACCCUUGUAGUUCAUAAGUGGAAGCGUUAUGACAACGCGGUUGAUGUAGUCAUGCGUCUUCACGAUCCGACCGAUCCUAGUACCGAAAAUACGGUACCUCCGUGAUCUGCACACGUUCGGCUCGGUGAUGUCCCACGAAACUCUCGAUCCAGCUGAGUGUCAAGGAAGACCUUCAUCAGCACGACAGCAUCAUGACGGUGAUGAUGAAGCUACCGGCGCAGGGCUUCGCCUAAGCACUACGACGAUAUGACCGAGGUGGAUUAUGGUGGAGGGGGCAUCGCACACGGCUAAGAGAUAAAUGGUCAACUUGUGUGUCUAUGGGGUGCCCCCUGCCCUCAUAUAUAAGGGGAGGCCGGCCGGCCCUAGAGGCGCGCCAGGAGACGAGGAGUCCUCCUCCUAUUAGGAGUAGGACUCCCCUUUCCUAGUCCUCCUAGGAGGAGGAAGGGGGAAGGAAGGAGAGGGAGAGAAGAGAACGAAAGGGUGGCGCCGCCCCCUUCCCAAGUCCAAUUCGGACUAGAGGGGAGGGGGCACGCGGCCCUACCUUGGCCGGCCCUCUCUCUCUCCACUAAGUCCCAUGUGGCCCAUUAGUUCCCCCCGGGGGUUCCGAUAACCCCCCGCCACUCCGAUAAUUAUCCAAUGACCCCCUGUACUCAUCCAGUGUCCGAAUAUAGUCAUCCAAUAUAUCAAUAUUUAUGUCUCGACCAUUUCGAGAGUCUUCGUCAUGUCCGUGAUCACAUGCGGGGCUCCAAACUACCUUCAGUACAUCAAAAACACAUAAACUCAUAAUACCGAUCGUCGCUGAACGUUAAGCGUGCGGACCUUACGGGUUCGAGAACUAUGUAGACAUGACCGAGACACGUCUCCGUUAAAUAACCAAUAGCGGAACUUGGAUGUUCAUAUUGGCCCCCACAUAUUCUACAAAGAUCUUUAUCGGUCAAACCGCAUAACGAUAUACGUUGUUACCUUUGUCAUCGGUAUGUUACUUGCCCGAGACUCGGUCGUCGGUAUCUCAAUACCUAGUUCAAUCUCGUUACCGGCAAGUCUCUUUACUCGUUCCGUAAUGCAACAUACCGUAAGUAACUCAUUAGUCACAUUGCUUGCAAGGCUUUCAGUGAUGUGCAUUACCGAGAGGGCCCAGAGAUACCUCUCCGUCAAUCGGAGUGACAAAUCCUAAUCUCGAUCUAUGCCAACUCAACAAACACCUUCAGAGACACCUGUAGAGCACCCUUAUAAUCACCCAGUUACGUUGUGACAUUUGGCAGCACACAAAGUGUUCCUCCGGUAUUUGGGAGUUGCAUGAUCUCAUAGUCAUAGGAACAUGUAUAAUUUAUGGAGAAAGAAAUAGCAACAAACUAAACGAUCAUCGUGCUAAGCUAACGGAUGGGUCAAGUCAAUCACAUCAUUCUCUAAUGAUGUGAUCCUGUUAAUCAUGACAACUCAUGUCUAUGGUUAGGAAACAUAACCAUCAUUGAUUCAACGAGCUAGUCAAGUAGAGGCAUACUAGUGACAUUAUGUUUGUCUAUGUAUUCACACAUGUACUAAGUUUCCGUUUAAUACAAUUCUAUCAUGAAUAAUAAACAUUUAUCAUGAUAUAAGGAAAUAUAAAUAACAACUUUAUUAAUGCCUCUAGGGCAUAUUUCCUUCUGUAUAUGAUGCAACCGGAAGGUUUUGUCGAUCCAAAAGGUGCUAACAAAAUGUGCAAGCUCCAGCGAUCCAUUUAUGUACUCGUGCAAGCCUCUCGGAGUUGGUAAAUACGCUUUGAUAGUGUGAUGAAAGCAUAUGGUUUUAUACAGACUUUUGGAGAAGCCUGUAUUUACUAGAAAGUGAGUGGGAGCUCCGUACCAUUUCUAAUAUUAUAUGUAGAUGAAAUAUUGUUGAUCGGAAAUGAUACUGAAUUUUUGAAUGGCAUAAAAGGAUACUUGAAUAAGAAUUUCUCAAUGAAAAACCACGGCGAAGCUGCUUAUAUAUUAGGCAUGAAGAUCUAUAGAGAUAGAUCAAGACGUUUGAUUGGACUUUCACAAUGCACAUACCUUGAUAAAGUUUUGAAGAAGUUCAAAAUGGAUCAGCCAAAGAAAGGGUUCUUGCCUUUAUUACAAGGUGUGAAGUUGAGUCAGACUCAAUGCCCGACCACUGAAGAAGAUAGAGAGAAAAUGAAAGUCAUUCCCUAUGCCUCAGCCAUAGGUUCUAUCAUGUAUGCAAUGUUGUGUACCAGACGUGAUGUGUGCCUUGCUAUUAUUUUAGCAGGUAGGUACCAAAGUAACCCAGGAUUGGAUCACUGGACAGCUGUGAAGAACAUCCUGAAAUACCUGAAAAGGUCUAAGGAUAUGUUUCUCGUUUAUGGAGGUGACAAAGAUCUCGUCAUAAAUGGUUACGUCGAUGCAAGCUUUGACACUGAUCCGGAUGACUCUAAGUCGCAAACCGUAUACAUAUUUAUAUUGAAUGGUGGAGCUAUCAGUUGGUGCAGUUCCAAGCAGAGCGUUGUGGCAGGAUCUAAACGCGAAAGCAACAAAUGAAGGAGUCUCGAUGAAGGAGUUCAUAUCAGAUUUAGGUGUAAUACCUAGUGCAUCAGGUCUAAUGAAAAUCUUUUGUGACAAUACUGGUGCAAUUGCCUUGGCAAAGGAAUCCAAAUUUCACAAAUGAACCAAGCACAUCAAGAGACACUUCAAUUCCAUCCGCGAUCAAGUCAAGGAGGGAGACAUCGAGAUUUGCAAGAUACAUACAAAUCUGAAUAUUGCAGACCCAUCGACUAAGCCUCUUUCAUGAGCAAAACAUGAUCAGCACCAAGAAUCCAUGGGUGCUAGAAUCAUUACUAUGUAAUCUAGAUUAUUGACUCUAGUGCAAGUGGGAGACUGGAGGAAAUAUGCCCUAGAGGCAAUAAUAAAGUUGUUAUUUAUAUUUCCUUAUAUCAUGAUAAAUGUUUAUUAUUCAUGCUAGAAUUGUAUAUUAACCAGAGACCUAGUACAUGUGUGAAUACAUAGACAAACAGAGUGUCCCUACUAUGCCUCUACUUGACUAGCUCAUUAAUCAAAGAUGGUUAAAUUUCCUAGCUGUAACACCCGGAUAAUCAUGCUAUAGUAAACCCACGUUAAUGAUGCCACGUCACCUCUGUCACUAUAGUUAAUCUCGGGUUACGUCAAAACCGAUUGAAAUUCAAAUUUAAAAUAAAGUUAAAUAAUAAAAGUUUUCGAAAUUUAAAACAAAAAUGUUCGGUGUGUGCAUAUAAAUGCCUAGGAAUUUAUGGUGUGGGAUCCAUGCUUUUAUAAAAGACCUAAAUAUUUAAAAUGAGUUAAAAUAGUAAAGAAACAAAAUAAAUAAAAGGAAAAGACAAAACAGAAAACAAAAAAAGAGCAAAGCCCUCUCCCCCUCUCCCUGGGUCGAACGGCCCAACUAGCCAACGAGGCCACCAGGAGGCCCACCCCAUCCCGCCUUAAACCCCUGCUCCGCCCGAAACCCUAACCCACCGUCCACCACUCCCCCUCCCCCUCCCCCAUGUUUCACCUCCUCCUCCCCGAUCCAGAUCGGGAUCGGGGGAACGACCCCACCGCCCGGAUCGAUCGUGCCUGCCGCCCCCUGUGGACCUCGCCGGGGACUACGCACACAACCAAGAUCAAGAGAAUUAAACCAUAUCUUAGCAUCACCCUUUAAUGAGAAUGGAAAUAUUUUAAGGAUAUAGUAGUAGCGAGGUUUCUCAUCAUUAGCGAAUAGGGUGGCUAUAUCAUUUAAUUUAGUAAGGUGUGCCACAACAGUUUCAGAUUCAUAGCCAUAGAAAGGAUCAGAUUCAACCGAAGUAAUUAUAUCAGGGUCGACAGAGAAUUCAUAAUCCUUAUCAGUAACAAAGAUAGGUGAAGUAGAAUAAGCGGGAUCAUAUUUCAUUCUAGCAUUCAGAGAUUUUUGUUUCAUCUUAGCUAAUAGUUUCUUAAGAUCACUCCUAUCAUUGCAAGCAAGAAUGUCUCUAGCAGUUUCUUCAUCCAUAACGUAACCCUCAGGAACAAUAGGUAAUUCAUAUCUAGGGGGAGAAUCUUCAUCAUCACUUUCAUCAAUAUUAUCAGUUUCAAUAAUUUCAUUCUCUCUAGCCCUAGCAAGUUGUUCAUCAAGAAAUUCACCAAGUGGCACAGUAGUAUCAAGCAUAGAAGUAGUUUCAUCAUAAGUAUCACGCAUAGCAGAAGUGGCAUCAUCAAUAACAUGCGACAUAUAAGAAUUAAUAGCAGAAGCAGGUUUAGGUGUCGCAAGUUUACUCAAAAGAGAAGGUGAAUCAAGUGCAGAGCUAGAUGGCAGUUCCUUACCUCCCCUCGUAGUUGAGGGAAAAAUCUUGGUUCUUUGAUCUUUCAAGUUCUUGAUAAUGAUAAGCAUAUAUAAAACCCAGGUGACUCAAAGAAUAGAGCUACGCUCCCGGAAACAGCGCUAGAAAAUGUUCUUGAUAACCCACAUGUAUAGGGGAUCGCAAUAGUUUUCGAGGGUAGAGUAUUCGAACCAAAUUUAUUGAUUCGACAGAAGGGGAGACAAAGAAUAUUCUCGAGUAUUAGUAGCUGAGUUGUCAAUUCAACCACACCUGGAAACUUAAUAUCUGCAACAAAGUAUUUAGUAGCAAAGUAAUAUGAUAGUAGUGGUAACGAUAGCAAAAGGUAACGGUAGCAAACAUAAUAUUUUUCGGUUUUAAAGUGAUGGUAACAGUAGCAGCGGAAAAGUAAAUAAGAGAGGAACAAUAUAGGAAAAGCUCGUAGGCAAUGGAUUGGGGAUACAGAAUUAUGCCAGAUGCGAUCGAUCAUGUAACAGUCAUAACAUAGGGUGACACAGAACUACCUCCAAUUCAUCAAUGUAAUGUAGGCAUGUAUUCUGAUUAUAGUCAUACGUGCUUAUGGAAAAGAACUUGCAUGACAUCUUUUGUCCUACCCUCUCGUGGCAGCGGGGUCCUAUUGGAAACUAAGGGAUAUUAAGGCCUCAUUUUAAUAGAUUACCGGACCAAAGCAUUAACACAUAGUGAAUACAUGAACUCCUCAAACUAUGGUAAUCACUGGUAAGUAUCCCGAUUAUUGUCACUUCGGGGUUAACGGAUCAUAACACAUAAUAGGUGACUUUAGACUUGCAAGAUAGGAUCAAGAACUCUCAUAUAUUGAUGAAAACAUAAUAUGUUCAGAUCUGAAAUCAUGGCAUUCAGGCCCUAGAGUACCGGAUCAAAGCAUUAAGCAUAGCAAAGUCAUAGCAACAUCAAUCUCAGAACAAAGUGGAUACUAGGGAUCAAACCCUAACAAAACUAAAUCGAUUACAUGAUAAAUCUCAUCCAACCCAUCACCGUCCAGCAAACUAUGAUGGAAUUACUCACGCACGGCGGUGACCAUCAUGAAAUUGGUGAUGGAGGAUGGUUAAUGAUGACGAUGGCGAUGAAUUCCCCUCUCUGGAGCCCCAAACGGACUCCAGAUCAGCCCUCCCAAGAGAGUUUAGGGCUUUGCGGCGGUUCAAUAUCGUAAAACGCGAUGAAUCCUUCACUUUGAUUUUUUUUCUCCCCGAAAUUGAAUAUAUGUAGUCAAGGUUGAGGUAGGUGGAGCGUCAGGGGGCCCACGAGGCAGUGGGGCAUGCCUAGGGGGUAGGGCCCGCCCCCACCCUCGUGGACAGGGUGUGGGCCCCCUGACAUAGAUAUUUCUUCCAGUAUUUUUUAUAUAUUCCAAAAAUAAUCUCUGUUGAUUUUCAGGUCAUUCCGACAACUUUUAUUUCUGCACGAAAAUAACACGGUGAUAAUUCUACUGAAAACAGCAUCAGUCUGGGGUAGUUCCAUUCAAAUCAUGCAAGUUAGAGUCCAAAACAAGGGCAAAAGUGUUUGGAAAAGUAGAUACGAUGGAGACGUAUCAUCUAACACCUAUGGAGUCUUGGUGCUGAUCAUGUUUUGCUCGUGAGAGAGGCUUAGUCAACGGAUUACAUGGUGGCAGGAUCUAAUGGUGGAGCUAUCAGCUAAACCAUGUCCGAUCAUCAUGGGAGAUGGAGUAGUUUUCAACGGUGAACAUCACUAUGUUGAUCAUAUCUACUAUAUGAUUCAUGCUCGACCUUCCGGUCUCAGUGUUCCGAUGCCAUAUCUGCAUAUGCUAGGCUCGUCAAGUUUAACCCGAGUAUUCUGCGUGUGCAAAACUGGCUUGCACCCGUUGUAUGUGAACGUAGAGCUUAUCACACACGAUCAUCACGUCGUGUCUCUGCACGACGAACUGUAGCAAUUGUGCAUACUCAGGGAGAACACUUAUUCCAUGAAAUUUAGUGAGAGAUCAUCUUAUAAUAUUACCGCCGAACUAAGCAAAAUAAGAUGCAUAAAGGAUAAACAUCACAUGCAAUCAAUAUAAGUGAUAUGAUAUGGCCAUCAUCAUCUUGUGUCGUUGAUCUCCAUCUCCAAAGCACCGUCAUGAUCACCAUCAUCACCGUCUUGACACCUUGAUCUCCAUCGAAGCAUCAUUGUUGUCUCGCCAACUAUUGCUUCUAUGACUGUCGGUACCGCUUAGUGAUAAAGUAAAGCAAUUACAUGGUGAUUGCAUUUCAUACAUUAAAGCGACAACCAUAUGGCCCCUGCCAGUUGCCGAUAACUGUGUUACAAAACAUGAUCAUCUCAUACAAUGAAAUUUAGCAUCAUGUCUUGACCAUAUCACAUCACAACAUGCCCUGCAAAAGCAAGUUAGACGCCCUCUACUUUGUUGUUGCAAGUUUUACGUGGCUGCUACGGACUUGGCAAGAAUUGUUCUUACCUACACAUCAAAAACCACAAUGCGGUAUAGUGAUUGCAUUUGAUCUUCAGAAAGAACCUUGUUCAUUGAAUCUGAUUCAACUAAAGUUGGAGAAACUGACACCCACCAGCCACCUAUGUGUGAAGCACGUCGGUAGAACCAGUCUCGCGUAAGCGUACGCGUAAUGUCGGUCUGGGCCGCUUCAUCCAACAAUACCGCCGAAUCAAGAAUCAACUAGUGACGGUAAGCAAUAUGUAUAUACCCACGCCCACUACUCCUUUGUGUUAUACUCAUGCAUAUAACAUCUACGCAUAAACCUGGCUCGGAUGCCACUGUUGGGGAAUGCAGUAAUGUCAAAAAAAUUCCUACGCACAUGCAAGAUCUAUCAUGGUGAUGCGUAGCAACGAGAGGGGAAGAGUGUUGUCCACGUACCCUUGUAGUUCAUAAGUGGAAGCGUUAUGACAACGCGGUUGAUGUAGUCAUGCGUCUUCACGAUCCGACCGAUCCUAGUACCGAAAAUACGGUACCUCCGUGAUCUGCACACGUUCGGCUCGGUGAUGUCCCACGAAACUCUCGAUCCAGCUGAGUGUCAAGGAAGACCUUCAUCAGCACGACAGCAUCAUGACGGUGAUGAUGAAGCUACCGGCGCAGGGCUUCGCCUAAGCACUACGACGAUAUGACCGAGGUGGAUUAUGGUGGAGGGGGCAUCGCACACGGCUAAGAGAUAAAUGGUCAACUUGUGUGUCUAUGGGGUGCCCCCUGCCCUCAUAUAUAAGGGGAGGCCGGCCGGCCCUAGAGGCGCGCCAGGAGACGAGGAGUCCUCCUCCUAUUAGGAGUAGGACUCCCCUUUCCUAGUCCUCCUAGGAGGAGGAAGGGGGAAGGAAGGAGAGGGAGAGAAGAGAACGAAAGGGUGGCGCCGCCCCCUUCCCAAGUCCAAUUCGGACUAGAGGGGAGGGGGCACGCGGCCCUACCUUGGCCGGCCCUCUCUCUCUCCACUAAGUCCCAUGUGGCCCAUUAGUUCCCCCCGGGGGUUCCGAUAACCCCCCGCCACUCCGAUAAUUAUCCAAUGACCCCCUGUACUCAUCCAGUGUCCGAAUAUAGUCAUCCAAUAUAUCAAUAUUUAUGUCUCGACCAUUUCGAGAGUCUUCGUCAUGUCCGUGAUCACAUGCGGGGCUCCAAACUACCUUCAGUACAUCAAAAACACAUAAACUCAUAAUACCGAUCGUCGCUGAACGUUAAGCGUGCGGACCUUACGGGUUCGAGAACUAUGUAGACAUGACCGAGACACGUCUCCGUUAAAUAACCAAUAGCGGAACUUGGAUGUUCAUAUUGGCCCCCACAUAUUCUACAAAGAUCUUUAUCGGUCAAACCGCAUAACGAUAUACGUUGUUACCUUUGUCAUCGGUAUGUUACUUGCCCGAGACUCGGUCGUCGGUAUCUCAAUACCUAGUUCAAUCUCGUUACCGGCAAGUCUCUUUACUCGUUCCGUAAUGCAACAUACCGUAAGUAACUCAUUAGUCACAUUGCUUGCAAGGCUUUCAGUGAUGUGCAUUACCGAGAGGGCCCAGAGAUACCUCUCCGUCAAUCGGAGUGACAAAUCCUAAUCUCGAUCUAUGCCAACUCAACAAACACCUUCAGAGACACCUGUAGAGCACCCUUAUAAUCACCCAGUUACGUUGUGACAUUUGGCAGCACACAAAGUGUUCCUCCGGUAUUUGGGAGUUGCAUGAUCUCAUAGUCAUAGGAACAUGUAUAAUUUAUGGAGAAAGAAAUAGCAACAAACUAAACGAUCAUCGUGCUAAGCUAACGGAUGGGUCAAGUCAAUCACAUCAUUCUCUAAUGAUGUGAUCCUGUUAAUCAUGACAACUCAUGUCUAUGGUUAGGAAACAUAACCAUCAUUGAUUCAACGAGCUAGUCAAGUAGAGGCAUACUAGUGACAUUAUGUUUGUCUAUGUAUUCACACAUGUACUAAGUUUCCGUUUAAUACAAUUCUAUCAUGAAUAAUAAACAUUUAUCAUGAUAUAAGGAAAUAUAAAUAACAACUUUAUUAAUGCCUCUAGGGCAUAUUUCCUUCUGUAUAUGAUGCAACCGGAAGGUUUUGUCGAUCCGAAAGGUGCUAACAAAAUGUGCAAGCUCCAGCGAUCCAUUUAUGAACUGGUGCAAGCCUCUCGGAGUUGGAAUAUAUGCUUUGAUAGUGUGAUGAAAGCAUAUGGUUUUAUACAGACUUUUGGAGAAGCCUGUAUUUACUAGAAAGUGAGUGGGAGCUCCGUACCAUUUCUAAUAUUAUAUGUAGAUGAAAUAUUGUUGAUCGGAAAUGAUACUGAAUUUUUGAAUGGCAUAAAAGGAUACUUGAAUAAGAAUUUCUCAAUGAAAAACCACGGCGAAGCUGCUUAUAUAUUAGGCAUGAAGAUCUAUAGAGAUAGAUCAAGACGUUUGAUUGGACUUUCACAAUGCACAUACCUUGAUAAAGUUUUGAAGAAGUUCAAAAUGGAUCAGCCAAAGAAAGGGUUCUUGCCUUUAUUACAAGGUGUGAAGUUGAGUCAGACUCAAUGCCCGACCACUGAAGAAGAUAGAGAGAAAAUGAAAGUCAUUCCCUAUGCCUCAGCCAUAGGUUCUAUCAUGUAUGCAAUGUUGUGUACCAGACGUGAUGUGUGCCUUGCUAUUAUUUUAGCAGGUAGGUACCAAAGUAACCCAGGAGUGGAUCACUGGACAGCUGUGAAGAACAUCCUGAAAUACCUGAAAAGGACUAAGGAUAUGUUUCUCGUUUAUGGAGGUGACAAAGAUCUCGUCGUAAAUGGUUAUGUCGAUGCAAGCUUUGACACUGAUCCGGAUGACUCUAAGUCGCAAACUAGAUACAUAUUUAUAUUGAAUGGUGGGGCUAUCAGUUGGUGCAGUUCCAAGCGGAGCGUCGUGGCGGGACCUAAGUGUGAAUCAAAUUACAUGGCUGCUUCGGAAGCAACAAAUGAAGGAGUCUCGAUGAAGGAGUUCAUAUUCGAUUUAGGUGUAAUACCUAGUGCAUCGGGUCCAAUGAAAAAUAUUUUUUUGACAAUACUGGUGCAAUUGUUUUGGCAAAGGAAUACAAAUUUCACAAAAGAACCAAGCACAUCAAGAUACACUUCAAUGACAUCCACGAUCAAGUCAAGGAGGGAGACAUCGAGAUUUGCAAGAUACAUACGGAUCUGAAUGUUGCAGACCCAUCGACUAAGCCUCUUUCACGAGCAAAACAUGAUUAGCACCAAGAAUCCAUGGGUGUUAGAAUCAUUACUAUGUAAUCUAGAUUAUUGCCUCUAGUGCAAGUGGGAGACUGGAGGAAAUAUGCCCUAGAGGCAAUAAUAAAGUUGUUAUGUAUAUUUCCUUAUAUCAUGAUAAAUGUUUAUUAUUCAUGCUAGAAUUGUAUAUUAACCGGAGACCUAGUACAUGUGUGAAUACAUAGACAAACAAAGUGUCCCUACUAUGCCUCUACUUGACUAGCUCAUUAAUCAAAGAUGGUUAAAUUUCCUAGCUGUAACGCCCGGAUAAUCAUACUAUAGUAAACCCACGUUAAUGAUGCCACGUCACCUCUGUCACUAUAGUUAAUCUCGGGUUACUUCAAAACCGAUUGAAAUUGAAAUUUAAAAUAAAGUUAAAUAAUAAAAGUUUUCGAAAUUUAAAACAAAAAUGUUCGGUGUGUGCAUAUAAAUGCCUAGGAAUUUAUGGUGUGGGAUCCAUGCUUUUAUAAAAGACCUAAAUAUUUAAAAUGAGUUAAAAUAGUAAAGAAACAAAAUAAAUAAAAGGAAAAGACAAAACAAAAAACAAAAAAAGAGCAAAGCCCUCUCCCCCUCUCCCUGGGUCGAACGGCCCAACUAGCCAACGAGGCCACCAGGAGGCCCACCCCAUCCCGCCUUAAACCCCCGCUCCCCCCGAAACCCUUACCCACCGUCCACCACUCCNNNNNNNNNNNNNNNNNNNNNNNNNNNNNNNNNNNNNNNNNNNNNNNNNNNNNNNNNNNNNNNNNNNNNNNNNNNNNNNNNNNNNNNNNNNNNNNNNNNNNNNNNNNNNNNNNNNNNNNNNNNNNNNNNNNNNNNNNNNNNNNNNNNNNNNNNNNNNNNNNNNNNNNNNNNNNNNNNNNNNNNNNNNNNNNNNNNNNNNNNNNNNNNNNNNNNNNNNNNNNNNNNNNNNNNNNNNNNNNNNNNNNNNNNNNNNNNNNNNNNNNNNNNNNNNNNNNNNNNNNNNNNNNNNNNNNNNNNNNNNNNNNNNNNNNNNNNNNNNNNNNNNNNNNNNNNNNNNNNNNNNNNNNNNNNNNNNNNNNNNNNNNNNNNNNNNNNNNNNNNNNNNNNNNNNNNNNNNNNNNNNNNNNNNNNNNNNNNNNNNNNNNNNNNNNNNNNNNNNNNNNNNNNNNNNNNNNNNNNNNNNNNNNNNNNNNNNNNNNNNNNNNNNNNNNNNNNNNNNNNNNNNNNNNNNNNNNNNNNNNNNNNNNNNNNNNNNNNNNNNNNNNNNNNNNNNNNNNNNNNNNNNNNNNNNNNNNNNNNNNNNNNNNNNNNNNNNNNNNNNNNNNNNNNNNNNNNNNNNNNNNNNNNNNNNNNNNNNNNNNNNNNNNNNNNNNNNNNNNNNNNNNNNNNNNNNNNNNNNNNNNNNNNNNNNNNNNNNNNNNNNNNNNNNNNNNNNNNNNNNNNNNNNNNNNNNNNNNNNNNNNNNNNNNNNNNNNNNNNNNNGUCUCUUCCUCCCUGCUUGCCCGUGCUCACUCGCGCGCGCGCCCGCGCUUGCCCGCGCCGCCACCCGCCUGCGCUGCCACCACGGCUGUACCGCGCCGCCCCGCGCGCUUUGGCCGCGCCAAUUGCACGUUCACCGCGCCUCUCUCCCCGUCGCUCGCGCCCUGGCCACUCGUCACGCGCCCCGCUACCGCCUACCUAGCCACCCCGUCUGGCCGAUCAUGUCCGCCAGCGGCAUUGCCCCGUCUCCUCCGCCCCGUCGUGCCUUCCCGGCCGGCUGUGACCACCGACCGCGCCCUUGGCCGUCCUCCCUGGUCUCGCCCACUCGGCCCUGCGGCACACGCCAUCACUCGCAUCCACUUCGGGCACCCCUGCACACGCACCCCUACCCGAUAACAACUGCCCCGCUAGGCCCUUGUGCCGCUGCCAUAUGGGCCCCACGCCCAGAGAAUGAAAACGAUUUAAAAAAAGAAAUAAUAAAUUAAAAAUAAAUAAUAAAUAAUAAAUAUUAAUUAAUUAACUUAAUUAAUUUUGAUUAAUUAAACUAAACAAUUAAUUAAACUAAUUAAUCAUAAUUAGAUUAAUCUAAUAACUAAUUAAACUAACCACCGUUAGUUAAUUAACACUCAAUGAUAGUGAGGCCCACCCCCUUAAUUAAUCCUGAUUAGGUUAAUUAAUGUGUUUAAUUAAAAUGGGUCACUGACAGGUGGGACCCACCUGUUAGGUUCACCAGGUCAACUGCUGACGUCAUGUUGACAUCAUGAUGAUGUCAGCAAACACUAUUCUGGAUAAUGUUCAUUUAAAUAAUUAAAUAAAUCCUAAAAAUGAUUUAAAACAUUUUAAAAUUAAUAUAAAAUAAACCGUAGCUCGGAUGGAAAAACUUUGUACAUGAAAGUUGCUCAAAACGACGAGACAAAUCCAGAUACGUAGCCCGUUCGUCCGCCAUGCAUCCCUAGCAUAGCGAACACACAACUUUCCCCCUCCGGUUCAUCUGUCCGAAAACGCGAAACACCAGGGAUAUUUUCCCGGAUGAUUCCCCCCUUCACCGGUACCACCUCAUACCGCGUUAGGGCACCCCUAGCACCGAUACUUGUCAUGUCAUGCAUCACUAUGCAUAUGUUUGCUUAAUAUUUGUUGUUUCUUCCCCCUCUUCUCUCCGAUAGACUACGAGACCGACGCCGCUGCUACCCAAUACGUCUACGGUGUUGACGACCCCUCUCUCUUGCCAGAGCAACCAGGCAAGUCCCACCUUUGAUCACCAGGUAUCGCCUACUCUUCUCUCUACUUCUUGCAUUAGAGUUGUGUAGCAUGUUACUGCUUCCAUUCCCGAUGCAUAGCCUGUCCUUGCUACUACUGUUGUUACCUUUACCUGCAAUCCUAAUGCUUAGUAUAGGAUGCUAGCUUAUCAUCAGUGGCCCUAAAUUCUUGUCUGUCUGCCAUGCUAUACUAUCGGGCCGUGAUCACUUGGGAGGUGAUCAUGGGUAUAUUACUUAUACAUAUAUACAUACUAUACAGGUGAUGACUAAAGUCGGGUCGGCUCGUUGAGUACCCGCGAGUGAUUCCGAUGUUGGGGGCUGAAGGGGCAGGUGGCUCCAUCCCGGUAGAGGUGGGCCUGAGUUCCCGAAGGCCCUCGACUGUUACACUCUGGUGGAGUGACAGCGCAGGUUGAGACCACCUAGGAGAAAGGUGGGCCUGGCCUUGGUCGGCGUCUGCGGUUACUUCAAGAUAACACACUUAACGAGAUCGUGGUAUUUGAUCUGAGUCUGGUCACUGGCCUAUACGCACUAACCAAGUACGCGGGAACAGUUAUGGGCACUCGACAUCAUGGUAUCAGCCGAAGCCUUCUUGACGUCAAUGACUGAGCGGCGCGCGCCGGGUUGGACCGUGUAACGCAACUUCCUUUGUAAUGGAGGUUGCUAGGUCUGCUCACCGGCCGCGUUCGUAACGUGCAGGUGUGCAAAGGGCGAUGGGCCUAGACCCCUGCACCAUAGGAUUUAGACCGGCGUGCUGACCUCUCUACUGUGCCUAGGUAGGGCUGCGACGUGUUGAUCUUCUGAGGCCGGGCAUGACCUAGAAAAGUGUGUCCGGACAAAGGGGAUCGAGCGUGUUGGGAAAUGUGGUGCACCCCUGCAGGGAAGUUAAUCUAUUCGAAUAGCUGUGAUCUUCGGUAAUAGGACGACUUGGAGUUGUACCUUGACCUUAUGAGAACUAGUACAGGUUACUUAAUAAAAUUCACCCUUCCAAGUGCCAGAUACAACCCGGUGGUCGCUCUCUGACAGGGCGACGAGGAGAGGAUCGUCGGGUAGGAUUAUUCUAUGCGAUGAUACUUGGUGAGCUUACCAUCUAUUCUCUUCUUCUGCUGCAAGAUUUAGAUUACCAGAAGCGUAGUCUUCGAAAGGACUAGCUAUCCCCCUCUUAUUCUGGCAUUCUGCAGUUCAUGCCACAUAUGUUACCCCCUUUUCCAAUUGAUACCAAUGCAUACAUAGGUAGUGUAGUUCCUUGCUUGCGAGUACUUUGGAUGAGUACUCAUGGUUUCUUUGCUCCCCCGUUUCCCCCUUUCCUAUACCCGAUUGCUGUAACCAGACGAUGGAGUCCAGGAGCUAGAUGUCAUAGUUGACGACGACUCCUACUACACUGGAGGUGCCUACUACUACGUGCAACCCGCUGACGACGACCAGGAGUAGUUUAGGAGGAUCCCAGGUAGGAGGCCUGCGCUUCUUUCGAUCUAUAUCCCAGUUUGUGCUAGCCUUCUUAAGGCAAACUUGUUUAACUUAUGUCUGUACUCAGGUAUUGUUGCUUCCGCUAACUCUUGUAUGAUCGAGCUCUUGUAUUCGAGCCUUCGAGCCCCCUGGCUUGUAAUAUGAUGCUUGUAUGACUUAUUUUUAUUUGUAGAGUUGUGUUCUGAUAUCUUCCCGUCAGUCCCCCAUCUUGAUCGUACACGUUUGGGGGUAUGAUUAGUGUACGAUUGAAUCGGGGGCGUCACACUAGCCAUAGACAUGUGUUGUCAUUUGAUGAACGUGAUCACAUCAUUAGAGAAUGAUGUGAUGGACAAGACCUGUCCAUUAGCUUAGCGUAAUGAUCGUUUAGUUUUUCUACAUGACUUAUACAUGUUCCUCAGACUAUGAGAUUAUGGAACUCCCAAAUACCGGAGGAACACCUUGUCCGCUAUCAAACGGCACAACGUAACUGGGUGAUUAUAAAGAUGCUCUAUAGGUGUCUUCGAUGGUGUUUGUUGAGUUGGCAUAGAUCGAGACUAGGAUUUGUCACUCUGUGUUUCGGAGAGGUAUCUCUGGGCCCUCUCGGUAAUGCACAUCACUAUAAGCCUUGCAAGCAAUGCGACUAAUGAGUUAGUUACGGGAUGAGGCAUUACGGAACGAGUAAAGAGACUUGCCGGUGACGAGAUUGAACUACGUAUGAUGAUACCGACGAUCGAAUCUCAAGUAAGUAACAUACCGAUGACAAAGGGAACAAUGUAUGUUGUUAUGCGGCUUCACCGAUAAAAGAUCUUCGUAGUAAUGUAGGAGCCAAUAUGAGCAUCCAGGUUCCGCUAUUGGUUUUUGACCGGAGAUGUGUCUCGGUCAUGUCUACAUAGUUCUCGAACCCGUAAGGUCCGCAUGCUUAACGUCGAUGACGAUUUGUAUUACGAGUUUUGUGUUUUGAUGAACCGAAGUUUGUUUGGAGUCCCAGAUGAGAUCAUGGACAUGACGAGGAGUCUCGAAACGGUCGAAACAUAAAGAUUCACAUGUUGAAAGGUUACAUUCGGACACCGAAAUGGUUCGGGGCAUUUUGGAUAAGUUUCAUAGUACCAGGGGUUACCGGAACCCCCCCCCCCCUGGAAGUUAAUGGGCCAUCAUGGGACUUAGAGGAGAAGAGAGAGGGCCGGCUAGAGGUGGCGCCCCCCCUUGCCCAGUCCAAAUUGGACAAGGGGAGCGGGCGGUGCCCCCCUCCUUCCUUCUCUUCUUUUCCUCCUUAACUUCUUCUCCUACUUGGACUAGGAAAGGAGGGGCGGGACGAAUCCUACUUGGACCGGGAGUCCAAGUAGGACUCCCCCCAUGGCGCGUCCCCCUCUAGGGCUGGCCACCUCUCCUCCCCCCCUUUAUAUACGUGGGAGGGGGGAACCCCAAAGGCACACCAAAGUUUCUCUUAGCCGUGUGUGGUGCCCCCCUCCACAGUUACACACCUCGGUCAUAUCGUCGUAGUGCUUAGGUGAAGCCCUGCGUCAGUAAACUUCAUCAUCACCGUGACCACGCCGUUUUGCUGACGGAACUCUCCCUCGGCCUCAACUGGAUCAAGAGGUCGAAGGAAGUCAUGGAGCUGAACGUGUGCUAAUCGCGGAGGUGCCGUACGUCUGGUACUUGGAUCGGUUGGAUCGCGAAGACGUUCGACUACAUCAACCGCGUUACUAAAUGCUUCCGCUUUCGGUACGCGAACACACUCUCCUCACACGUUGCUAUGCAUCUCCUAGAUAGAUCUUACGUGAUCGUAGGAAUUUUUUUGAAAUACCGCGUUCCCGAACACAACAAUUGUUGAGAGGAAAUUAAGAAAAGAAAAUGCACUCAUAGAUCAAUUUUAUGAAAUGACCAUGCAACCCUUUACAUACCAAGGCUAUAGGAAAAUCCCCAUUCAAUUUUAUCAAAAGAUUUGUUCAAGUCUACUUUCAACAAAAAAGCUUUAUGCUUCCGGUAUGUUUGUUGGAAGGAGUGAUUUCCUGGAAAAGAAUAAUAUUAUUAGAAAUUCUACGGCCUCUUGGAUAGAAGCUUUAUAAUUUUCAUGAUUUAUUUGGGUAAUUGCUCUUGGACCGUGUUAGCAAAGCACCGGGUGAUGAUUCUACAAGUUGCAUUGCAAGUUGAUUAACUGAAAGUUAUGGGGAACAAUAGAAUUGACCUUUUUUGUGAUUAUCAUGAUGAAAAUUUCAUUGAUCUGAGAAGGUAGCUAACCUACCUGAUAGAACUAUUGAACGGUACGGUUUACAUCAUCCGAACGCCAAGCCACUACAUUUAAACCAUCAAAAUAUUUGUUCAACUCCCGACGCUGGGAGAUUUCAUCUUUGUUUGGAUUACAAAAGUAAGGUGACGCACAACUGACAAUAUUUAUUGAAUUAGGCAUGGCGCCACAAUGAAUAGGGUUUCAUGUAGAAGUAUUGAAUGAAGCAAGAUGCAAUAUCAUAAGCAUUUUGUAUUUUUAGCAUUGCGUUAUGAAAUGAAAAUAGUAUUUCUAUCCCCAUGCGAACCCCGAUGGCUUUCUAUUCUUGCAUAUAAAUUUUGUAAGUCGGUCUAGAUUUUUCAUACUGUUCAAUAAGCUAUGAUUCAUGACUACUCACUGCAUCCGCACCCGGGUAAGUAGGUCCCAAUUCCAAAUUUUUGUAUUUGACUAUGUAGAGCCUAAUUUCUCAGCACUCUCAGUCAUUAUCUUGUAAAGCACUUCCCAUGAGAAAACACUUCGUAAGAACUGCCAAUUUAAUUUUUUUGCAUGGGAGCAAUUUGAGAUUGUCCAAAAUGAUUUCCCAAAAUCACCCAAAUUUUGCACUGAUGCCUUGGUACCAGAUAAUAUCAAAUAGUCCUCACAUACCUGUAUCAUGGGAGUAUUAUUUCACUAAUGAAAGGAAGAAGACCAAAUUGCCUCAAUUCAUCUUAGAUUAAAUCAGGUAGUUGUGGUAAAGGCUUUUUGGAUUGGCCAUAUUUUGAAGCAGACUACAAAAUUAAAGCUCUAAUAUGGAGUGUUUUGCAUUGGAGCAAUUUGAGAUUGUCCAAAAUGAUUUCCCAACGCCUCCUAAAUUUUGCACUCAUGCCUUGGUACCAGAUAAUAAAAAUGCAUUACACCAAGUGCAAGAAGGGCCAUUAUAUGCCAUGUCUCUUAAGCCAAAUAAUUUCACACCGUGAUUAAAUUAUUCAUUUGAUGCUGACUAGCUUGACAAAGGCUGCAUGUAUGGAAGGAAUUUCGCUGACCUAUGAGUGGAGCACGAAGCCAUUCAUUGUCGAAAUAGAUUCUCAAGUGGCAGCCAACAUGAUCAAGCAGCUGGAGAUUGAUCAAUCUCCGACGUCGUCCAUCACUGGCGAAAUCAACAGUCUACUCGCACGGGGUAGACAUUUUUUUUUGGUCAUGUGCGCCACGCCUGUAAAAACGUUGCAUAUCGUUUAGCUCAGAUAGGGCAACAUCACAUGCGUAGGCAGUUUGGACCAAAUGAGAUUGGUUUGCUACAUCAACAUGAUUGUAAUCCUAAAGGUUAAGCAAUAAAAAUCUAAUUUUCCCGCAAGAAAACAAUAUCAUUUAAUUCACCCAUGGGAAAAACUGUCUUCCAAGGAAAGGAAGACACAAAAACUUCAAUUUGACUCCAUAUUUUCCUAUUUCUAAGGUGAUAAGGAAUAAUUGAGGAUCAGCAUAAAACACAAACUAAGGAAAUGUAGAAGUUUUUUUUUGCGAAAUAAGGAAAUGUAGAAGUUACAGCUAGUAACAUUAGGAUUGCAUUUUGAGUAGAGUAAUUACACCCAGAAACCACCAUCUCGGUGUUCCACGGGUGCAAGAAAUUAAAACUGUCAUCUAUAUGAAAAUGAUUUAAUAAAUCCUCGUCAGUUCUUCUGAACCACCAUGAACAUAUUCAGUUCUCUAGUUUAUGGGUAUGGCAACCGGGACCAUACCGUUUUCUCUCUAUUCAGUUCUCUGGUUUGUACUCUACUUGUAUGGCUUUGAUGAUGAUCUGAAGCUUGAGAGGCAGGCCCGCAUCCCUGUGUCCCUGCAAGCUUGGUCGGCGCCGAACGUAACCCUGUUCUUCCACCCGAAGAAUUAUGGUAAAUUAUCCACGGUAUAUACGAGUGACAGCUUUGUCAUUUGUUCCACCGCUGGGAUGUGUCAAUGAAGCUUCUAGAAGAUUCCUUCUUCCCCUACCAUUUUUUUUAUUUUUCUUAUCCAGCGUAGCUCCUCAUCUUGGCUGUAGUGACGCAUCCAAGNNNNNNNNNNNNNNNNNNNNNNNNNNNNNNNNNNNNNNNNNNNNNNNNNNNNNNNNNNNNNNNNNNNNNNNNNNNNNNNNNNNNNNNNNNNNNNNNNNNNNNNNNNNNNNNNNNNNNNNNNNNNNNNNNNNNNNNNNNNNNNNNNNNNNNNNNNNNNNNNNNNNNNNNNNNNNNNNNNNNNNNNNNNNNNNNNNNNNNNNNNNNNNNNNNNNNNNNNNNNNNNNNNNNNNNNNNNNNNNNNNNNNNNNNNNNNNNNNNNNNNNNNNNNNNNNNNNNNNNNNNNNNNNNNNNNNNNNNNNNNNNNNNNNNNNNNNNNNNNNNNNNNNNNNNNNNNNNNNNNNNNNNNNNNNNNNNNNNNNNNNNNNNNNNNNNNNNNNNNNNNNNNNNNNNNNNNNNNNNNNNNNNNNNNNNNNNNNNNNNNNNNNNNNNNNNNNNNNNNNNNNNNNNNNNNNNNNNNNNNNNNNNNNNNNNACCAGAUCAGGCCUGAAAGCUGCUCUCACGUCAAUCCCAGGAGACCAUCAGCAAAGGAUGACCGAACGAGAUCCAGCCCUCCAAGCCAGGAAGCAACACAUUACUACGAUAUAAAAGCAGUUCAAUCAACUAUAAUUUCGUCUUAUGGCAGAGAUUCAGCGUUUACAACCAAGCCAGAUAUCGAUUGGCGACCCAUCCCCGGCGAGAGGGCAGACACACCCAGGCGAGAGAACUGAGAGCAAUCUCUUCCCCUCUAGCAACUCCGCGAAUUACAAGAGAAGGGCCCUCCAUCUAGCCUCUCGUAUGUCGCCCUAUCACUCAUCUAUUUCUUCUUCUGCUUCUACUUUUGGCCGCCGCUGCUCGCCGGGACAACCUUCUCCGUCGCGGCAUAGAGCUCCUUGAUCAUGCGGUAGCGCUUUACCAUCCGCUGAAUGCCGUCAACCUGAUGCUCCUCGUCCUCCUUCCAAUCAGUGGAGGCCUCAACCGCCGCCGGCGCCGGCGCCGGCUCUGGCUCCGACUCGGGCUCACUAUUCUCUAGGGUUUUAGUCUUACUAGCGUAUUGCGACAUUGCGUCUCUUUGCUUGGUGGUCUGGGACUCUGUCCUGGGAGGGUACUUAUAGUCGCUGCGGGUUGGUGGCUCCUGCUUUUUAUGGCAGGAAUUCAUUCGCUUCAAUAGUUAUCCAGGAUUCCAGGGUGGCGCCGAAUCCAAUAUUUGGCUGAAACUCGCAGGGGCUCCGCGCUCCUCUCCAAAUUGUGUCUAAAACUGGCAGGAAUUCAUUUACAUAUAAUAAUUGCUUUUUAUGGUGACAACUCAAAAUAGGAAAGUAUUGUCCCUUUAACUUUCUGGGCACAGUUGUCAGUAGAAGCAUGGAAGAAGGCGGCACGAUCGAGGAGUGCUGGGCGUAGCCGGAGGGCUCUCCUCUGUGUUAAACGAUGAAGCGGUGAGUGUAUGACUGAACCCAUUUUCAUCUUUUUCGUGAUCCAAUAUCAACCGUACGUGGAAGUAGAAUCACAGUUUCCGUUGAAAAAAAAAGUAGAAUCACACGAAAUUACAACUUUUCACAAAAAUCAAGCCCACACACUACACACUUGCAUGCCUAUCAUGCAUCAAUAGUACUUGUAUUAUAUUGCAGCAACAAUAUAUUGGCGGUGGAACCAUGCACGGACUAUCUAGAAAAAUUGAAGGCAGUAUGUAAAGAAACUGCCUCAUCAGCUUAGACCGUGGAACAUUGUGGAGGAAAGGUGUGCAAAUUAAAGGUAGAGGGGACAUGCAAAAGCACAAGAGAAAACAGCAAACUUCCAAGUCACUAAACAAAAUCGCUAGUUGCUUCCAGCCGCCUUGAAGUACACUUAUUUGCUUGCUGGUUGUAUUCGCCAGAAACCAGCUCCGGUUAAUUAUUUUUUUUUCCUCUCUUUUUUCAGACUUUUCUCGUGUCUCACCUGCUUAUUGCUCAAACAAAGUAUAGCUUUAGGGCCGUAUUUUCGUCCAAAAAUAAUAAUCAACUUAUCCGCUCAACCUGAUCAUCAUCCGGACAGGGUGCCUCAUGAUCUAACAACUUGUGCUAAAAAUCGUUGGUACAGGUUGCUUCUUACACCAUGCACAUGUGCCCACACUAGUAAAAAAAGGUCAAAUAUGAAGCCAGCACUAAUGUGUGCAUUAGUGCCGGUUCCAACGGCUAACCGGCCGCUCUCAUUAGUACUGGUUCGUGGCGAACCUUUAGCACCAAUUCGUGCCACGAGCCGGUGCUAAAGUGAGUGGUGGCAGGAUGUUGUCAGUCCGGGGCCCCUCCAGCACCUUUAAUACAGGGUCGUAUGAUGAACCGGUACUAAAGGUUGUCCUACAUACACCCUUCGUCCACCCGAGCUCGCUCUGUUCUUCCCCUUUCCCCUUUCCUCUCUAUUCUUCCCCUCUUCCUCUCAGGCUCAUCACACAUUUUGCCCAAAAUUUGUCAAGAUUUGAAGGCCCCCAUCCAUUCAAAUGAUCACAAAGGUUAGCAACUUUGUCCUUUCAUCUCUCAUUGCUAGAUUAGCUCUUGCAAUGCUUUAUAUAGUGAUUGAUUUGUGAGUUUAGUAAUUUGGGAGGAGUUAUAUAUAUGUGCUAGUAUUUGAUUUAUAUGCAAUUUGAGGUCAAAAAUAAAACUUAGUUUGCAUAUGUAGGUGUGGUUUACUUAGUGCCUUCUAAAUCUCCGUCGUAACCACCGUCGAUCGCCCGCACCGUCCCGUUGCCGGCACCACCUUGUGGUGAGCCUCUUGUUCAUGAAUGUUUUAUAUAAAAAAUUGAUGUUUGUGUGAUUUGGAUAUAUAGUUACACGUAUAGUUAUCUUACACUACUAGGAAAAAGCCUAUACACAGAAUUUUACCAGUAGCGCUAUACAAAAUCAAGCGCUGCUGCUACUUAGUAGCAGCGCGCGUAAAUAAACCGCGCUACUGCUAUGACUUUAGCAGUAGCACGUACUAGCAAAAAGCGCUGCUGCUACGUUUGAACUGGGCGCACAUGGCUAGCCCAACCUAGCAGUAGCGCGUAUAAUGGCCCAGCGCUACUGCUAAUCUCCUUAGCUGCAGCGUGUAUUCCAGAACGCGCUGUAGCUAACGUAGCAGUAGCGCCCUUUCUGGAACGCGCUACUGGUACUUCUGACUUAACCACGCGGUUCGUCCUUCCCCACGGCCACUUCAUCCCCCAAAUCAACUACACUCUCUCGUCGCCGCCACCGCCCCUCGGCUGCCGCGCGCUCUCCCCACGCCGCCCCCGACUCCAGAUUCAACGCCGGCCCCGCCCCCGACCUCAGCGCCGCCCGGGACGCCGNNNNNNNNNNNNNNNNNNNNNNNNNNNNNNNNNNNNNNNNNNNNNNNNNNNNNNNNNNNNNNNNNNNNNNNNNNNNNNNNNNNNNNNNNNNNNNNNNNNNNNNNNNNNNNNNNNNNNNNNNNNNNNNNNNNNNNNNNNNNNNNNNNNNNNNNNNNNNNNNNNNNNNNNNNNNNNNNNNNNNNNNNNNNNNNNNNNNNNNNNNNNNNNNNNNNNNNNNNNNNNNNNNNNNNNNNNNNNNNNNNNNNNNNNNNNNNNNNNNNNNNNNNNNNNNNNNNNNNNNNNNNNNNNACCUCAACGCCGCACCGGAGCCCCGACCACGACCUCGACGCCGCCUGCCCCUCCCUCGUCGCAGGCACCCGAGGUGAGCACGCAUGCUCCUCCCUCUCCCCUACCUCUGCCUAGGGUUUCUACCUCCAUCAAAUUAGUUAGGGUGGAAACGAAUCGGAUGCGGAUGCGGCUCAAAUGAGUUAGGGUUCAUGUAAGGGUGGAAACGAAUCAAAUUUCUAAGAUGAAUCAUAAAACGAGUAAAAUUUGACCACUUAUUUCUCUUUAUAGUUGGAUAAUUGGAAUAUUUGCUACCACUUUCCACCCCUAUAGGUUCAUCAAAUUAGAUGGUAAUUAGGGCAGUAGUUCUUAGGUACUAAUUAGUUAGUAAGAACUAGGUACUAAUUAGGUACUAGAAUAUUUUUAUUUAUAGUAAGUUUAUUUUUAGUAAGAACUAGUUGAAUUAAUAGAACUAGUUGGUAAGAACUUGUUGCUAUUUUUUUAGUUAAAGCAAUUUUCCCGCAUCGACGUGGACGAUGCCUAUCCCGCAUCCUUGUCGUCGAGUCGGCAGAGGAUGACACCUGCUUGACCAGAUGGGCCAUGUCCGGGACUGGGCUCCGCCGGGGUGGUACUGGGAGGCGCUACCUACCGGGGGGCGUAGGUUGGUGAGGAGCCAGCCUAUCGUUGACCCGAACCUUCUUUGGUGGCGGUCGCAUGGGCCAGUGACGGUCCAGAGGCUCGAGGACUCCGCGGAGGUGGUGCGUCACAGUGUCAGUGAGGAGGACGCGCACGUCCGUCGCUACUUGUUUGCGUUGGAGCACAGGUUCUCCAAUACCUGGCAGGUUCUCCAGGGAUCUCACUGGAGCUAUGAUCCCGUGAUGGUUCCUUCUCUGUGGGUGUCCACCGCCCGCGCCGAUACCCGUCGUGUGCUAGGGUUUUAGUUGUACUAGUGAUGUUAUAUGUAUGACACUAUUCUGGAUGUAUUAGUGAUAAUAUUCGACGAUGUACGGACACAUGAGAUGAUUUACUUUUGCUUAUUGAAUGCAUGCUAAUUUGAGUCUUAUAAGAUAUUUUGAAAUGUAUAUCUUGUGUUGCUCAAUAUCCAAGUGGCCAGUCAUGUUUGUAGGUUACACCUCCGAGUGGCCUAUGUUUUGCCGGAGUGUUGAUUUAUUUCCGUUCAGGCAACUUUCAGGCGCUCGAUAUAUCCUAUUUUAGCAAAGGUCAUGCCGGAUUUUUCCAUGAAUUUUGGCAUGACUUUUGCCAGAAUAUGUAGGAAAUAUCGAGUGCCCCGGAUUUGUGUGUUGAGUAUCAUGGUAGUUGUCUUUUAUCGAUUUUCAAUUAAUGUUUUAACUAUGAACAUAGGAAAUGUCUGACGACAAACAGGAUUUCGAUAUUUGCAAAUACUGCGAAGACGAGCGCGGCCUGUGCGACGGAAUCUUCCUAGAUGAUGAUAGGCGCUUCAGCAUCAAGCUGGACGAGAACUUCAAAGUGGAUACAGUAAGUAACAACGACAAGUCUUUUUUCGUAAUUAAACAUGACAUCUGCUUCAUUUGCUUCAACUUAUAUUUUUUUUACUAUUCUACUAGCGUAUCCCCUGCCAUGCAAGAGUUUCUAUAUUGGAUAAGAUAGGUUUUAGUCAUACUAUGGAGGUAAAGAAAGUUUAUUUGAAGAUCUAGCAUGGUUAUAUUUUCCAUGCAAAAUUAUACAAUUCAGACGACUACAUCUAUUUUGGAUGCAAAACAUGGCGAGCACUAUGCAAGACUUAUGCAUUUCAGCCUGAUAUGGUUAUCACCUUUGAUAUUCGUCCGGAAGAUGAUAUUGAAGGUAAUACCGACAUCUGGGUCGAUGUGCAGACGCCUCUAGUUACACCAAAAUGUAAGUUUCUCAACCAUAUUUAUGUCUUUGAUAUUGUUUAUUCAAAAAUAGUUGACAACUAAUUUGUAUUGUCAGCUUAUUUCGGUGCAAGCAAACAUGUCCAGCGCUUGGUAGACAGGACCUACUACUGUCCCGGGGCUGAACUAAACUGGGAGGAGCUAAGUCAUUAUGUUUCAUGGCUUGAGGAUCUUGAUACCGUCAAGACAAAUUUUCUUCCUGGACUUAGAAAUCUUAGUACUGAAAACGUGCGACCAAUAGUGUUCGUCAUGAACUACGAUCACAUCUAUUUAGGAAGGAUGGUAAGAUUUUUAGUAUUUGUCCUCCGUGCAUCUUUUCCAUACAUUAUUUAUGAAGCUAAACUUCAUUGCUAAGUAUGUGACCAUACGAUGCUCUUCAACAGGGACUCCCGAUGAAUGUUGUGCCUUAUGGGAUCGAGACUAAAGGUACCAUGAGUAUUAUUAGCUUACGGCCAAGAUAUCCUACAUGUUACUUUAGUGCAUUCAAGAUCAGCGAUGAAUGCUUAAUAGUGCAAGACUGGACCAGAUAUGUGAUGGGGGAGCGCAGACAAGUACUAGGGGGCAGCAAACAGAUGUGCUAUGCAAAAUUAGGAGACAGGUUCAUCUGCAUGCUCCAACUUGAUCAAGGAGGAGAGCUACACAUGUUUUAUGUUGUUUUACCUAAGAGAGAGCAGCAGGAGUGAUUAGCUAGAAAUGAGUUUGACGAUGAUGAUGUGCUACACUAUUACUAUGAUGAUAAAAUAGCUAGUGUUGGUGGUAAUGACUGAUGAUUAUUAUUAGCUAGUGUUAGUGGUGAUUAAAUAAAUAUUGUUGGUGCUAAUUAUUAUGAUGAUGACUAAAUAGCUUGUGCUGGCAGAUUAGAUUCAAGUGGAGGCAACAUGUGGUGCACAUCGAAAGUACUACUAGUCCAAACUAGAUCAAGUUUGGAUUAGUAGUAUACUUUUGACAUGCACCACAUAUUGCCUCCACUAGAACCUAAUCCACCUUCAUUUGACACACUAUUAUGGACAUAAUGAUGUAAACCUCAUAACUGGUAUUGUACCAAUAUUUGUAUGAUGGUGCAUAAAUACACUAAAAAUAAAAAAAAUAAAAAAAAUACUAGUAGGGAUGGAAAGAAAACACGCUGCCAGUAGUUACAUUAGCAGCAGCGUGGGAGUGAACAAGCGCUGCAGCUAUUUGUCCUAGCAGUAGCGCGUGCGGCACGUGUUACUGCUAAGCAAUAGCUAUAGCGCCUUAUUAGUAGUGCGCCUACCCGCGCUACUAGUGAGCACAAAACCAGCGCUACUGCUAGGGGUUUUCCCUAGUAGUGUUACCCGUACGUUGUUUGUUAUACAUAGGACCAUGGUUUUGAUAUCCGUCCCGGUCGGCACUCGUCCAGGUUACGAUUCGGAUGUGGUAUAUUCUCUUUUAAAACUAUUUGUUGCAUUUUGUGUUUUUGACAAAUUAUGCCCAUCAAGCUGACAUAGAUAUUUGUAUGUAGGAGGUAUGUGAACCUGAAAUUCCAACCGACCCUAUUGUCGAGAGGUUAAAUUUAGUUGAAAGAGAAAACGAGGAUUUGAAAGAAAAAUUGAAAAGAAUUGAAGGGGAGAAGAUGGAAUUGGAGUUGCAUGUUGUCGAUGUCAUCGAUGAUCACAAGAUUAAGAUGGAGAAAAUGCGCUUGAAGAUUAGAAAGAUUUGAAAAUAUGCCGUUCAUAGUGAGGCUUGGUAUCAUUAUGAUGUUGGAUCAAUUGUUACCUUAGUUGUGAAAUUGAUCGCAUUUGUUGUUGCAUUUAAAUUCUUUAGGUAGAGAGUUAUUUGCUUGUUGCAUUUAAGUGUUGUAUGAACUUUAUGUAUGAACUUGUAUUAAUUUGGUCUUUUCGGUGUUGUGUAAUGAAGAUGAGCCGACAAUGGAUUUACGAUGACCGAUGAUCUCCUGAGUUCAUUAAUGGUGUGCAAACUUUUCUGCUUGCGGCUGAGGCAAACAAGCGGGCGGAUGGUUUUAUGCCUUGUCCCUGUGUUGGCUGUAGGAAUGAUAACAGUUACUCUAAGUCCAGAACCAUUCACGUCCACCUAUUUGAGUCUGGUUUCAUGCCCCACUAUAAUGUUUGGACAAAGCACGGAGAAAGAGGGGUUAUGAUGGAAGACAAUGAAGAAGAAGAGGACGACGACAGCUAUCCUGGCCCUGAUGGGUUCCCUGAAUACGAUGAUACAACAAUGGGGGAAGAAGCUGAGCCGGCAAUGCGGGAAGAAGCUGAAGAAGAGGCAUCAGAUGAGCCCGCUGAUGAUUUAGGUCGGGCCAUUGCCGAUGCAAAGAGAAACUGCGCAAGUGAUUUGGAGAAGAAGAAGUUGCAGCGCAUGUUAGAUGAUCACAAGAAAUAGUUGUACCCGAAUUGCGAAGCUGACAAGAAAAAGUUGGGCACCACACUGGAAUUGCUGCAAUGGAAGGCAGAGAAUUGUGUAUCUGAAAAGGGAUUUGGAAAGUUGCUGGUAAUGAUAAAGAAUAUGCUUCCAAAGGACAACGAAUUGCCCGAGAGUACGUACGAAGCAAAGAAGGCCGGCUGCCCUCUAGGGUUAGAGGUGCAGAAGAUACAUGCAUGCCCUAGUGACUGCAUCCUCUACCGCGGUGAGUACGAGGAUUUGGAUGCUUGCCCUGGUGAUGUCGAGGGCGAGCGCCCCUGGAAGAAGAUUCCUGCCAAGGUGAUGUGGUAUACUCCUAUAAUACCACGGUUGAAACGUUUGUUCCAAAACAAAGAGCAUGCCAAGGCGAUGCGAUGGCAUAGAGAAGACCGUAAGAAAGACAGAAAGUUGAGAGUACCCGCUGACGGGUCACAGUGGAGAAAAAUUGAGAGAAAGUACGGAAAGGGGUUUGCAGAUGACGCAAGGAACAUAUGGUUUGGCAUAGCGCAGAUGGCAUUAAUCCUUUUGGGGAGCAGACCAGCAACCAUAGCACCUGUCCUGUGACUAUGUUUGUAUAACCUUCCUCCUUGGUUGUGCAUGAAGCGGAAGUUCAUUAUGAUGCCAGUGCUCAUCCAAGGCCCUAAGCAACCCGGUAAUGACAUUGAUGUGUACCUAAGGCCAUUAGUUCAAGAACUCUUACAGCCGUGGAAUGGAACAGGUGUACGUGCAUGGGAUGAGCACAUGGGGGAAGAAUUUAACCUAAAGGCCUUGCUGUUCGUGACCAUCAAUGAUUAGCCUGCUCUCAGUAACCUUACAGGACAGACAAACAAGGGAUACCGCGCAUGCACGCACUGUUUGGAUGAUACUGACAAUAUAUAUUUGGACAAUUGUAGGAAGAAUGUGUACCUGGGACAUCGUCGAUUUCUUCCGAGCAGGCAUCCCGUAAGAAAGAAAGGCAAGCAUUUGAAAGGUGAGGCGGAUCACCGGACGAAGCCUCGCCACCAUACUGGUGCUGAUGUUCAUGAUAUGGUCAAGGAUUUGAAGGUAGUCUUUGGAAAGGGUCUUGGCGGACAACAUGUUCCGAAUGACGCUGACGGACGCACACCCAUGUGGAAGAAGAAAUCUAUAUUUUGGGACCUACCCUAUUGGAAAGACCUAGGGUCCGCUCUGCAAUCGAUGUGAUGCACAUGACGAAGAAUCUUUGCGUGACCCUGCUUGGCUUCUUGGGCAUGUAUGGGAAGACAAAAGAUACACCUGAGGCACAGGAGGACCAGAAACGUAUGCAUGGAAAAGACGGCAUACAUCAGGGUCAUGCCAGGUACGCUCUUACCAAAGAAGAGAAGGAAUUCUUCUUUGAAUGCCUGCUCAGUAUUAAGGUACCAUCUGGCUUCUCGUCAAAUAUAAAGGGAAUAAUAAACACGGCAGAGAAAAAGUUCCAGAACCUAAAGUCUCAUGACUGCCACGUGAUUAUGACGCAACUGCUUCCGGUUGCAUUGAGGGGGCUUCUACCGGAUAACGUUCGAUUAGCCAUUGUGAGGCUAUGUGCAUUCCUCAAUGCAAUCUCUCAGAAGGUAAUCGAACCAGAAAUUAUACCAAGGUUAGAGAAUGAUUUGGUGCAAUGUCUUGUCAGUUUCGAGUUGGUGUUCCCACCAUCCUUCUUCAACAUCAUGAACCACGUCCUAGUUCACCUAUGCGAAGAGAUUAAUGUUUUGGGUCCUGUAUUUCUACAGAGUAUGUUCCCCUUUGAGAGGGUCAUGGGAGUCUUAAAGAAAUAUGUGCAUAACCGUGCUAAGACAGAAGGAAGCAUCUCCAAGGGCCAUGAAAAAUGAGGAGGUCAUUGAGUUUUGUAUUGACUUUAUUCCUAAGCUUAAGCCGAUUGGUGUUCCUGAAUCAUGGCAUAAGGGCAGACUGGAUGGAAAAGGCACACUAGGAGGGAAUCAAAAAAUAUAUAUAUGGAUGGACAUUCUCUCACUGAAGCACACUACACAGUUCUACAGAAUUCCGCCUUGGUGGCUCCGUAUAUGGACGAACACAAGAAUUUUCUACGCUCCAAACACCCGGAGCGGUCUGAUGACUGGAUUACACGUGAACAAAUGAGGAGUUUCGCCGGCUGGUUGCAGACACGUACCAUGCAUGACGCCUCUAUUGAAGAUGACAUGUACUCGCUGUCAUAGUUACCAUCUUCGAAUAUAAUGACUUUCAAAGGGUACGAGAUAAAUGGUAAUACAUUUUACACGAUCGCCCAAGAUAAGAAGAGCACCAACCAAAACAAUGGUGUCCGCUUUGAUGCAACAACCAAGAAGGGAAAGGAAACAUAUUCUGGUUACAUAGAGGAGAUAUGGGAACUUGACUAUUGACGUGGUUUGAAGGUCCCUUUGUUUCGGUGCAAAUGGGUCAAUAUGACACGAGGCGGGGUAAUGGAAGACCCGCAGUAUGGAAUGACAACAGUGGAUCUCAACAAUCUUGCGUAUGCAGAUGAACCAUUCGUCCUAGCUAAUGAUGUGGCACAGGUUUUCUAUGUGAAGGAUAUGUCUACCAAGCCGAGAAAAAGAAAAGAUAAGGAAGCGAAUGCAUCAUACGUUGAGCCAAAGCGCCACAUAGUUCUUUCUGGGAAGAGAAACAUCGUGGGAGUGGAUAACAAGACAGACAUGUCAGAAGAUUAUGAAAAGGUUGAUCAAAUUGCUCCAUUAACAGUGAAUAUUGACCCGAGCAUCCUGUUAAAUGAUGAAGAUUUUCCAUGGCUACGGCGCAAAGGGACACACGCGAAGAAAAAGUUUCACACCCAGCGAUCUGGGAUGUGAUCGGCUUCACUAUCAUCACUUUCUUCUGUGUUUCACACCCAGGAGGGAACCUCUGUAAUAGUUAGGGUAGUUAUGUGUUUUGGCAUUUGAAACACGAAGAAAUUUUAUGUGCAAACAAAUUCUUUCAUGCAUUUACUGAUUUUUUUAGGUAAAUUACCCUGAAAUUGAAAAGCAUUUCAAAUGAACUAGGAACAGGUUGAAAGUUGGCAUGGUAUCAUAAUUUCACCCACAUAACAUGUGCAAAAAAGUAGAGAGGGUUACCGCAAAAACUGGAUGCACUUCGUGUACAAAAUGGACAAUCUCUUUCGAAGUAUCAUGGUUUCGGAUGAAAGCUCAUCCGUUACAAAGGCAUUUCAUUUUUUAAAUAACCUAAGCAUUACCAAAUUGAAUAUAAUGAUAAAACACACUAAUAUUAAACAUCAGUAUAAAGAAUCACUGAAAAAUCUAUUUUCAAAGUUAAGUUAUUGACAAACUAGUGAUUCACACAAAUUUCAAAUAAUUCAAAAUGUAAACUAUUCAAAUUUGUAAACUACCGGCAUUAAUAGAAAGUUUGUAAUUUUUUGUACCUAAAGCAAAAAUAUUAACAAAGAAACUCUAAAUACAGCAAAAAACAACUCAAAAAUAAAUAAAUAAAUAAAGAAAGAAAGAAAAAAAAUAAGAAAAUAAAAAAGCCCGCCUACUGCGCCACAGCGCCCUGCAUAUGACUAGAAACCCAACCUGUUGUUGGGCCAGGAUGCAAGCCCGCAAAGGCCUAGUAGGCCCACAGGGCAGCACAAAACAUUUAGGCCCAGUAGGCCUGCUUUGGAGAGGAGCUCGAGAGAGCUACCGCACUGGGGCUUAUAAAGCAGUGCGGACGCCCCUCGGCUAGCGAGGUGGGACUAAACAUGAUGCAUCGCACCAAGGCGAGGCACACCCUUUAGUACCGGGUGGUGGCUCAAACCGGUACUAAAGGGGGGGUCUUUCGUACCGGUUGGAGCCACCACCCGGUAAUAAAGGGUGUGUGCUUCCCGUCGCUUGGCCAGGCCAAAACAGACCUUUAGUACCGGUUGGUGGCUUCAACCGGUACUAAAGGUUGUUCUAUAUAAGAAAACACUUCAAAAAAAUCAGUUUCUCAUCUCUUCCUCUACUUCUUUCUCCUCUGCCCCAUCGCCGCCGCCCCUCACCGCCGCCCCUCGUCGCUGCCCCUCAUCGCUGCCCCCGUCGCCGUCCGACACCAUCCCCGUCGCCGUCCAUAGCCGUCCCCGUCACCAUCGCCGUCCCUGUCCCUGUCGUCCCCAUCGCCGCGCCCCGCCCCGUCCUCCAGUCAUCCCCGCCCAGCCCGUCCCCGUCCUCUAGUCGUCCCCGCCCGGCCCGUCCCCGUCCCCGUCAUCGAAGCCCAGUCCGCAUCCCCAUCGUCACCGCCCGUCUCUGUCCCCGUUGCCGCCCCCCGUCGCCAAGCCUCGCCGGUGAGCUCCUGCCUCGGCCGCCUUGUCCACACACACACACAGAGAGACACACACACACACAUUGUUAUAGAAAUGUUAGCAUUUUUUCUAUUUUUUAGUUAUAGAAAUAUUAGAAAUGUUAGUUAUAUAGAAAUGUUAUAAAUUUUUCUGUGUUUUAGUUAUAGAAAUAUUUAUAGAAAUGUUAGCAAUUUUUCUGUUUUUUUGUUAUAGAAAUAUUAGAAAAUCUUAGUUAUAUAUAUAGAAAUUUUAGAAAUUUCAGAGUUAGUUUUAGCUAGAUGAAUUAGAUUAAUGUCAAAUUGUUACAAUUUGCAUAUAGAAUUUUAGUUAUCACAAUCCAAUCAUUUAAAAAAUGUUACUUUUUGCGGGCAUAUAGUAUUUUUUCUCAACGAUGUCCGGCCCGCAUCCUUGCCGUCGACCCGUUCGCCACGACGUCCGGCUGACCCAUGUCCGGGACUGGGCUCCGCCGGGCUGGCACUGGGAGGUGCUACCUGGAGGGGCGCGCCGCUUGGUGAGGAACCCGGCCUCGGGUCCCGUCGUCGACCCUAAUCUCCUUUGGUGGCGUUCGCAUGGGCCACAUUCGGUGCAGAGGGAGCCGGCCCUGCCGAAGGUGGUGUGUCGUCAUGUCAGGGAGGAGGACGAGCACGUCCAUCGCUACAUGGCUGCUAUGGAUGUCAAGUUCUCCUAUACCUAGCAGGUUCUUUGGGCAGAUGAUCGGAGAUAUGAUCCUGUGAUGGUUCCUUGUCUUUGGGUGACCACCGAGCGCGCCCCAGGAACCGCGAGUGACCUAGAUUCUUCUGUAAUAUUCAAUCUUUAUUAGCUACCUAGCCAGUGAUGUAUUCGAGAUUAUAUAUUAUUCGAGACGAUGUAUUCUAGAUUAUAUAUUAUUCGAGACGAUGCAUAUUAUGUACUAUAUAAUUCAGUUUUUCCUUAUUGAUUGCAUCCAUGCAUUGUAAUUUGAAUAAUAAAUUGUUUUAUAUUUCUUCUCUAUUAAAUAAAUAAAAGCUAUGGCGGACAAUACCGGCAGAGAGGGAGAAGAGGCCAUGUUCGAGAUCAUACGUAGCCCUAACAGGCCAGAUGAUCUGAAUGAAGCAAAUGACGGCUCCCAAUAUCUGAACAAUACCGGGUAGGGUGAUGAUAAGAUAUUCGAUCUCGACGACCGAGCUGAUGAAUUCAUGAACUAUGAUUAUGAUUAUGAUGACGCAGACAAUGAUUAUGAUGACGAAUACAAUGUUGAUCUUGAAAUAACAAAGACUACCGGCGAUGUAUAUUUAUAUAAGCAGGCGUCUAGUGAUCAUCACAUGUUUAUUUAUUUGAAGAUAUAUUAAUGAAUCGAUCUGUCUUCUUUCAGCCCUUCGGAUCAAGCAAAUCUGCUUCUACAGACUGCAGGACAAAGCGCGGCCCGGGCAAAAAGUUGAAGGAGGGUGUAAAGUUCAACAUCGAUUCCAUCAAAGCUAGUGGCGAACCCCUCACUCCUAAGAACAUUGCGAACAAGUUCGUUCGUCAGUGUGGAGUUCUUGUGAAGGGCCAACUCUUGAUCUCCAUUCAAGAAUGGAAAGUGCCAAAAACAAAACGCCCAGAUGUUACUUGGGUCGACGAUAGGGCAAAACAAAAGCUUUGGGAAUCUCUGAUGGAACAUUUCACCCUACCAUAUUAUUUCACUAAUGCAGAUGUGCAGAAAGUCAAGGACGCUACUCUUAAGAAGAUGGGAAUUGCAUUGAACACCCACAAGAAAACUAUAUGGGCCAACUACCUCGCUGCAAAAAGGAAGACUCCAUAAUUCAAGGGAACACUGGAGAAGCAAAGAGAACACUGGCCCGCUUUUGUGAAAUUCAAGGAAUCAAAAUUAUCUAAGGAACGUUCAAGAAAAAACAAGGCCAAUGCCACAAAAAAGACGCAGUUCCAUAGGCUGGGUCCAGGUGGCUACGCGGUGGAAAUGCCUAAGUAGGAUAAGUCUGAGCAAGAGAUGGAGGAUGCAGGGGUCACUAAAGUUACUAGGAGCUGCCCCCCCAGGUGCGGAACUUGGUUCUAUGCGCAUGGGGGGCGUUGGACCCGAAGACAGGCCUGGUUUCGAAGAAGGCAAGUCUAAAAGGAGCCGAACAAAAGUUACUUGACGCAAUAGAAGAUGCUCAAAAGGGGGUGUUCACACCCAACAAAGAGAACGACGAGCUUACGCGCACCCUGGGAAAUCCUGAACACCCGGGAAGAACACGAGGCAAGGGCAUUAUUCCCUGGUAUGAGGGCUUUUCGGAAUGGAACGACGACUACAUGACUCGUGCAAGAAAGAAGAUGGAGGAGGAGAAGAAGAGGAAGCUCGAGGAGGAGCAGAGGAAGCAGGACGCGGAACGCCUUCAAGGCCUAGAAGCAAGGAACGCGGACAUGGCAAUCAAAUUCCAGCAGCAGCAGCAGCAUAUCGACUCACUUAGCCGGGAAAGGGGGUCUCAGCAGUGGCAGCAGCAAGCGGAUGAUCAUCCAGCAUUGGAUAGAACCAUCCCAUCCAUGCCGAGAAGCAGCGUUGGAUCCGCCCCGGGUGACGCACUGUUGGAUACAUACCCUGUGGAUGACAUCAUAGAGAACACUAACUGUGAGCUACACUUCAAAAUGAAGAACAUAUCCAUGAAGGUGGCGGACGUCGUUGCUUUUACAAUUACCCCCGAAGCAACCUUCCAUUGCGCCCCGAUUCCAGCGGGCUAUGCUCGUGUCUUGCUUGAUGAGGUGGUGGACCCAUAUUCGGUGCUACAGCUUGACAUUCCUGGAGGUGACGACGAGCACACACUGGGAGAGGCCAUACAUCGUAUCAUCCUAUGGAGAAAGGAUUGCAUCAUCUUUCGAAGUCCACCGACACCGCGUCUGCCAACUCCUCCUCGAAGUCCGGCACCGUGUCAGCAGACUCCCGCUCCUCCAAGUCCACGAACGCGUGAGCAGACUCCUGCUUCAAGUCCGGCAUAGCGUCAAGCAACUCCUCCUGUUUCAAGUUCGACACCAUGUCAGGCCACACCUCCUGCUUCAUGUCCGGCAUAGCAUCAGGCCACACCUCCAGCUUCAAGUCCGACACUGUGUCAGGCCACACCUCCUCCUUCAAGUCCGGCACAGCGUCAGACCACUCCUCCUGCUCCAACUCAGCCACGUCAGCCGUCUCCGCGCCUCAGCUAUCGCAGAAGAGACACGCCACGGCUAUGGUGCGUAGCGGUACAAGUCAAGCUAGUACAGUAACUACAGGCAGAGACAAGCAAUAUAAAUAUGGUCCAGGCAGCCUUGCUCCUCUUCCUCAAAGGCCUUACGACAUGACCGAGGAGCGAAACGAUGCCAUAGUGCGGGCCUAAGUGGACACCCAUCUUGGACCGAAACCGGCACCGCCGCCGAGGGAGAAAGUGCCUGAGGAAAAGAUCGACCACUUCAUUCGUAUGGCUAGACCACCAGCUCCCAAGCCUGUUGACUCAAACUAUGAGUGCCAAAUCAGGAAGGCACAUCGAUCACGACUACAGAAAGAAAGAAGCGACCUUGAGCUCGAGCCAACAAGAAGCUGUCAAAAAAUGCGGGAAAACCGUUCCCCAGCUGGGAGAAUAGGCGGCGCAAUCGAUCCCCCCGCUUGUUGUGCCAACAACACAUGAGAGUACGCGUGCCCAAUAUUAUUGUAGGAAAACCAUUUACGUUCCCAAGCUGGGUGAUGUGGUAAUAAUCGAGGAGCAUAUAAUGCAGGCUGAAAUGCUCAAGAUCACUUUUGGACAACUCCUCGAUAUCGAGCCCAUGUAUCCGCUUAGUGAGGAGGAAAUAAAACGGAAAUAUGCCCGGGGCAAAUCUUUGGUCGAUCCCGAGGAGGUCAAGAAUCUCCCAACGAGAAUAUAUGAACUGCAUGAUUGGUACAUGAAAAUUACCAAGAGUUCCAAUCGAGAGUCCCUCAUGGUGCAAGUCAAGGAAGAUCAUUACUUCAAUAAGAAAGCUCUGUCCGUUGAGUAUUCAGAACUAUUUCAGUUAUUCAAUCAAGAUGCACUCGACAAAUCUAUCGUCAGUUGCUACUGUCUGUAAGUGAUUUCUUUCUGUAAUUUAAGUCUCAAGCUAGAUCUAGUGCUCAUUGAUUGAUCAUUAAUUACCUGUAAUUAUAUAUCCUCACUAUAUAUUCUUUUCUGUGGUAUUACGCAGGAUGAAGAUGUAUGAAAUGAAAAAAUAUGGACGCUAUGGCAUUGGGUUCAUUGACCCAAAUACCGUUAAUGAAUACACAUGGAAAUGGGAAUGGUGUAGACAAGAUGUAGAGAAAACGUGGUAGAGUUCCUCAAGCGCCUCAAUAGCAAUGAAGAUGUACUACUUCCUUACAACUUCGAGUGAGUCUCACUGUCUUGUACUACAAAUUCUGUUUUUGCUUACUAGCUAACUAGAUGUUAAUAAUUAAGUGUAUAGGGUUUAGGCUAGUUGAUUAGUGUUGUGCACAUGCCCGCUUAAUUAAGACAUGCAAACAUGCACGCAUGCAGUUUCCACUGGAUCUUGUUAAUCAUUAAAGUUGAUAAAGGAACAAUUGAAGUACUGGACUCACUACUUAAGGCAGAAAGUGACUUCGCCAUCGUGAAGGGUAUAGUCGGCAGGUAAUUUCAAUCAUUAUUAACUAUAUUUCGGCCUAUUUAAUUAGUUCAUCAUUUACUGAUAUCAACUAUUUAAUAACCCCUUUAUUCAUUUUCUUUGCUGGCGGGCAGGGCUUGGGCAAAGUUCAUCAAGGUGACUCCAAGCAAAUGGCGACAAAUGCUAUAUUGGUAUCGACCCAAGGUAAGUAACUAAGUAUUACUAGCUAGCUUACCAUCUCUUUAAUUCUUGUUUCAAUACCAUUAAUUAAUUAUCAUGCUUGAUUAAUUAUUAUCUGAUUAAAUUCCAUUCUUGUAAAUGCCCUGAGGCAGGCUCUGGGGAAUAAUUUGUGUGCAUACUAAGUUUGCGAGAACAUUCGCAUGAUGGCGUCCAAAAGGAGCAAAUCUCAAAGACAGCAAUGGGUAUGUUUGCCAGAACACUAUUCACAAUAUUUACAUCAUUAUCGAUAUCUAGUCACACAACUAAUACAAAUGCAUAUUGAUAUCCUUCUUAACAGUUCAAAGAGGUGCGGGUGAAGCCCCUACCAACGGAGCGCAUACUAGGACUUCAAGAGGAAAUAGCUGGAUUUUUGCUCGACCAGGUCAUAGAUCCCAAAGGAGAAUACUAUUACCCGUUACCGCCCCCAUGAACCACUUGUCAUCAUGCUCCAAAGGCACCAAGGCAACAUGUAGGAGAAAUUGUAUAUAUACAUACAUGUGUAUAUAUAUAUAUAUAUGAGAAAAUCUAUUUAUAUAUAUGCAUAACAUGUACAGUACGUAGUAUCGUAAAAUACCAGAAAACAAAAAAGAAUUAAAUGGAAAACACAAAAUUAAUGGAAAAAUAAAAAAUAAAACCAAAACCAUCCCAAACAUUUAGUGUCGGUUGGUGUUACCAACCGGUACUAAUGUCCUACACGCACCCGGGCCUGGCUCGUUCCAUGUGGUGGCACUUUAGUGCCGGUUCGUGAUGACCUUUAGUCCCCACUCUUUAGUGCCAGUUGUGGAACCGGCACCAAAGGUCCUUACGAACCGGCGCUAAAGCCCGGUUCUGCACUAGUGCCACCUGUGUAUGUGCAACCCCUCUUAUAUUGGAGGAGUAUAACCCAGUCACCCAACAUUUUUUAGCGUGUCACCAAGUAUGGUUGAAGCAUGUCAUCGGCGGUUUGGACGGCAGGAACAUGUUUGUCAUUCUCACUUAGCUAGCACUACAAGUUUACUUCACCCUCGAAACCAAUCUUCCACUCAGCUCCCCCAUCCUUUACCACAGAUUUCUCCCACCUUCUUUUGAUCCAACUAAGAUGCCAAAAGUAUAUGUAUUCGGAUGUUCCUGUAUAGGUGGAAGUUAUGAGGUGUUGGUGUGGCGAGAAUUGCAAAGAUGAAGAGCUACAUGGAAUUUUUAUUGCACAAAGUUUUCAUGUGUCCCAAUUCCCACGAUUCACCCCCUAAACUUGAUGUAUACCACCAUCUACCGGUAUGUCUUAACAUCUAUGUGAUAAGUUUAUGUUGUGUUACAUGCUACUAACCAUAAUUUUAUUAAAUUUCAGUUCCUGUUCCCACGGUGCAUAUUAUCACUAGACAGACAAAGAGAAAUCGAAUUGGGUCAAUGUUGAACUUAAGCAUACAUUUCCAUGUGCAUGGGAAAAUUUGUGAGGACUAUGUAUGAUGAAAACAUGGUAGACAGGAGGAAGAAGCAUAAGAUGGUAGGGUUAAAGGAAAAUGGCCCCUUGGACAAUGAGCUCUCAUAAUGUACCUUGAUUUCAACAUCGGGUGGUAUAUUCUGACCUAUUAUGUACCAUAUGGUAGAAAAUAGGGAGACGUGCUUGAAAAUUCUCAUACAAAGCAAAAAAAUUGUUCCUCAAUCUGUGGACCAUCUCUUUAUUAGUAGGCCGUAACCGCUAGAUCUACAUAACUAUAGCUAGAAUCAUCACACCCUUUAGAUUUAUAUAAUUGUGCCUACAUAUAUCGCAUUUGUUAAAUCUUCAUAAUUAUACCUUGGUAUAUCACAUCCGUUAGAACUUCAUAAUGUAGCUAAACAAAUCAAAUAUGUUAGGUCCAUGUAGGUGUACUUAAAUAGAUGACAUUGGUUAGACCAACAUAAUUGUAUCUUAAUAUAUUACAUAUGUUAGAUCUGUAUAAUUGUACCUAAAUAGGUCGCAUGUGUUAGUCAUCCAUACUGUUACAUAACCGACCGUAAACGGCUCGUCCUGCUAAUUGUACCUAGAAAAAUACCAACCAAUAUAUUAUCAAAUUUGCAGUUAGAUGGAUAUCAGACGAAAACAUAUUUUUAAGUGCAUAUGUUAAAAAUAAGAGCACAUACAUGUUAACUAAUAUUUUUUUGUCAAUUUGAGAUUGCUUUUACCACGCUUGCUGCGUGGUACAUGUUAACUAAUAUAAAUGAAUAAAAGUACAUGUUCUGCCUUAUUUGAACAUGUUAUCCUCGUUGCAUAAACGAUUCUACUUAUAACAAUGGAUAGAUAGAUAAAUUUCUCUACCAUCUUAUGUUAUGUAGAUAAUUAGUACUACAAAAUUCCUUAGAGGCAAUAUGCGGAGGGACAUAGCCAAGGAGUAAUUGGGCACCAACAUGAGCGUCAACUGAGGAGUACGUAAAGAGCGUUGGUUACUGGAACCAGAUGCUUGAGGGCAUGUUGGACAUUUGUUUGUUUCUUUACAUUGGUCCAACCAAGCAAGAAUUUCAGCACAAGCCAAUAUUUUUGCGACAAGGAUAGGAACAAAACUAGAUUACGCUCGAUAGGCAUGCAAAUAAAUGAAAAAGAGAUAUAGAGUUGCAAACAUAUACCAACGAACAAACAACACUUUACCUAGAGAACAUGCAAAAAAUAAUGUGAUUUCGGAAAAUAAGGGCC
rnacentral:lncRNA from 1 species